GUCGACAAGAUUUGGCACUACAAUCAAAUUCCGGCGGCCGUGUUUCCUCACUUUCAAAGUUUAACAAGAUUGAUUGUGUGGCGUUGUCACAAAUUAAAAUACAUAUUUUCAGCGUCUAUGAUCGGAAGCCUCAAGCAGCUCCAACACCUAGAUAUACGAGACUGUAAGGAUUUACAGGAGAUCAUUUCUGAAAACAGAGCAGAUCAAGUGAUCCCUUAUUUUGUCUUUCCACAGCUCACCACUCUGAGACUCCAAGAUCUACCAAAACUUAGAUGUUUGUACCCUGGAAUGCAUACUCCGGAAUGGCUUGCGCUUGAAAUGCUUUUUGUGUAUCGCUGUGACAAAUUAAAGAUAUUCGCUGCAGAUUUAUUGCAGAAAAAUGAGAAUGAUCAACUUGGUAUUCCUGUACAACAGCCCCCAUUGCCGUUGGAAAAGGUAUGAAGCCAUUUUCUAGAUUUUUUUUAUCAAUAACUUAUUUUUAACUUUGAAAAAUAUGACAAAGCAAUGAUAAAUUAAUACUCAAUAAAUUGAAAACUUUUAUUAUACAAUAAUCUUUGCUAGUCUAGACUAAGGGAUCAAUGUGGUAGAUUAAUAAUUAUAUGAACUUUUUUAGGUAUAGCAUUUAUAAAAGAAUCCUUAGUCUUUCCUAUAGAAGAACUUACAAAAUAAAUUAGUAAUUUAUUAUCGUGCAAUAAAAUAAUUUCUUUUUUUUCCCUAAUUUCUUUUUUACCUCUAAAAUUAAUAUAUAAAAAAUCAUUUAAUAAAAUUUAUCAAUAAUUCAAUUUGUUUUUGUAAAAUAUAAUAUAAAACAAAUAAUAUAAAGUCACUGCAUGUGAUUGGAUUACUCAAAAUCAUUUGAGAGAACACCAAUUGACCUUGUCAGUUAUUAUGAUUGAUGAUGAUCAGAUCUUACCCAACUUGACGGAACUAUCACUAAGCGGAAAAGACGCGAAGAUGAUUUUGCAGGCCGAUUUCCCACAACACCUUUUUGGCAGUCUUAAACGACUAGUGAUUGCUGAAGAUGACUCAGCUGGUUUUCCAAUCUGGAACGUACUUGAGAGAUUUCACAAUCUCGAAAUACUCACACUGUUUAAUUUUUCAUUCCACGAAGAGGUAUUUUCGAUGGAAGGAUGCUUAGAGAAACAUGUGGGGAAGUUGGCAACGAUAAAAGAAUUAGAGCUGUACCGGCACUAUCAUCUGAAGCAGCUGUGCAAACAAGACUCCAAACUUGGCCCCAUUUUUCAGUAUCUUGAAAUUCUAAAAGUAUAUCAUUGUCAAAGUCUGUUAAUUCUACUGCCAUCAUCAUCGGUAUCUUUUGGGAACCUAACAAAACUUGUAGCUAGCGGUUGCAAGGAAUUGAUGCACUUGGUAACAUCCUCCACAGCAAAAACUCUAGUGCGACUCGUAUCACUUGGUGUAUACGGAUGCAGAGCAAUGACAGAGGUGGUAAUAAAUGACAAAGACGGGGUUGAAAAAGAAGAGAUUGUUUUCCGCAAAUUGAAGACGUUGGAACUGUGUGAUUUAGACAGCCUCACAAGUUUCUGCUCUGCCAAUUACACCUUUGAAUUCCCAUCUUUGCAAGAGUUGGGGGUGAUUUGUUGUCCCAAGAUGAAGAUUUUCACUACAGGAGAAUCAAUCACGCCUCCGGGAGUAUACGUCUGGUAUGGAGAGACAGCGGAUCAACGGUGCUGGGCUAAUAAUGAUCUAAACGCAACCAUACAACAAUUACAUGCUGAGAAGGUACGGAUAUACAUAUUACUCUCUAUCUCCCAUGAUAAAUUUUUAUAAAAUUUGCUUUUUAAAAUACAAUAUAGAUAAGAUAUUUGUUUAAAGUAAAAGUUUAAAUUGAUGAAUAAGAAUUUUAUUUUCAGCUGUUGGCGGUGCCGUCGUCGUUCUCCACCCGGUACUAAUUUCAUAGGCUUCUUAUGACUUGGGAGUUGUGAAUUUUUAGAAGAAAGUCUCAACUGGUAAUUAAUUUUUAUUUCAUUUAUUUGAUCUCAUGGCUUCUUUCGCAAUUUCAUCUGAAUUAUUUAGAAUGGGUCACUCGAUUUACUGUUAAAUUUGGAAUGCCAUUUUAAUGAUUCGUUCAGACUUUUAUGGACAGAUUUUGCAUCAUUGAAUGUCUUUCAGUCUAGUUUAAUUUAAUUUUUUUUUUGGAGAGUUUCCCUUGUUUUCUAAAAUUGUAUAAUUCCUUGCAUACUUUUUAUGAUAAAAUUUCAUUAAAAACCUUCAUAUUUUAUAAUUCCAUGAAAUCGUGCGUACUUUUUUCCUAUCUUUCUUCGCCAAUUAUUUGUUUUCAUCAUUGCUGUUCUGUUAUUUUAGCUUGUGCUCUGUUUGUUCAUUUGGUUUGGUUUGCUUCACACCUAUCUUUCUUUGGAAACUUAGAAGGCAAAGGAAGUACUUAGAAAAUGCUCUUCCCUAUGAACACAUAAUUAAGAACAGCUGAAAAUCAUUCAUCGGAUAAAAAAAUUAAAAAUAAUUAAAAAUAAACAAAAUCUAAUCAGAGCAUUAUGCCUGGAACAAAUCCUUAAGCCAUCAAAGCAAAACUCUUCGCUAUGAAAAACUAUAUUGUGGAAAUAUUGUUUGAAAACGUUGGAUACCAAGAAAGGGACUAAUCUGGUCUAGUUUUAUGAGAAGUGCAGAAGAACAGUAUUUUCUCUGUUGUUCCUAUUAAAAUUCUUUACUCUGUUAUUGUAGAAUGUCUGGAUACUCAUGAAGAUUCAGGUAACUCUUCUUCUGUGCAUCAUUUGAAAUAAGGUCUUUUUUUUUUUUUUUUUUUUUUUUUUUUUUGGGAAUAUCUCCUACUGGGUUUAUAGCUCAUACAAAGAGAUAUUCUCAAAUGAAGCCGGAUACUGGUAGAAACAAGGGAGGAAGUUGGCGCUGAUAAAAUGGUUAAUCCUGUCCAGACUUAAUCAUCUGAAGCAACUCCAAACUGGACUCCAUUUUCAAUAUCUUGAAAUUCUAAGGCUAUAUUAAUGCUUGUAAAAAUCUUUUAAGUCUAUUCCCAUGAUCAUCUGUAACUUUUGGGAAUCUAACAGAACUGGUGGUUUUCCAUUGCAAAGAAUUGUAACAUCCAUCCACUACAGCAGAAAGUCGAGUGCGGCUCGUAUCAAUGAAGGUAACUGGAUGCAGGCCAAUGACAGAGGUGUUUGACAGAGGUGUUAAUAGGUGACGGAGAAGAAGAUGGAGCACCAAAUUUAAUUUCAAAACAAGAGAUUGUUUUCAGCAAAUUGAAGACGUCGAGUCUGUGUGAUUUAGAUAGUCUCACAAGUUUCUGCUUUGCAAAUUACGCUUUCAGAUAAAGAUUCUUGAAACUGUCCUAUUUAGAGCUGACAUUUCCACUAGAUUUAAGAGAAUAUAAAAAAUUCAUUAAUCGUUAGUUUUUAAUUUCAUUAUUCAAUGAAAGUCCUGUCAAAUUAAAUUGCCGCUAUUGAAUCUCUCGCUCCCCUUGCAAAUCUCUAUGUGCAAGUACCUAAAUUUACAAAUUUUACUUCAAAUUAAUGAAUGACAUAAUUUAUUUUCAGCAGUACGAUAUGUUCUGAUCCCAUAGGCUUUUUAAUUUAUUACAUGGUGUUGUCAAAUUUGAAGAACAAGGUCCGAGGUAACAAUCGUUUUCAUUUCAUUUUGUUUGAUCUCUAAGUUUAUUUCAUCGUUUCAUCUAAAUUAUUUGCAAUGCGUCGGUUGGUUUCUUGUUAAUUUUGGAACAAAGUUGAUGCAACCAAUGGUUGCAUAUGAUGAGUAGGAUAUCGCUCUGAGAUCAUAACUUGAGUUAUAGAUAUCUAUCUAGGGCGUAUAAUAUAUCAUUAAUCUAUUACUAUAACAUUGUAUUGGUCUCGUGGUCCAGCUAGAAAUUCUAUUUGUUUCAUAGUUAUUUUACAAGUUUAAGAUAUUUUCUUAUUUUUCUUAUUAUUUUCAAGAUUUUUAUUUUUUUUCUACAAAUAUAAGAUUUAAGUACGAUUUAUUUUAUUUUUAUUAGAAGAAUGUUAUUAUAUAAUAAUAUUUUAGGUUUGCUUAUUUUGGUAAAUUCGUAAUAUUUAGAAUUAGUAUAAAGAGGGUCCAAAAUCCAAAUUUUGUUAUUCAGACCUAUCUAUUAAUAAAAUUUCAGACUUUUCAAAAACUUGUGUUUCUCUAUAUUUUCAAUCUCAACGUCCAAUUUUCCGUCAUCAUAAAUUCUAAUGCCUGGUUCCAUCAGGUCUCUCUUCUGUGAAGCCCCUGGAGUAAAAGCUCCGAAUGUGUUACCAUUGAAAUCAUGGCAGAAAACUUUAGUACUUAAUUAAGGCUCUUGAAUAAGACUCUUUAUGGCUUCAAUAUUUUACUUGAUAUGAAAAUUUCUUUCUAGAUAGAAUCAUUGUGAAGAUAAAUUGUGGUAUUACUGACAAUGAAUAAGUUGAAACAUCAACAGAGAUAAAUAUUGAGCAAUUAAUGUUACCAGCAAUCAAUUUGUGAGCACCAACAACCAUUUUCAUAUUUAAGCCGUUAGAACAGUAACACAAAAUAUGGCGAGUGGCAACCACACAAAUAAUCAAAUUCCUGAUAGAUUUUGAAAACUUUAAUUUGCUAGAUAUGUAUUUUAAUAUUUCAACAGGUGCAUCUUUUCUCUACUCAUGUGGCACGUUGAAUCAGAAACGGUUUGAAUGUCAAUAUUACUCCAAGUGCCUCAACCAAAUUCAGAAUGAAGAAAAUCAUCUGGUUACCUGCACUUUAGUUUAAGCAGCUGAUUAAGUUAAUUAGCACCAAGUAAUUCACAUACUAGUGAGAAAUUUCAUUAGUAAAUUCAUACCUGGGAGGAAACCAGCAUCUUGACGCUUUUGUGACCAAGAAAAUCUGCCAGAACCCCAAUUAAUGAAAAAAAAUUAUAACAUCAUUUACAUAUAAUUUUACAAAAUCAAUAGGACACUUACAGAGCACCUCCUACAGCUGGACCGGCAGUUUUGGUAAGCGACACCACAGUCAUAGCAAGUCCAUUAUGGUAUAAUGCUGUUCCUGUUAUUAUACCAUAAACCAAAAAAAUAAUUUAAACUUUUGACACAUACAAAGCAUGAAAAAGCUGAAAGCAUGGAAAUGUACUAAACAAACAAAAGAAAAUAUAUUUACCACUGCUCUGUUUUGCAGAAGGAACAAUCCAGUAAUUAUAGACACCUGAUGUUAUAAUUCAGGAAAAGUGAAAGAGAAUUACAACAUUUCUGAUAAAGAAGAUAUAAAAUAACUUUUAUACAUUCUUGCUAAUGGGUAAUAUAACCUAAGUAUAUGGAUCAAUGAUUAGGAUAUCCACUUACAGAUAAAACAUUCUUCAUCACAGAAGCACAGUUUAUCAAUAAGGCAAGGCUGAACCCAGAUAACAUUGCUAUGUAAGUGUAACUUGUCAAAAGCGGUAUCGAUAAAACCUGUAUAUACAUAGAAAAUUACGUCACCAAAUCCAUGAAGAAAAGUAUUUUAUAAACAAAUAUGUUUGAAACAAACUAUCAAAUGAUCUAAAUGCCACAUGGUUUGUUCAAAAUUUUACCCCUGCAAUGCGUGUUAUUAUUAUUGGCCCGAUCAUCCUCUCAACGUAAGGGUAUAGAGUAAGUUGAAAAACAAGGAGGCUGAAUCCUGCAGUAAGUUCAAAAUGAGGAGUUGAGGACAAUCAAUAAGCAGUUUUGUGGGGUUGAUGCAUGAGAAAAGAAGUUAAGAGGAACGAGUAACAUUUUCAGUUUCGUAAUAAGUAUAAAUGGGCAGCAAGAGUAUUGGUUUUGCACCUGAGAUGGCAAGAACUUGGCCAGCAUUUUCGGUUGAGUAACUCAGACCCCCGUACUUCCACGGGCUGAUAGCCCACAAUGAAAAUAUCUAACAGAAUAGUUGCAAUAUUAUGAUUUAAAAAAAUUACAUAGAUAAGAAAUUCUUAGGAUCAGUAAUAGCCAUAUGUCUUCUUUAUGUAUAAAACUCAAAACAAUCCCAUCAAUAGCAAUAGCACCCUCUGUUUCAGGUAGAAGUUAAGAGAUAACUUUGCAAAUAUCUAACAGAAAGCGAUCUGAUCCAGGAUCCUGGACUUUAUUCAAGUUCGGGAAAGCCAUUGGUCAUUGGACUAUUAAACCAUGUGGCUUAAUAACUGGUUGAGCAGAUCAUCUCGACCAGGAUAUUAUAGUUCACAUCGACCAGAAUAAUAUGUGGUGACCUCGAGCAGAUCACCUCGACCAGGAUAUUAUUGGUCAUCUCGACCAGGAUGUUAUUGGUCACCUCGAGCAGAUCACCUCGACCAGAAUAAUAUGUAGUGACCUCGAGCAGAUCACCUCGACCAGGAUAUUAUUGAUCACCUCGACCAGGAUAAUAUGUGAUGACCUCGACCAGAAUAAUAUGUGGUGACCUCGAGCACAUCACCUCGACCAGGAUGUUAUUGGUCACCUCGACUAGGAAGUUACCAGAAAACACGAUUCAGUCAAAACAUUUUCUCCGAAAUAUUAGGGACCAUAUUCUUAGUGGGCUGAAAAUUAGUAGUUUUCUUGAGAAUCCUAUGGGAGAGGAUAAAAACCGCUAUAUUUUCAUAUAAAAACCCUAAGGGGGGAUUCUUCUAGCUCUCUCUCUCUCUCUCUCUCUCUCUCUCUAAGCAACUGAACCCAUUGGACCUUUUUCUCCCUCUACCACUGAGAAAUUUCUCUUUCGCCUGUGAUUUCUUUAAGAUUGAUUAUUGUGAAUUUUUUUCCUUUAAAUUUACUUAAAAGCUUUUUGUUUAAAGCAAUCAUAAUUAAGCCACAUGAAUUGUGGUAUGGGUUUUUCCAAGUAAGACCCGAAUCGCUGACUUGAGCGUCGGAGAGUUCUCGCCGGAAAAACUUCCGGCACCUCCUGACUGUUGGUUGUGUUCACAGGCUCACAGGUUAUCUGCUCAUGGAUUGUCUGCUCAUGGGUUCUCUGCUCAUGGAUCGUCUGCUCACGGGUUAUCUGCUCAUGGAUUGUCUGCUCAUGAGUUCUCUGCUCAUGGAUCGUCUGCUCAUGGAUUGUCUGCUCAUGGAUCGUCUGCUCAUGGGUUGUUUGCUCAUGGGUUCUCUGCUCAUGGGUUGUCUGCUCAUGGGUUGUCUGCUCAUGGAUCGUCUGCUCAUGGGUUGUCUGCUCAUGGGUUCUCUGCUCAUGGAUCGUCUGCUCAUGGGUUGUUUGCUCACAGAACAUCUGCUCAUAGAAAAUCUGCUCAUGGUGCUAACUAAUCAUCAGCUUCCCACCAAACAAAUUUAAUGCUGAUGCAGGGAUCUGAGAUUUGACCAACUCAUCCAGAUUUCGGCAUCAACAAUAACUUUCCCGAACAUUAAAAUAGUUUAGAUUUUGGAUUGGAACAUUUUUAUGUCAUAAUAAAGUAGAAUAUAUAUAUAUAUAUAUAUAUAUAUAUAUAUAUAUAUAUAAACAAUCAAACUCAGGUAGAGAUGUUUAUACCUCGGUGUAAGCGAUAUCAUGAAGCGAGAAAACACAAUAAACAAUAGUAGAAGAAAUAAAGGGCCAAUUCUUCAUGAGGCUUUUCUUAGCAGUGGCCUCCUCACUUCCUUCAUCUUGUUUAAAUUCUGCAUUGGACCCACAGGCGGAUUCCAAAGCAUCACAUGAUACAUCAAGUGAUACACCAUCUUCAUUGUGUUUGUGCAAUGUCUCCUGCAUCAAAAAGCAUGUGAUGGUGUCAAUGUAGUCAUUAUAAGAGAAGCGAAAGUUAUAUUUUAUAGUCUCACCCAUAAGAAAAUUUGAAGUUAUGGGAGAGUUGCUAUUACAUGUACAAUUCAGCCUGAAAAGAGAGCUAAAGGCUACGUACCGGAAUCCAGCAAGAAGCAAUAGUUACCGCAAAAGCAAAGAGUGACAUACAGAGACAGGGAAGGAAGUAAGGAAACCUGCAUAAAUUUGUUUUUCAAAAUACCAUCAUAUUGAAAGUAUUACAGAAAAAGAUAAGGCUAAUGGCAGUAAAAAUUCACUUACUUUCCAAACAUAGAUUCUUUGGAAAAUGCCUUUGGAUAUUUCUCUGCUGGCUGGAUUGCAAAAUUAUCCACGAAUAUAUAUAAGAAUAAUAUUUAUCAAGCCAAACUACUAAAAAUUCAAAAAAAAAAAAAAAGCGCAUAAUAAUCAAGUAAAAAUUGCCGAACCUGGGCCAAAAAGCCACCCACUGCAGGGCCAAUAAUCAACCCUGUGCCCCAUGCUGUACUGAGCUGAAAUUAUAUCGUAGUUCUCAAGGUAAAUGAUGCUAUAAAAUUUUCUCAAGAACUUUGCAAUCAUACACGAACUGAUAAGCUCACCGUUGACAGUCCUAAAGUUUUGUGUUGAUCGCGCAAUAUUUCACAUGCAUAUGCCUGGUGGUGCAAGAGAAGUUUGAGUACAAAUAUUUACAGGAGUUAAAUUGGAAUUAUCAACAAAUACCCCCAAUCAAUACCUUAAUUGGUCCAAGUAAACCAUUCAAAGCCCCAAGGAGAAACCUUGUAGCUAUGGCCAUCCAGAAACUAACACUAAGCCCAAAGAGAGUGUUAAAAAUAACCCUGUGAGCAUUUUAAGACAAAUAAGAAACCCAGAAAUUGCCAAAAUAUCAUCAAUUUCAAGCUUGAUCAUUUGAAAAUAGAGGUCACUAACACUGUGAUGCAUCCUAUUAUUAUUACAGGCUUUCGACCACAGCGGUCAGCCACCAUUCCCCACAAAACAGAUGUUAGAGCUCUGCCAAGCAUGUAUGAAGACCAUUCAAUUUCAUCAUGGUAUUAAGAGGUUUGUCAGAUGCAUCCUAUUAUUACUUCUCGAGGAAUUUGAACUGUUAUAUUGGUCGUACAUACAUACAUACAUGCAUACAUACAUAUACACAUACUGAAUAUUGUCUAAGUGGUUUAUUUACAGGUAUUCAAAAUAUAAAUUAUUGCUAUGAUUUUAGAAAAUAUUGUCUUUUUUUUGUAAUUUAUAUUAAAAUUUUGCGACAAUUGUUUGGCUGGAAUUUUUUUUUUUAUAAGAAAAAUAGUGAUCUCACACUGAUCCAUAGUUGAGCCAAUUACCUAGUUAAAAGCUACCUCCAUAUUUUUUAUUUUUUACCCUAAUGCAUGUCUGAUUCUUUUAAAAUUUUACGUUAUAUAUAUUAAACAAAAAUUAUAAUUUUAAUCAUUGAAAAAUUAAUGACAGACAUCUUUUGAAUAAUAUUUUUUUAAAAAAAUACAGAGCUAGAGAUAAUGCUAUAAUUGAUUGAAUAAGAAGGCUACAACUUGAUGAUAACUUUAUUGCAAUGUUGCGUGAUCUCAAUAUAUUAUUGGCUUUUGUGUGAGUAAAAGUUGCUGGCUCGUGUUUUACUAAUUUGGGUUUGUAUUUGACUGGCUCGACAAAGAAUCGAUUUACCUCAUACUCAAAUUACAAACAUCGAAACCGGAUCUGUCAUUACGUUAAUUGGCCUCCUAAAAUAAUCAAUCACUUUCUCUUUAGUCUACUAUCCACUCUUUCCAGUCGCUUAGUUUCAUUCUAAUCAUCUAAACGGCUCUUUGGUACUGUUUCUUCUAUUCGUCAUUGUUCUUGUUCUGUUAUUAUUUAGCUUUGUUCACUCCUCAGUCUCAUUUCUAAUUCUGUACCCAUCAGCUCUUUUAGCUCUUUACGUCGUGAUAGAAACCCUUUUCUUGUUUCCUUCAUCUCAUCUGAAAAACACAAUUGCUUGUCCUAUCGCUGUCUCUUUGUUUUUACUUUCCUUUGGCCUUCUUCGCUUCUACGUUUUUGUCAGGCUUCGAGAUGCUGGAAAUCAUUGUGACUAUCGUCUUGGAACUUGUAAAAUGCUUGGCUCCUCCAACUGCACGCCAACUUGUUUAUUUGCGAAAGCGGAACUACAAUGCCAACUUUGAGAAUAUCAAGGCGGAAAUGGAGAAGUUGAAGGUUGAACGUACGAGCAUUCAGCGCAGGGUUUCAGAGGCGAAAGAAAAAGGGGAAGAGAUUGAAGAGAAGGUUGAAAAGUGGCUGGUUAGUGCGAAGUACGAACGGCAUCAUUGACCGGGCAGCCAAAUUCAUUGAAGAUGAGGAGUCAACGAAUAAGCGCUGUGUCAAGGGCUUGAGUCCUAUUUGGAAGAGUCGCUAUCAGCUUAGCAAGAAAGCAGAGACGGAGGUGAAGGCCAUUAUUGAACUUGGAGAAGAAGUUAAGAAGUUUGAUACUGUUUCCCACGGUACCAUUCGGGAGCAGAUAUGGCUUAACUCUAGCAAUGGUUACGAGGCCUUCGAAUCAAGACUUUCUACUUUGCAAUCUAUAAAAAAUGCAUUGACUGAGGCGAAUGUCAGCAUUAUUGGGGUGUACGGCAUCGGCGGCAUUGGAAAGACCACACUGGUGAAGGAGUUUGCUAGGCAAGCCAGGGAAAAGAAGUUGUUUUAUCGGGUGGUUUUAUCAGAGGUUUCAUAAACUCCAGAGAUAAAAAAAGAUUCAAGGGGAAAUUACAGAGAACUUAGGUCUGGAGUUGUCCGAUGAAGCUGAAUAUAGAAGAGCUAGCAAGCUGAAUGAACGAUUGAAGAGUGAGAAUAAGAUUCUUGUGAUUCUAGAUAAUAUCUGGAAACAUCUUGAUUUGGAGACCGUUGGAAUUCCUUUUGGAAAUAAUCAUAAAGGAUGUAGACUUUGAUAGACAACCAAGGAGAUCAGCUAGAGUUUCAAAGCCAAGCAGCAAGCUUGUGGACUUUGUUUGACCAUGCAAACCAUGCCCAUGCAAGCCAUGCAAUUGAUCUCCCACAUAACACUUUCAUGCGAGUUAGUUGGAAUAAGAGCACGUGAGGAAUUGAUAUUGAAGUAAAAGUGAUGGUUGUCGAAGCCAGUAAAAAUAAAUACCUACUCUAAAUAAAUUAUGUAUAGUGAUUGAGUAAGGUCGUGUCCACAGAGAUCGGUAAUUAUUUAAAUUCUUUUAAAAAGUAAAUUGCAAAAUGGGGGGAUUGUUGACAAUAAUAAAAAUCAAAUUAAAAUAACAAGAAUGCAAAUUAAAAUUUUAAUUCAAAUUGGGAAAAGCUCUGGUUGAAGGAAUUAACUCAGCUUGAUUUGAUUACUGAUCAUUGAUUCAAUUAUAAAUCACUACUACUUAUGAAUAGAUCGGUUAUAGCUACUGAGACCCUCUAAUAGUCAAUCUCUCCUUAACUAAUCGAUAACCAAAGUACGACCGUUGGUUAUUUCCCUAAUCAAUAGACAACCUAGAUACGAUCAUAGGAUUUAAUCAAUUGACAGCCUGAAAAUCCAGAGAGACCCAAAUCCUAAUAAAUAAACGCAUACAAUGGUUCAUUUAAAUUAGAUUGUUUAUUCUCAUAACACAAUGCACUGCUAUGCUAUUUGUCACAAACAUUAAAAUCUUCAUACGAUAAAUCAUUUAAUUGACAACAUAUUAAGUUGAUAAUUAAAUAGUGGUCAAUUAUCUAAUUAACAAACAUAAUCAUGACAAUAAUUCAGAGAAUAAACAAAUACCCAAAAAAUAAUAAAAUAAUUAAAGCAUAAGAAAGAUCUCACAGUAGUGAUGAAUCAAACCUUCAUUAACCUUCAACCAGAAUAAUAGGUUUAGUUCCUCAUAGAGAAAAGAGAAAAAUUUAGAUCUAGGGUUUUUCUCUUUUCAAAAAUCUCUCCUUUUCACAAUACAUUCCUCCCUUAAAUUCUCUUCUCCCUCUUCUCCUCUAAAGUUCUUUUUACAAUAAAAUACUGAUAUCUAAAAUAUUAUCUAAAUAUUAAAUUCAUAAUUACAAAAAUAACCAAAAAUAUAAAAUACGUUAAACUAAAAACUGUAGGUCCGCAGUUGACAGCAUGUGCCCACACCUUAUCAACACAGUUUUUCUGAAGCUCAUAAUUUCUCCAAGAAAUCAAUGAUCCUCAAAUAUCAUCUUGUAGCUCAAUUUUAGCACCAAUCAAUAGAAUUGCACCUACAAAAAUAAAACACAAGUAAAUCACUAUUAUUAAGUGCAAAACAUCGAUAUUAAAGGAAGUAAAUAAUGCAAAACUAGUGCAUAAAUUGUACUCUAACAAAAAGACUACAUCAAAGUUGUUGCCAAGAAUCAAGUUAAUUUAUUUUCUGCUUUGUUUUUAUCUAGUUGUUAAUAUUGAUUUGAUUUGGCUGGAUUUGAGCCAAGGUUUUAGGCUACAAAUCAGUAGUAUACUUUAUGUUUAUCUGUAUAAAUAAGCAGCAACCAUGACGAUUGAAAGGAAGGAAAUUAGUCAAAACAAAUACUGGUUGUUCAUACCAUAAAUUGAACGAAUAUCAGGCACUGCUUUUCUGUAUUUGAUCGGGACCUAUCAGACUAUUGCUGACAGCAAGAGAUAAUAAUGUGCUUUUAAGUAUGGGCUCCAAAGAUAACUUUUUGAUUGGCAAUCUAACUGAACAAGAAGCCUGGCGAUUGUUUAAGAUAAUGAAUGGUGAUGAUGUUGAAAGUUGUAAGUUCAAGUCUACAGCAAUUAAUGUGGCUAAGGCAUGUGGAGGUUUGCCCAUGCGUUGACUACUGUAGCGAGGGCACUGAGAAACAAGAGUCUCCAUGAAUGGAAGAAUGCCUUGCGAGAGCCUUCAAUGGUAAACUUCGAAGGGGUGCCUGCAGAGACUUAUUCAAGUAUUGAGCUGAGUUUCAAUUAUUUAAAAGGUGAGCAAGUCAAGAAAAUUUUUCUGCUUUGUCGUCUAGUAGGUAACAGUGUUUGGUUUUCAGACUUAUUUAGAUACUCCAUGGGUUUGGGCAUAUUUCAAGGAGUCAACAUUCCCUUCCUAUUUACCAAAGGUAAGUGAUAAAUCCUACAUAUCCCACUCAAGAAUGCAUAAGUUUCUUCAAUCUCAAGUACCUAAAGUUUUCUUCUACGUUUAUAAAAAUUUCAGCACCAUCUCCCUAUAAUUCUCCAAGCUCACGACGUAGCUAUAUAAGUGUUUAUGCGUUAUGCCAAAACAACACAUGACACCCAUUCACCUAGUACGUACCCAGAGAACACGAGGAGCAGCUACCGAAAAACCCAUUUUUACGUGGGAAAAAAACUUCAGCUACUAGCUACCAGAGAGAACUAUGCAUUCCCAAACUGUCCAAGCCUGGACAAUUCAAGAAUUAUUAAUAGACAUAUGAUCCUCACUAUCAUCCAAAGAUGACACUAAUAAAACAUGUGUCUAUUAAUAAUUUCUUAAACAAGUCUAAGCUUUCAAUGCACGUAUCAAAAGUUUAAAAUUGAAUCUGAAAUUUGAAUAACACAUAAAUAUCAUAAAUCUCUUCAAUUUAUUCCUGAUACAAUGUAGCAUUAUUUCACAUAUCAUUUCUUAAGCAAAACCAUAAAAAAUACAAACGAUAAAUACAUUUUCGCACUGAUGCAGAUUAUGUUUACUGAGCAAUAAGUUUUAAGUCAUUCAUGUUGAAAUACUUCUUCCUAUUCUUUCAACAUAUAACUAGUACGUACACACAAUUAAUAAAUUAAAAAAAAACCUGGUAGUGAAUCUUGGAAAAUCUUCCUUCUUUCUUUUUUUUUUGGUGGGAGGGGGGGGGGGGGGGGGGUGGUGGUUGGGGGAACUAUGAAUCUUGCAAAUCCUCGGGAAGCCAUGUUAAGACAAGGCCAGCUUACUAUUAGGGUAUGAAAGAUAAAACCUUUUAUUUCCUUUUCAGAAUAAAAAGAAUAUUGACAAUGUUAAAAAACAUCUAGAGGAUUUCAGGUCUCCAGAUCCUUACAAAUCAAGGAUAUUAAAAAAAUUUACUUAGAGGAGAAAGGUUAUGCUCAUUUGUAUCUUGUUAGAAGAAAUUGAUCCAAAGCCUCAUUUUUAAUUAGCUUCAUAUAGCCAAUGAUUAGGUGUUUAAAAACCAAUGAAUAUUUUUAUAAGAAAUCAACAAUAUUGUUGAAAGAAAAACCAAAUAAAAUUAAUAAAGCCAAUGAAUAGAUCAAGGCUCUUUGUGGUCUAAUAACUAAUCAAACUAAGUUGUGGGCAAAGGCGAAUAUGUUUGUUUGGUCAAUAAUAAGCUCAACAAAUCACUAAUAAUCACCUAAUCACUAUUCCUUAUGCUAUGCAAUAUAAUGGCCUGGGUAAUGGCGCCAAGGCAGACAAUAACUAGCUAGCCAGUUAUGAUAGUUGAUUAACUUAACCUACUGGAAAUCUGAAGACCAAAACGAAGAAGCUUUGCCUAGAACUACAAUAGGAACAUUCAUACCCAAAACUAAUAUACACGAUUAAGAAACUUGAUUAUAUGUAUAUUUUUGUUGGCCACACUUAAAGAGAAUUUUCAAAAGAUGCUAAGGUACACCAAAUCCCACUAUUUCAAACUCAUAAACACAAAAAACCAUGGCAAAAAUUAAUGACUAUAUAAAAUAAAAUCGGUCAUGGGGCAUUGAGAUUAGGACAACUUGAUUUGUAUACCGUAAAAUAACUAUAUCUGCAUAGUGAACUAUAUUUCUGUUAGAACUCUGAAGUUUUCUAUUAAACUUUUUUCUCUGUUAGGUAAACCACUUAACUAAAAUGCUUAAGCCAAUAUUGACAAUCAUAGACAUAAAAGUAUUAAUAGGCUCACUCAAGUGAAAUGAGCAUUAUUUCACACAUCCUUUAGGUUUUUAAGUCAUUUAGAAGUCAUUCAUGUUAAAAAAAAAAAACAAAUUCAUAUACUUUCAAUAUAAUUACUGCAUACACAAUUAACUAAUUAAAUAAAUCUGUUUCAGCUAGUAUAGGAACUUAAUUAAUCAAAGCUAGUAGUUAUAGCUAGGACUUGAACGAGGCACCUUUCAAAGUUCAAGAAGAGCAUCUGAACAGAAUGAAAGCACUUUGUAGAAAUGGUAAUGAUGCUUUACAUCUACAUGCUCUUACACAAUAUGAACUUUCAUUGAUUCAAGAACAUAACACUAAUCCAAGCUCUUACUCUACAAGUCAAUUCAGUUUGUAGAUGCAAGCCAUUGUAAAAACUUUUGACAUUACUAAUUAAUAUAGAAUCAGCAAUGUUAUAUAACUUAUUAGACAAUAUAACAAGCACUUGGCGAGCAUAUAAGAUAAACUAAAACAAGUUAAUUAGAAAAUGAAACUAAAACCCAAGCUCCGCUAUUCAUUGUAGAAGCUUUAAACAUAAAAUUAAAGUAAAUCUAAUGGCAAAACAUUAGAAUCGAUGUUGGAAUUAAAGCUAAAUUCAAUAGUAAUCCAAAUGAAUCCAUUUGAACUUUGUAAACUCCGCAGAACAAAAUUAAUUUGAGUGAGCAAACUCAUCAAUGGCACAAGAAAACAGGGGCUUCAACUUGUAGGAAUAAAAAUAUAUUGCUGGCGGGACAAAAAUUGACAAUAACGGCUACAAUGCGAAUUAAAAAAAAAUCAAAAUCUAUAAUUACAAGCUAAGUAAGAGAAGAAACUCAUAAUCACAAGCUUACCUCAAAAGAUGAAGGGAGAAGACGAUGAAGAAGAAGAUGGCCCGUGUUUUACGCAGUUCGCCGGCAACCAGUUAGGCUUACGAUGGUGGCUAGUAACACGGAGUCCAGCGAAUAGUUUUAAAUUUAAAAUUCUAAAAUAGUAAUAUACCGAACGGCUCUUUACGCGGGUAGUAACUAACAUAUGUGAUAGCGGUAUGGCCGUCACAUAAAGGGUAACAAAAGCAAGUCGGGGUACAAAGCUAGAGCCUAGAAGUUAGUGAUAUACGUAAUGGCUUCUUUUGCAUUCACAUUAGGGGUCACAUAUACCCUAGUUUCUUGUAGUACAUGGUAAACUAUAUUUGUACGAAUUCAUUUUUGUGUGCUUGUUGGAUAAUAAUAUAUAAUAAAUUAAAAUUUGGUGUAAUUUUCACAAUAUUGUAUUAUAAAUAUGUCUCGUUCAGAGGUUUUGAAAUCGUUUUGAUUGAUCAUAAUUGAUAUUUCCACAGUUGCAAAAGAUGCCAAAGAAAAUUUGAUUAUCUUAAGAAAUGAGUGCAUGAGAUAUGAAAUCAACCAUACCAUAAAAUCAAAUUUUAUCGUGUCAUCCUUCCUGGUUCAAAUUUAUGGAAACAAUAAUCAAAUGCAUCCAUGAACUAGUAUAUUCCGACAUAUGUACCAUCAAAUUUUUGCUAUGUCAUACUUAUACACACACACAUAUAUAUAUAUAUUGAAAUUUUAUUAACAACAAUUGGGCCAAGCAUAUGUUGGUACUUGAAGAUUUAGAAGCUCCAUCCUUGAAAAAAUAAGGCUUGACUGUUAUCAAUCUAAUUCUUUUUGUUUUAAGUUCUUAAUUAAGCUUUCUUGCUUGUUUUCAAGAGCCAGUUUUGUAGUGAUCGACAAACAUGAUUUGCAUAUAAUGCACUUGGCAUUUAUGUGUCACUUAUUAAUUAGAUUUAAAUUCUAUACAUUAGUUAAGCUGAUUAAUACUUUAUACUUGCACUAAAUGAUAAAUACUACAUAAAUUGAGAACACUAGUAACUAUGUAUCCCAACUAUGUAAUAUUUGUUUGUCACAAACCCAAUCAUGGCCUAAUAUUCUAAAUGUUAUUUAGGAUACCAUUUCAAGCCCCAUGAGGGCUCUUUCCGUUUAAAAAAAACAAGUAAGAAAUAGAUGUAGAUAGCCAUAAUGAUUUAAUUUCUACUGCAUACAUAGCUGUAAUUAUUUUAAAAGCUACAGGAUUACCAAAUUGACCCUAAAUCAAACCAAUAAAAAUGUUUAAAAGUAAUAAUAAUAAACCAAAGUAAACGUACAAAAAUUCAUGCAUAAAUUGAUAAUCAAUAAAAACAUUCAAAAGUUUAACUCCAACUUUUCUAUAAAUUUCAAAAGGCAUUAUCAAUUUUGUGUCUAAUUCUACAAAAUUAGAAAACUAAAGAAUAUUAUGUAAUUGACAUAACCCUUAAAUUUCAAAAGGCAUUAUCAAUUUUGUGUCUAAUUCUACAAAAUUAGAAAACUAAAGAAUAUUAUAUACUGAUAAUUAAAUAAUAUGCAAUUAAUAAUGUUAAAAAAAUAAUUUUAAACAUAUUGUCAACUAAAAUAAAUGGGAGAAUUGGAGUUCCAAGAUAAAUUCUUAUCUAGUUCCAAAUCAACAAUUGGGAUUAAUUUCAAUAUUAAACCCCGACUGCUUUUAAAAUUGAUCCUAAUGAUAUGGACAAAUCCCAUUCUGAUCAGUAUGGAAUCCCAAUCCCAUACCUUUAGAUUUCGAUGGUGUUUAGUUGGAGGGAGGAGAGGGGAAGGAAAUGAAUUCAAAUUCCUUUCACUUUUUCUGUUGUUUGGUUUUCACUAAUAUAUGGGAAAUCCAUUUCUAUUGAAAUUUAAUUUUCAUCAAAUUGUGAAUUUUGGAUUCCUCAACGAAGGCUGUAAAAUUCAAAUUCCCCUCCUAUUAGAAAUCAAAUCUUCCAAAAUGGCUCCUCUCAAAUAUUUAUCAAUUAUUUUAAUUCUUAUCAAAUAAUUCUUAUUCAUGAUUUUAUUUAUGAUUUUAUUUUUUAAAUUCAAAUUGUCACUAAGGAGUCUGACUUACUACCACAGAAAAGCAAAAAAAAAAAAAAAAACAGUUUAUAGAUUAUGAUAAUUCUAUAUAUUGUCUGAGAAUUGCAAUCCCGUAGCCGAAGUAGUUUUUAAGUACAGAAUUUCAGUCAUUUCUAUUUAAUUUUUUUUUUAAAUGUGAAUUGGAGGGAUCAAGAGCAGCUCACUGGAGGUUGAGGCCGACAUGGAAUCUGAUUAUCAGGAGAUCCGAGUGCAGGGAGGAUUCAAUAGUGAACCCGAAUGAAAUCGGGCGGGUGGGCCUGCCUAUGUGUUUUUCCAAUCCAUAUUAAAAGGAGUUUCUUUUACAAAUACAUAUUGGACAUAUUUUGACAUGUCGUACUAAAUUAAGCCAUCAAAAAUUGCUGGGAAGGGAGUAAUAUCUAUUUAUAACUGGAAAUUACUCACCGUACAAUGAUGGUUGGAGCUGCAUGUAUCAUUUAUUAUUAACAACUAACUUAUGAAAUGCUUUGAAUGUACCUCCUAGGUCGUAUUUACUAUACCGGUUAGGAGAAACUAUAAUAUUAAAUUAUUUGAUAAAUACUUAUUAUAAUUUAAAAAAUAUAUUAAUUUUGUCCUCCACUUUAUGAUAACAAAAUUAUAAUAUAAAUAAAUUAUUCAUUCUAUAAUCUUAAACUUUAUUAAAAUUCGAAAAACUAUUACUCUAUAUGAUAUAAUAGUGUGAUGUUAUUACACUAUUAUACCAUAUAAAAUAUAUUUGCUUUCUUAAAUUUUAAUAAAUUCUAGGUCUUGGACAGAAGCACUUUAUAUAUAUGUAUAUAUAAUAAUUCUCUAGUAACGACAUUCUCAUUUUAACAAAGUGAUGAUAUCGCUAACAAACUAAAUAACACACAUUUCAAUACACCAAUAGAUUAAAAAAAUACAAUUUUUAAUGUGUUAAAAUAUAUGUCUUUUGUAUAUUAUUGAUAUUUUCACUUUAACAAUGUGAGGGUCUCCUCACUAUAGAAGUACUUUAUAAAUAUUUUGUAUUUUUUUAAAAAAUUAUUAUUUAAAAGUCAUAUCUGACCAAGACUAAUAAUUUUUAUUUUAUUACUAUACUGUACUUUCAAGACAGAACACUUCAAUACCAUGACCUUAAUUUUUCAACUCUCUUGUACAAAGUUGUUGGCUGGUCUAUUUAGUUUAGUCUUUCAAUCAUUUGUCGUUUGAACUGAGAUGAUCCGAAUAAAGCUAUAUAUCAAUAAUUUCCUAGUGAAACUUUGGGAAAAAAUAAAAAUCAUGUCAUACAGUAGCAUUAUUUUAAUUCACAGCUUGAUUAUGUUUUGAGUUAACUUAUAGAUUAUUUGAAAUAAAAAGACUAUAAUUUAAUUUUUCCAACUAAAUAUUUUUAAAUAAUUUUGUUAAUUUAAUGAGUAAUUAUACACUUACAAAGUUACGAUAUAAAAUUAUAUCCCAGAAUCUCAAUAAUAUGACACCAAUUAACUACUGCUAUGUGUUUCUUAGUAAUUAACUUUUUAUACUAUUAUCAAUGAGAAAAUUAACUUCAACACCAAUAAACAAAUUUUAUAUUAAUACAUCCUCUAGGUUUAUUAUCAAAUAAUCAUGUCAUAAUCAAACCAAGCUACCAGAGCCUACUACUAAAAGAUUGAUUAAAGGGUUUUCCAAGUUUGAAAAAGUUAGUAGCAUUGGCAAAUGGCAACUCCCAGGAAUCUUCCUACUACAAUCAACCAUUCAGUGAAAUUCCCAAAUGGCACAAAGGACCCCGCCACCCGUUAAGUCACAUCAUUUAUUUAUUUGUGAAUGAAAAAUAAGGUUUCGAUCGUAAGAAAUGAACACCUUAUAAUGCAUGAUUACCUGUAUGUCAAGUUUGGCGAUUAUAAGUCAUCAUCACAAUAACUUUGGAGCGGAGCUAUCGGCACCCCCUUGAUAUCCUUUUCAAACCCCUUUUCUGCUUAUUUCCUCCUCAAUCCCUAAAAUAGCCUUUAUCUGUAAUUUUUCCGCAAACAAUUUCAACCUCCUUUCAGUUAUCACUCUUCAACCACUCCCACUUCAAGUUUCUUCUUUUUAUAGGAAAGGCUUUUGAUAACAACCCAAUAUUUUUUUGUUUUAAUUUUAUACUUUUCAGUUUAUGACAUUAUAUUUUAAAAUAAAUAUGUAUAAAAUACACACAAGGUUUAGUUAUCUCCUAGCAUUCUAAUAACGUUAGUAAUUUAUGAAAAUUUUAUAAAAUUAUCUUUCCUACAAAAAUAAAUUGUUAAGUGAAAAAAAUACUUUAUAUCAAAUUCUUACUCUUUUACCAUUGACCUUUUUUUUUCAAAAAAAAAAAUGGAACUUUUAAGUGCUUUAGUGGAGAAAGAGUCGGUGAGAAAAAAUCAUAUAUGAAUUUAAUAAGAUAAGAUUUAAGGGACAAAAUUGUAAAUGUAUAACAAGAGGGGUUUUAUAAGAAAAAUACAGGGGUGCCAAUAGCGUCACUCUAACUUUGGGCUUUGAUAUUUAAGGCUCCGUUUCGGACAAAUGCGUGGCAAUUGGACAACACAUCACUCAAUUAUAGAGUGUGAAAUAUUGAUAUUGUUCUUAUUAUUUUACGUAAUGUAUACAUUUUUCCUCUUAUUUUUGUUUGUUUAUUUAUUUUUGAUACUUAAUAAAUAUAAAUUUAUUUUUUAAUAUUUAAUAAAUAAUCCUAACCAGGCAAUAUUGCCAGAAAAUAACGAACAAUGAUCCAAAUCCUUUUAUUUUACAUAAAUAAUUUCAAUUCACAACAACUAUGACGUUACAUUACCAAACAAACACUAAAUAUUUUGAUUAUUGUAGUUUAUCUUUCAUUCAUAACAUGAAGAGUUUGAAAUAUGAUAUCAAAACAAAGAGUAUGACAUGUCGUGUUGUGUUCACAGAAGAAAUGUAAGCCAUGUCAUCCGAAAACUAAAAGGAACGUAUGACAAUCAGAAGCUGUCAUCUCUGAUUUGCUUACACUUUUAAGGAUAAAUUCUGGGUUUUCAGUGACAAUUAAAAGCUAGAGUGAGAAUUAGAGAGAGAGUUAGAUAUUCUUAUUCCUAGUCACUUGCUAUAUUUUGUAGGUCUUUUGUGACUCCAAUGAUAAAAUCGCUCAAUAUUUUUUUUUUGAUAGAGCCAUAUUUUUUAAAGCAUAAAGAAAGGCAGAAAUAUUGUAAAUCCAACUUAAAUUUUCUGUUCAUUGUGGUCGCUGCUAGUGCUAGCUGUUUUCUUAUUUAACUUUGUUCCCUUUUGCCAUCAGCUCUUUGCAUUUUCAUUGGAGCAAGCGACCCUUUUCUUGUUUCAAUUUCUGAUCUCAAAAGCACUCUGAUUCUCUGGACACUGAUUUUCUCCUUGUUUUGUACAAAUAUCAUUUCUCUUUCCCAUUUAGCCUUGAUUUGCUUCUACUUGACUAUCAAUUGCCCAGUCGUUGACCCUGUUGUAUUUCUAGUUCGUUCACUCCCCCCCCCUCCCCCCCAAAAAAAAUGGACAUUUUGAAAAGCAUUGUCCUAGGAGUUGUAAACUGCUUUGCUCCUCUAGCACAACACGAAUUUAGUUAUUGGCAUAACUCCGGUGCUAACUUUGACAAUCUCAAGGCAGAACUCGAUAGGCUCAAGGAUAAAAGAGAAAGAAUUCAGCGCAGAGUUUCUGAGGCUGAAAGAAAAAAGUGAAAAGAUUGAAGAGAUGGUUGAGAAAUGGCUGGUUAAUGUGAACAAGAGAAUUGACCAGGCAGCCAAAUUCAUUCAAGACGAAGAGGCAGCAAAUGAUGGCCGAUGUCUCAUGGGGCUGUUUCCUGAUUGGUUUGCUCGCUAUCAGCAUGGAAAGAAAGCAGAAACAGAGAAGGAGGCCCUUUCUAAACUCCGAGAAUAAGCUGAGAGAUUUGAUAAUAGAAUUUCCUACCCUACCAUUCGGGAGGAUAUAUGGCUCAAGUCUAACAAAGACUACGAGAACUUCGAAUCAAGACUUACUACUUUCAAGGAUAUACGAAAGACAUUAACUGAUGUUAAUGUCAGCAUCAUUGGGGUGUACGGCAUGGGCGGCAUUGGAAAGACGACACUGGUGAAGGAGUUUGCUAGGCGAGCCAUUGAAGACGAGCUUUGUGAUAUGGUGGUUUUUUCGGAGGUUACCCAAAGUCCAGACAUAAAACAGAUCCAAUAGGAAAUUGCGGAAAAGCUAGGCCUAGAGUUGUCCGAGGAAGCUGAGUUUAGAAGAGCUAGUAGAAUAUUUGAAAGAUUGAAGAAUGAGAAGAAGAUCCUUAAGAUUCUGGAUAACAUCUGGAAAUCUCUUGAUUUGGGGACUAUUGGAAUUCCUUAUGGGGUUGAGCAUAGAGGAUGUAAAUUAUUAUUCACUACAAGAGAUCUUGAUGUGCUGAUAAGGAUGGGAUCUGAGAAACAAAGAGCUGCCUGAGUGGAAGAAUGCCAUGCAAGAACUCCAAAUGCCUUCAGAGACAAGCUUCGACGAAGGAGUACCAGCAGAGGCACACUCAACAAUUGAGCUGAGUUACAAGUAUUUAGGUAAGCAACUCAAGGAAACGAUUUUACUAUGUAGUCUUAUUGCACCAACUUCAAUUAUGGACUUGAUCAAUUAUAGCAUGGGUUUGGGGUUUUUUGAAAGUGUCCUUAAGCUAGAAGAGGCACAUAACAAAUUACAUGCAUGGGUCCGUCAACUAAGAGACUCUUGUUUGCUGCUUGUGGAUGGUAGCAGUAAAUUCUUUUCUAUGCAUGAUGUUCUUCGCGAUGUUGCCAUUUCAAUUGCAUGUCGUGACAUGAAUGCAUUUGUGGUGAGAAAUAAGAAUAUGUGGGAAUGGCCAAAUCCAGAUGCAUUAAAAAAAUAUCUUGCAAUCUCUUUAAUAAAUAGUCGUAUUAAUGACAUUCCUGAAGGGCUGGAAUCUGCACAACUUGAAUUUUUACUUAUGAUUCCCAAGAACUCUUUUUUUGGGCUCAAUAUUCCUGAGAACUUCUUUAAAGGGGUGAAAAAGCUUCGGGUUGUAGCUUUGGUAAAAAUGCGGUUAUCAUCAUUGCCAUCUUCAAUCUAUCUUCUAGUAAAUCUUCAAACACUUUGCCUUGAUCAAAGCAUUUUGAGAGACAUAGACAUAGCCAUUAUUGGAAAGUUGAAAAAUCUAAAAAUCCUUAGCUUUGUGCGGUCUGAUAUUGUGCAGUUGCCUAAAGCACUAGGUGAACUGACUAAGCUACGGCUGUUAGAUUUAACAGACUGUUUCCAUCUAAAAGUUAUUGCUCCAAAUGUCAUAUCAAGCUCAACCCGAUUAGAAGAAUUGUAUAUGGGUAAUUGCCCCAUUGAAUGGGAGGUUGAAAGAUCCAAUAGUAAAAGAAGUAAUUCUAGCCUUGAUGAAUUGAUGAAUUUACCUUGGCUAACCACUCUAGAAAUUGAUGUUAAAAAUGACAGUAUUUUACCAGAAAGCUUUUUAACCAAAAAGCUGGAAAGGUUCAAAAUAUCUAUUGGAAACGAAUCAUUCAUGCCUCCUCAGAAGAAAACAAUGGUUUCGAAGCCUGCCGCACUUUUUGAUCAACAGUAAUCGUGAGAGUUUAAGAGAAUUGAAGCUCAAGCUUGAUUUUAUGGACAUUUGCUCCAUGAAAUUGCAGGGCAUCAAUAAUGUUGAAUACCGAUAGUUGGACAAGCUGCACGGUGUCAAGAAUGUUCUUUUCGAUUUGGACACAGAGGGCUUUUCACAGUUGAAGAUUCUCUGGGUUCAAAAUAAUGCUGACUUCUUUUUUAUCGUUGACUCAAUGGAGAUGGUCGCUUGUGAUGCCUUUCCUCUUUUGGAGUCGCUUACUCUUUUCAAUUUGAUCAACAUGGAGAGGAUAUGUAUGAAAAAUAAUUUCUUGAAACUUAUUUAAAUCCAGACUAAAUUACUGAGCAACAUCAAAUUGGAAGCGUACCUGAAUCCAUUGUUAUUAUGCACUAGAAAAGAUUUUUGAUCUUGGCAAUGGAUUUCCAAACUAGUCUCUAUCCUGUGUUAAGAAUUCUCACUGAGAGGAUUUUUGAGAAUGAAAAGAGAUUGAGAUAGAAUGGGGACCAUAACCACCGUAUAAAGAAAACUGACUAGCGGUUUUAAUUUUAUGUUAAUUAUCACUUCUGCUCCUCAUAGAAGUUAUAAUUAAACUAUAAUAUCUAUGUAAUUAACCCACAACUAUUAUACCCUUAGCCAUUUAAUUAACAUUAAAUAGAUCACUUAAUUGAUGGCUAAUUAAAUAAUAGCACACACAUUUUAUUUGUUUCAUGUGUGGCCCCAAAUAUUAGAUUAAUUAAAAUUAAUCUAACAAUGUAUUGAUCGGCUCAAAAUUGUGAUGAGUUGAGUAAUAUCUUCUGCCUCUCUAGAACAAAAUGCCUUCCAAGACUUGAGAGAAUUGCAGUUAUUAAUUGCAGGAAGAUGAAAGAGAUUUUUGCAAAUGGGGGAGAAGCUGAUGUUGACAACAACAAUGCAACUGAGAGGAUACAGUUUUCUCGAUUAAGAUCUUUGAGUCUGGAAAAUCCUCCAGAGGUUACAAGUUUUUUCCGUGAAGUGAAGACUCCUUCAGCAUCACCACACAGACGAGUGCCGGAAGAGGAAUUGACAAAUUCUUGCUCCAACGAAAUCAAUUUAGAUAGUUCAACUCAGCUUUUCAACGAGAAGGUGCAUAGGUUAAUACUUUAUUUAUUUAUAUAUGAUUUUAUUCUAUUGUGCAUUCUCUUUUGAUGUCAUACGCAGGAAAUAAUUAAAUCAUUAAAGAAUUAAAAGAAAAUGAUAAAAAGCAAAAAAGAAUCUCACGCACUUGCUAAUGGAGCUCUUAGCAAGUAAUAUGAAUUUGAUUGUAUACUCAGCUGUCUGUUGGAAAUUGAUUCUGACUUGCUUUAAUUUGUAAUAACAGAAGAAAAAUUUCAACAAGUGCUUCUUAUAUGGUUAUUGGUUCUAACGAGAAAUUUAUAUCUUUUUUAGGUGGAGUUGCCUAACUUGGAGGCUUUUGAGUUGUGUUCAAUUAAUGUCGACAAGAUUUGGCACUACAAUCAUCUUCCGUUCAUGCUUUCUCGCUUUCAAAGUUUAACACGAUUGAUUGUGCAGAGCUGUCCCAAAUUAAAAUACAUAUUUUCAGCGUCUAUGAUCCAAAGCUUUGAGCUGCUCCGAGAACUAUCCAUAGCGGAUUGUAGGGGUUUGCGAGAGAUCAUUUCGAAAGAUAGAGCAGAUCAUGUGACCCCUUGUUUUGUCUUUCCACAGAUGACCACUUUGAGACUCGAAAUUCUACCAGAACUUAAAUGCUUAUACCCUGGAAUGCAUACUUCGGAAUGGCCAGCACUAAAAACUUUAUAUGGGCCUCAUUGUGACCAAUUAAAGAUAUUCGCUGCAGAUUUAUUGCAGAAUAAUGGGAAUGAUCAACUUGGAAUUUCCGCACAACAACCCCUAUUUUUGUUCGGAAAGGUAUGAAGUCAUUUUCUCGAUUUUUUAUUAAUUAGAUCAUUGACGACUUUUGACUUUGAAAAAUAUACAAAACAUCGAUAAAUUAGUACUUAAUAAAUUGAAAACUUCCAUUACAUAAUAAUUUUUGCUAGUUUGGACAAAGGGAUCAAUGUGCUAAAUUAAUAAUUCCAUGAACUUCUUUAGGUGUAGCAUUAUAUUAGUUUUGUCAUAUAUAACCACUUACAAUAUAAAUUAAUAAUUUACUAUUGUGGAAUAAAAUAUUUUCAUACCAAUUUAUAAAUCAAUCAUUUUUUCCCUAAUUUCUCUCUUAUCUCUAAAAUUAACAUAUAAAAGCCCUAGAAUGAAUUUUAUCACUAAUUCAAUUUUUCCGUACUUUUUUUGUAAAAUAUAACAUAAAAGAAAUACUAUAAAGUCAAUGUGUAUGAAUGGAUUACUCAAAAUUAUUUGAGAGCACAUCAAUUGACCUAAUUAGUUAUUACGUGAUUGAUGAUGACCAGACCUUUCCCAACUUGAAGACACUAUCAUUACGGGGAAAAGACGUGAAGAUGAUUUUUGCAGGCUAAUUUACCACAACACCUUUUUGGUAGUCUUAAAGAACUACACAUAACUUUUAAUUGGUUUGACUGUAUCAAAAAGUCUUGAUAUGCGUCUUAUGAUGUUGUGAUAGCUUAUCUAUAUGGGUCACUUGACACGGAUAUAUGUAUGAAAAUCCCUUAAGGAUUUAAAAUGCCAGAAUCUUGUCAAUCAUCACAUCGUGGCUUGUAUUCAAUAAAGCUACAAAAGUCUUUAUAAGUAUUAAAACAAUCUGGAUGCAUGUGGUAUAAUCGCCUCAGUGAAUAUUUGAUAAAACUAUGAUACGUUAAUGAUCCUAUCUGUCCAUGUGUUUUUAUCAAGCAAUCAAAAUUUGAAAUUACUAUUGUCGCAGUUUAUAUUGAUGAUUUGAAUUUAAUAGGAACUCCUGAAGAGCUCCAAAAGACCGCUCAAUGUUUGAAAAAUGAAUUUGAAAUGAAAGAUUUAGGGAAAACUAGGUAUUGUCUUGAGAUGCAGACCGAGCACAGACUUAAUGGUAUAUUUAUCCAUCAAUCAACUUAUACUGAGAGAAUUUUAAAACGUUUCAACAUGGAUAAAGCUUACCCAUUGAGUACCCCAAUGGUAGUCCAGUCUCUUGAUCCGAAAAAAGAUCCAUUCCGUUUUAAAGAAGAUGAUGAACAGAUACUUAGUCCUGAAGUACCAUAUCUAAAUGCAAUUGGUGCUCUGAUGUAUUUAGCACAAUGUACUAGACCAGACAUAGCAUUUUCUGUUAAUUUGUUAGCUCAAUUUAGCUCUGAACCAACUAGAAGACAUUGGAAUGGUGUCAAACACAUUUUUCGUUAUCUUCUAGGAACAAUUUGAUUUAGGUUUAUUUUAUUCUAAUGAACUAACAAAAAAUCCAGGUCUUGUUGGUUAUGCUAAUACAGGUUAUUUAUCUGAUCCCCAUAAAGCUCGUUCACAAACAGGAUAUAUUUUCACUUUCAAUGGUACAAAGAUUUCUUGGAAGUCUACAAAACAGACUCUCGUUGCAACAUCCUCCAACCAUUCUGAAAUUCUUGCACUACAUGAAGCCAAUCGAGAAUGCAUAUGGUUGCGAUCUGUAAUCCAUCAUAUUCAAAGUACAUGUAGAAUAUCUUCAAGUUCAGAUAUCCUAACAGUGAUAUAUGAAGAUAAUGCUGCAUGUAUAGCUCAACUCAGAGGAGGAUACAUUAAAGGGGACAGAACAAAACAUAUUUCACCGAAAUUCUUCUACACUCAUGAGCUCCAACAGAAUAAGAAGAUUAAUAUCAAACAGAUACGCUCCACGGAAAAUUUAGCUUAUAUGUUUAUAAAAGCUCUACCUACAUCUACGUUCGAAAAAAUUGUAUAUGGCAUCGGCAUGCAUCAUUUUAACAAACUGUUAAAUUAAUACAUGUUGCCUUCAGGAAGAGCACUCAACAAGAGGAGCGUGAUCUUACAAGAGAAGAAUCGUAGUAAUAUUGGACACAUAUAUACUGUACUCUUUUUUUUCCUUUUGACCAGGUUUUCCCAUUGGAUUUUUACUGGCAAAGGUUUUUAAUGAGGCAGUAUCCAAUGUCAUUAGGGGGAGCACAUCUAAUGAAUAAUUGGUGAAUCUAAUGGGGAGCGUUGUAAAUCGUGAUGGAUUCCACCAAAAUAAUGCUCUCCCAUUAUCUUCUUUAUUGCUCUUCCCCUUUUUAUAAUUAAUAAUUGUGAAUAACCCCACCUUCUAAUGCCUAUAUAUACCCUUUCUUUGCUAAUGAAUGAAUACAAUUCAAUUUCUUGCUCAAAGCAUUUUGCUUGUUUUCUUCAAUAUUCAUUUGAGUAUUCCUUACUUAAAUAUCAUCAUUAAAUAAUUGCUUACACACAACUCCUUUAAAUUAUAACAUCCAUUAUCUCCGAAUUUAAAAUACUUUCAACAAUUUUUACGGAUUCUGGCAAUUGUUCACGCAACUAUUUUAAUCGAAAAUAUAUAUGGCUCCAUAAACAAUGAUUAUCUCUUGACAGCUGUUCUGCACUUGCUUUUUUUUUUUUUUUUUGAAGAAAGGAAGAAAUUCAUUAAACAGACAAAUGAGAAAAUAACCAGGGUGGUGGAACAUGUCUCCAUUCACCCGGACCUGACACAGAACACCCCACCUUAGCCACAACAUGGGCGGCGGUAUUCGCAGAUCUCCUUACAAAAGAGAAAGUCACCUCUUUUAAGCAAUGAGCCAAGGCUCUACAAUCUGAAAUAAUAAUACCAAAUCCGUUUUGAUAGUCCUUGGAGUCAAUCAAAGCAUUAAAAACUUGUAAACAAUCAGUCUCAAUAAUAAUAGGAAAAAACUGGGUGUUCUUAAGCCAACUCAAGACCUCUCACACACCCAAAGCCUCUGCCUCGCGAGCUCCAAAAUUGCCAAUCAAAGAUCCACAUUUUGCAGCAAGAAAUUGACCCUCAGAAGACCGGAUAACUGCGCCUUAGCUAAUCCUAGUAGUAGCGCGGGAAGUGGCAGCGUCCACAUUGCAUUUAAACCAUCCAACGCGAGGGCGUUUCCAGCAAAUAGAGCCAAGAGUUAAAUCUGCUGGCAUCUGAGUAAAGUGACUCAGUUGACGAGCCUUUUGCCACUGGAACAAGUCUUGACCAGCUUUAUUGAGCACUUGAGACACUCUGCCUACUACAUGCCUCCAAACUUUAGUAUUCCGAUUCUGCCAAAGACCCCAGUAAACCAUUGCAGCAAGACAACUAUCCUCAAUACUACACCGAGUAAAUAAAGCAUCCAACCAAGCACCAAAAUUCACAAAAUUUCCAGCAAAACCAACCAAGGAAACCAUCCAGCAUUGUUUGGCAAAAGGACAAUCAACUAAGACAUGAUAAAUUGUCUCAAGAGAUUCAUUAUAGAUAGUACAAUAAGGGUGUACCUCGACUCGACGACUGAGAAGGUUAUCAGCAGUGGGAACCACAUUUGCCACAGCUCUCCAAAGAAAAUUCUUGAUUUUGGCGGGCACAGCCAGCUUCCAAAUCUUACUCCAAACUCCACUGCCAGGCGGUUCCGAUAUAAUAUCCAUCCACUUGUAACAACUUCGAACAGUGUAAACUCCUUUUGCGUCAGGGAGCCAAUACCAAGUAUCACAAUCCCUCCGAGAGCUAAGAGGAAUUUGGAGAAUGCAGUCUCGAUCUCUUCUGUUAAACACAUCCUUUACAAGGUCAUAAUCCCACCUUCGGUGAUCAGGAAUCAUAAGACUGUUAACAUUUAUGUUUCAUAAUAUUGAUUUUGAUGAUAACAAACAAGAUUAAGAAUAAUUAAUCUUUUAGGAUCAAAUUAUUUUUUAUAUAUUUUAAAUAAAUCAUUAUUUUCACAUUAUAAAUGUUUUAUAUUUAAUGAAAAAAUGAUUUUAAGAAAAAUGAUUGUUUAAAUACAUGAAAUGUUUGUCAUCAUCAAAAAGGGGGAGAUUGUUAACAUAUAUGUUUCCAUAAUAUUGAUUUUGAUGAUAACAAACAAGAUUAAGAAUGAUUAAUCUUUUAAGAUCAAAUUAUUUUUAUACAUCUUAAAUAAAUCAUUAUUUUCACAUUUUAAAGGUUUUAUAUUUAAUGAAAAAUGAUUUUAUGAAAUUGGUUGUUUUUCAAAGUUUAUGGUUUAAUUAAAAGAAUUUUUGAAAACUUUGAAAUAAACAAGUAUUGCUUGAAAUUCUGGUAAAGGACUUAUUUGAAAAGUGUUAUAGCAUUUUGGCUAUAUCAUAAUUUCAGAAAGUUUUGGGAUUAACAAAGCAUUACUUAGAAAUUCUGAAAUUGGACCUAUUUGAAAUAUUUCAUAACGUUUUGGGCCUUAGUACAGUUUUAUAAAGUUUUGGGGUCAAACUAUAAUUUCAAAAAAUAGUGCACUGUGCAGGUUACUGUAGCAAGCGGCUUACCGGAUUCUAAAAACCGGAAAUCCGGAUUCGGGGCAGUAAGCAUCCGAAACGCAAACGGCUAACCGGAUGUCCAUAAACGGCAAGCCGGUUACGACAAAAAAUGUGCAUAACGGCUAGUUUUUGAGUUCAAACUAUAUAAACUCAAAACCAAUUCAUUUUUGGUAACUUAAGCAAGCAAGAACAAGUGCACACAACAUAUAUUGAGCUUCAACUUCGUGAAUCAUCAUUCAUUAAAUCAAAGUGCACACAACAUAUAUUGAGCUUCAACUUCGUGAAUCAUCAUUCAUUAAAUCAUCUUUGUUCUUCAAUUUGUAUAUCCACUCUUAAAGAGAGUUUCAUUGUUGUAUUUAUCAUUUCUCAUAAAAUUGUGAGAGUACAAGUGUGAGAAACACUUAGAGUGAAGAGAUUGGAGAGAUAAUCUCUUGUUGUAAAGGUUUAUUGACACCUCGAAGUCAAUUGUAAUCGUUGAAGCCUUGGAAAGGCUUGGAUAGUGAAAUCCUCAAGCGGGUGAGCUUGGAGGCGUGGACGUAGGCGGGGAUAGCCGAACCACGUAAAAAUCCUUGUGUUCAUUUUCUCUUCCCUUACUCUUUUAAUAUUGUGUUUAUUUGAAUUUAUUGUUUUCGAAUUGAUUAAGGCAUUAGAUUGAAUUGUUGUGUGGUUUGCCUAGGAUAAUUUUUAAAAUUCCAAUUCACCCCCCUCUUGGGUUGCACACUUAUACCUAAUUACUCACAGGAGCUGAUGCUAACGUCGCUGGAAGAUUAGUUGUAAUAAAGCCACUCUCCUGAUCAGGCAGCUAGGGAACCAAGCCAAUAGGAAUGCUCUGUCCACUUCCAACUUGGACACGACUCCCUUGGAUUAAAAUCUUCUGAGCAGCCAAAAUCGAUCUCCAUGCAUAACUCGGAUUACUUCCCAACUUAGCUUGAGUGAAGUCUGCAUUAGGCUAAUACCGUGCUUUAAAUAAUCUGCCCACCAGCGAAGAUGGAUUUGUAAUUAACCUCCAGCCUUGUCUCCCUAGCAUAGCAACAUUAAAGUUGUGGAUGUGUUUAAACUCAAUACCACCAUAAGAUUUGGGCUUACAAAGUUUUUCCCACUGCAUCCACUUAAUUCCACCACUACCAUAUCUUUUACUGCCCCACCAAAAAGAAUUCAGCAUCCUUUCAAGUUCUCGCAGAGGUCGAGAGGGAGGAGGUAAACUUGCAUAGCAUAAUUAGGUAUGGCAUGUGCCACAGUUUUAAUUAAGAUUUCCUUUCCAGCUCUAAAGAGGAGUUUCUGAUGCCACCCUUGAAUUCUCUGCCAAACUUUAUCCUUUAUAUAUCGGAAAAUAUCUAUCUUCUUGCGCCCAACAUAUGAUGGUAAUCCAAAAUAGGUACCAUGGUCUGUAGUAGCUGUAACUCCAAGUUGUUGACAGAUAUUAUGAACAGUAUCCUCAGCCAUAUUCCUACUGAAAGAAAUUGAGGAUUUAUUGUAGUUCACUUGCUGCCCCGAAGCUGCUUCAUAAGUUGUCAAAAUCUUUUUUACCAGGUGAGCCUCCUGAACAGUAGCUUUAAAGAAAAGAAAGCAGUCAUCAGCAAAAAAGAGGUGAGAAACCAAAGGAGCACCUCUAGCAACUCGAGCCCCAUGGAUCAUCCCAGCCCUCUCAUAGUGAUUUAUCAGCAAACUCAGCCCCUCUGCACAGAUGAUAAACAGAUAUGGCGAUAGCGGAUCUCCUUGUCUAAGACCUCGACUUGGCACGAUAGGGCCCAGCUCCAACCCUUCCCGGGUAAUUUUGUAGGUAACUGUAGUGACACAGAGCAUAAGAAGAUUCACCCAAACAACAUCAAAUCCCAACUUCAGUAAAAUCGAUCUAAGAAACCCCCACUCAAUCCGAUCAUAAGCCUUGGUCAUAUCGAUCUUUAAUGCAGCAAUCCCCUCAUUUCCUUGACGUUUCCGUUUGAGAAAGUGCAUUAUCUCAGCCGAGAUUAAAACAUUAUCAGCAAUAGCUCUACCUGGAACAAAAGCACUCUGAGAAUUGGAAAUUAUCGAUCCUAAAACCAUCUUCAUACGAUUAGCAAGCAUCUUGGCUAUAAUUUUAUAGAGGACAUUACAUAAGGAAAUAGGUCGAACAUCAGUUAAGAAUUCUAUAUGUUUCUUCUUAGGAAUAAGGACAAUGGAAGUCUCAUUAAAACCCUCAGGAAAAGAACACUCCCGAAUGAAUCUAAGACACGCCUCAGUAAUAUCAGUACCCACAAUAUUCCAAAACUUUUGGUAAAAUGCUGGGUUCAUUCCAUCAGGACCAGGGGACUUAUCAGGGUGCACAUCAAACACGGCAGAUUGAACAUCUUCAGCAGUAAAAGGUUCCAAAAGAGCUUGAUUUUAUACAUCAGUAAUUUUAGCUUCCACACAACUUAGCACAUCAUCAUAAGAACAAAUCCCAGUAGUAAAUAAAGUUGUGAAAUACUCACGAAUUAAAUUAUUUACAUCCGCAGGAUUAGUACACCAUUGCCCCUCUUGCGUGCGAAGCUUAAUUAAGGUAUUCUUACGCUUCCUUGAUGAGGCCAUGGCAUGGAAAUACUUUGAGUUUAAAUCCCCAUCCCGAAGCCAAAACAUCUUCGAACGCUGCUUCCAAUAAACUUCAUGGCUAUGCAAGAGCUCAUUGUAUCUAUCUCGAGCUUCAGUAAAAUCAGCCAAGCUAACUGUAUCACGCUUGCCCCGAAGCUGAUUCAUUUUAUCCUUGCACUCCUUAAUUUGAACUUUGAAAUCCCGAGUACGAUGAUAGCCCCACCGAACUAAAUCUAAGCUGCAAGCCGGAAUUUUACUGAGAAUAGGAAGCCCACUCGUCAUAGACCAACUCUUCUCAACAAUAUUAGCACAAUCCGGAUUUCUAAGCCAUGAGUUCUCAAAACGAAACUUCAUUGACCGCCGUCUCAAAACCACAGGAGACACAUCCAAAAAGAUAGGGAGGUGAUCUGAACUCGAAGCUUCAAGACACAGAACCUUCGCUUGCGGGAAAAGAUUCACCCAAGCCGAAUUUGCAAGGGCUCGAUCUAACCGUUCUUCAACCCAAGCUUCAGUGCCCCGUGACCGUUCCCACGUGAACUGGUAACCAUCCAUACCCAAAUCAAUGAGGCCCGAAUCUGAAAGGGCAGCCCUGAAACCAUUUAUCUUCCACUGCGGGUGGGCAUGAGAGCCGCGGUUCUCUGAGGAAUUGAGAAGGUCGUUGAAGUCCCCUAGGCAGACCCAUGGUAACGACGAAGAAGAAGCUAGGUACCGGAGAAGAUUCCAAGAAUCAUGUCUGCGAAAUGACUCGGGAAACCCAUAGAAACCCGUAAGUCUCCAGAUGCCCCUUUCACUAUCCUCAACUGCAACGUCUAUGAAAUUACGACCAAACUUCAAUAGUUUAACUUUAAAACUAUUUUUCCAGAACAUAGUAACCCCACCACUACGACCCUUUCUAUCCACCACAAACAAACCCUCAAAGCCUAAUUUAAUUUUGAUGCUUUCUAACUUAUCUCUGUAACAUAAUGUCUCAAUCAAAAAAAUAAAGUCCGGUCUUUUAUUAUGGACCAACUCAACAAGAGCUUGAACUGACCGUGGGUGGCCCAACCCACGACAAUUCCAACUUAAACAACUCAUUGCUGUCGGUGGGCCUGGGAUACAGGGCCCACCGCUGGUCCAUUUUUUGAGUGCUCACUCAUCUCUAUUGUCUCGUUAUCAGCAUGCUCUUCUAAAGUCAAAUUGAUAGAAGGCCCACCUCCUGAUCUUCUCCGUUUUGCAUCAACUAAAAUUAAUGCAGAAUUAUACUCCACAUCAGUUUCCUUCACAAGCAUCGAAUGAUUAGCUAUUAGUUCCUCGUCAAUUCCAGCUACACACGUUGACUUACAGCCUGUUACAAGAGUAUUAGUUUCCAUAGUAGAAGUCAUUGUGGCUUGAUCACUUUCCUUCCCAAGGUCUCCAUGACCAGCUGUCCCAUGAUUCACGCUAUUUUCCAAGUCAACUGCCAUUGCAACAGCGGAAGUUGAGGAAUUACCAAAUUUCACCUCAUCUAUCUCCAACACUCCCGAUCUGAGCCAAUGGUCACCAGUGUUCAUCGAAUUUCUCCGAUUGGGAGCCUUCAUCCAAGGGCCAUAAGGUUUUGUAACAGGGGUAGCAUCGGUUUCAUAUAUUGAAGGGCAAUUUAUAUCAGUGUGUCCUAAAAUGCCAUAGAUAAAACAAAAAUUGUGCAGUCGCUCAUACUUGAAGUCUACCCAUAACCACUCCCCACCCUCCCAUUUGAGGCGCAUUCGUCGUUUAAGAGGUUUCCUAACAUCAAUCGAAACCCUCAGCCUCAUGUAAUUACGCCAUACUCCUGUAAGAUUAUGUUCAUCAGACGCCAAAAAUUCACCAAUAAAGUUGCCAAUACUCUGUAAUAUUUUCUCGGAUUGAAAUCCAAGAGGCAGAUUAUACACUUGAACCCAGAAAUAUGUGUGGAAUAGAGGGAUAUUCUGCGGUUGUUCAACUACCCCAAGUCUCCGAAUGAUAAGAAUAUGCUGGUCAAAAGUCCAGGGACCAGAUUCAAGAACCCUCCUCACAUCAAUUUCAUGAAAGAACUGGAAGAGAAAAAGCGUGGGAGAUAAAUCCUUAAUACAAACACCACGCCCAGGACGCCAUAACGAAGCCAUAGUAUUUUUCAUGGCAAUAAAGUUCACUACUUUAUCCGUGAGAAAUCUUCCCACAAGGCAGAAUUUGGAAUCAAGGCGGAUAUCCCCAGGUUCACCAAUAUCUCCUCUCCAGCCACAAUCAAACCACCCUCCUCCUCUUCGUCAAGUUGCAGGCGCGCACAGAUGUUGCUCAUCUCAGAUGCCGGAGUAUUACUUGAGUUGGCCAUGGAUUAAAGAAAGAAAGGAUCGAAUCCGUAGACAGUAGAGAAAUAACAAAAGGAGACCAGAUUUUACUUGUCAAAAGACAAGACACACACACUUGUCAAAAGACAAGACACGAAUAAUUUUCCCACCUUAAAAGCUGGAAUAUCUUGGAACACUCUAAUGCACACUCGGUAAAAACAAAAGCAUGCUAAUUAAUAAACAUUUUUCACCAAAACCAAAACAGUGCUUGCCAUUUCUUUUUUGCACAGAAACCAAAACAAUGCUCUUAUCUUCCAUGCGGAACUUCCAGCAACUUUCACCGGCAACGGCUGGACAUAUUAGCGAUGGCUGGACAUUUCAGAAUGGAGACGGUUGAUGAAUGUGCGACGGGUCGGGUGCUGGUGGUGCUGGCAGUGGCAGAAAGAUCGCGCUUGGCGGGUGUUAAGUGAUACUAUUUUUGUAGCUUAGUCGCAGUUGCCGGAGAUACGUGGACGGCCAGCAAAAAGUACAUUAAUAUCUAUGUGUUUGAGAAGUUAUUCCAACCUUCUCUUAGAAUACUAUAAUCAGAUUUGAGUGGUUCUGUAAAUCAAGUUUGAACUAAUAAAUCCAUUCGGUGACUGUUAAUCCUAAGUACUAGUGUCGCUUGAUUUUUAUCUUAACCCGACACCGUGUGUUCUGCACUUGCUAUUUGUACUGAAAUAGAAGAUUAUCUCUUGAUGAUUAUUUAAUUGAAAAGAAUUUGUCGUUUAUAUUUGUUCACUGGCCUUUGGAUGAGGAUCACAUGUUUUAUGACAAUCCUAAUGUUGCUAAUGUAAGUCAAGCAAUUAUUUUUAAAUAAUGAUAUUAUAAUUAAAAAUCUAAAAACAUUUAUAAUACUUAAAGACUAAUUCAGAUUAUUAAUUUUUUUAUAUGACUUCAUUAUUAGCUGACAAAUAAUUAAAAGGCCAUAGAACAAUAUUUUUAGGUCCAAUUUUUACAAAACUUGUACUUUCAUUCCUAAGCUAAAAUAUAUCUAACCUACUAACAAUCAAGAAAUAUAUCUAUUCAACACAUAUUUGUUAGAAAGAUUAUCUACUAAUUAAUCAUUGGUUACGAGAUUAAUAUAUUGAAAUUCAGAACUUUUUUUUUUCCUUCUGCAGUUUAAAAAGGAGUCGCCCACGAGUAUUGAAAUAAUUUUAUCAGAUUCGCUUGAAAGUAGUUUUACGAGCAAGCAGUUUUUCCCUCUUGAUCCCCGUAUUCGUCAGCUCCUACUCUUUGCCUUCAAUUCUCAGUCAAGAAAACCUCUCCUGAUUUUCGUCUUUUGAUCUCAUACACACUUUGCUUCUAUUUAUCGUGGUCACUGCUCAUGCUAGCCGUUUUCUUAUUUACCUUCGUUCCCUUUCGCCAUCAGCUAUUUGCAUUUUCAUUGGAUCAAGCAACCCUUUUAUUGAUUCAAUUUUCUGAUCUAAAAAACACUUUGAUUUCCCUUGUUUUGUACAAAUAUCAUUUCUUUUUUCAACUUUGCCUUGUUUUGCUUCUACUUGAUUAUCAAUUGCGCGGUCGUUGACCCUGUUCUAUUUCUAUUCCGUUCACUUCCUCCCCCCCCCCCCCCCCAACAAAAAAAAAUGGACAUUUUGAAAAGCAUUGUUCCUGGAGUUGUAAACUGCUUGUCUCCGCGCGCACAACGCGAAUUUAGUUAUUGGUACAACUCCGCUGCCAACUUUGAGAAUUUCAAGGCAGAACUCGAUAGGCUCAAGGAUGAAAGAGAAAGCAUUCAGCACAGAGUUUCGGAGGCUGAAAGAAAAAGUGAAAAGAUUGAAAAGAAGGUUGAGAAAUGGGUGGUUAAUGCGAACAAGAGCAUUGAGCAGGCAGCCAAAUUCAUUCUAGACGAAGAGAAAGCAAAUGAACGAUGUCUCAUGGGGAUGUUUCCUAAUUGGAUUACUCGCUAUCAGCAUGGAAAGAAAGCAGAAACAGAGAAGGAGGCCUUUUUUAAGCUCCGAGAAGAAGCUGGGAGAUUUGAUGAUAGAAUUUCCUACCGUACCAUUCCGGAGGAGAUUUGGCUCAAGUCUCACAAAGGCUACGAGGCCUUCGAAUCAAGACGUUCUACUUUGGAGGCUAUAAAAAAUGCAUUGAUCGAUGUUGAUGUCAGCAUCAUUGGGGUGUCCGGCAUGGGCGGCAUUGGAAAGACGACACUGGUGAAGAAGGUCGCCAGGCAAGCUAUGGAAGACAAGCUCUUUGAUAUGGUGGUCUUUUCAGAGGUUUCCCAAAUCCCAGACAAAAAAAGGAUUCAACAGGAAAUUGCCGAGAAGUUGGGCCUAGAGUUGGGCGAGGAGGUUGAAUCCAGAAGAGCAAGUAGAAUAUUUGAGCGAUUGAGAGAUGAGAAGAAGAUCCUAGUGGUUUUAGACAACAUCUGGAAACACCUUGAUUUGGAGACCGUUGGAAUUCCUUGUGGAGAAGACCAUGAAGGAUGCAAACUACUGCUGACAGCAAGAGAUCGUAGUGUCCUCUUAAAAAUGGGAUCUAAAGACAACUUCUUGAUUAACAAUUUAAAUGAUGAAGAAGCAUGGAGAUUGUUUAAGAUGAUGGCCGGUGAUGAUGUUGAAAAUCGUGAGUUGAAAUCUACAGCAACAGACGUCGCCAGGGCAUGUGGAGGUUUGCCCAUUGCCUUGACUACAGUGGCAAAGGCACUGAGAAGCAAGAGUCUGCAUGAAUGGAAGAAUUCCUUGCGAGAACUCCGAACGCCUUCAAUGGUAAACUUCGAAGGAGUAUCUGCAGAGACUUAUUCAAGUAUUGAGCUGAGUUUCAACCAUUUAAAAGGUGAGCAACUCAAGAAAAUUUUUCUGCUCUGUAGUCUAAUGGAUAACCGUAUUCUUACUUCGGACUUGUUUAAGUACUCCAUGGGUUUGGGUAUAUUUAAAGGAGUCAAUAAGAUGGAAGAUGCACGAGACAAAUUAUAUGCAUUAGUCCAUGAACUUAGACACUCUUGUUUGUUGCUUGAGGAUGAUAGCAAUGAACAAUUUUCAAUGCAUGAUGUUGUUCGCGAUGUCGCAAUAUCGAUUGCAUGCCGCCACCAACAUGUGUUUUCGGUGAGAAAUGAUGAGGAUGUGUGGGACUGGCCAGAUGAGGAUACACUUCAAAAAUGCAAUGCUAUCUCUUUAAUAAAAAAUAGUAAUUGUGAAUUUCCUGAAGGAUUAGAAUGCCCAAACCUUGAAUUUUUAUAUAUCUCUCUCAAAGAUUCUUCUCGUGAAAUUAAUAUUCCUGGGAACUUUUUUGUAGGGAUGAAAAACCUUAGAGUUCUAGAUUUCACUCUAAUGCAGUUUUCUUCUUUUCCAUCUUCAAUUGAUCUUCUAGUAAAUCUUCACACACUAUGUCUGGAUCAAAGUUCGUUGGGGGACAUAGCAAUCAUUGGGAAGUUGAAGAGUCUAGAAGUCCUUAGCUUUGUGAGGUCUGAUAUUAAGAAGUUGCCCGAAGAGCUAGGUCAACUGUCUAAGCUAAGGCUGUUUAAAAGUCGGCGGCGCUUUUCGGUCAACAGUGAUCGCAAGAGUUUAAGAGCAUUGAAGCUCAAGCUUGAUUUUAUGGACAUUUGCUCCAUGAAAUUGCAGGGCAUCAAUAACGUAGAAUGCUUAUGGUUGGACAAGCUGCAAGGCAUCGAGAAUGUUCUUUUCAAUUUGGACACAGAGGGCUUUUCACAAUUGAAGCUUCUCUGGGUUCAAAAUAAUCCUGACAUCUUUUGUAUCGUCGAUUCAAGGGAGAUGGUCGCUUGUGAUGCCUUUCCUCUUUUGGAGUCACUUGGCCUUCACAAUUUGAUCAACAUGGAGAGGGUAUGUAUUGAUCGGCUCAAAGUAGAGUCUUUCAACAAACUCAAAACCAUAGAAGCAUAUAGUUGCGAUACGUUGAGUAAUAUCUUUUGGCUCUCUACUACAGAAUGCCUUCCAAGACUUGAGAGAAUUGCAGUUAUUAAUUGCAGCAAGAUGAAAGAGAUUUUUGCAAUUGGGGGAGAAGUUGAUAAUGCAAUUGAGAAGAUAGAGUUUGCUCAAUUAAGAUCUUUGAGUCUGGGGAAUCUUCCAGAGGUUACAAAUUUCUGCCGUGAAGUAAAGACUCCUUCAGCAUCACCAAACAGACCAGUGUCGCAAGAGGAAUCGACGACUAUGUAUUGCUCCAGCGAAAUCACUUUGGAUACUUCAACCCUGCUUUUCAACGAGAAGGUGCGUAAGCUUACAUUUUUUUUAUUCUAUCAUGCGUUCUCUUUUGAUGUCAUACGUGGAAAAUAAUUAAAUCAUUUAAAAAAUGGAAAGAAAAUGGAAAAAAGGAUAAAAAGAAUCUCACGCGCUCACUAAUUGAGCUCUUAACAAGUAGUAUGAAUUAGAAUGCAUCAAACUCAGCUGUCAGUUGGAAAUUGAUUCUGACUUGCAUUAUUCUGUAAUCAAAGAAGAAAAUUUCAACAAGUGCUUCCCAUAUGGAUAUUGGAUCUAACGAGAAAUUCUUUUUUUUUUAGGUUGCGUUGCCUAACUUGGAGGCUUUGGAGAUAUCUGCAAUUAAUGUCGACAAGAUUUGGCACUACAAUCAUCUUCCGGUCAUGUUUCCUCGCUUUCAAAAUUUAACACGAUUGAUUGUGUGGCGUUGUCACAAACUAAAAUACAUAUUUUCAGCGUCUAUAAUCGGAAGCCUUAAGCAGCUCCAACACCUACGUAUACGCCACUGUGAGGAUUUACAGGAGAUCAUUUCUGAAAACAGAGCAGAUGAAGAGAUCCCUAAUUUUGUCUUUCCACAGCUCACCACUGCAGAUUUAUCGCAGAAUAAUGAGAAUGAUCAACUUGGUAUUCCUGCACAACAGCCCCCAUUGCCGUUGGAAAAGGUAUGAAGACAUUUUCUAGAUUUUUUGUCUAUAGCUUAUUUUUAGCUUUGAAAAAUAUGGCAAAGCAUCCAUAAAUUAAUACUCAAUAAAUUGAAAACUUUUAUUAUACAAUAAUAUUUGCUAGUCUAGAUUAAGAGAUCAAUGUAGUAGAUUAAUAAUUAUAUGAACUUUUUUUGGUAUAGCAUUUAUAAAAGAAUCCUUAGUCUUUCCAUAUAGAAGAACUUACAAAAUAAAUUAGUAAUUUAUUAUUGUGCAAUAAAAUAAUUUCGAGCCAGUAUGAAUCAACCUUUUUCCCUAAUUUCUUUCUUACCUCUAAAAUUAACAUAUAAAAUAAAUUUUAUCAAUAAUUCAAUUUUUUUAAAAAUAUAAUAUAAAACAAAUACUAUAAAGUCACUGCGUGUGACCGUAGAUCAUCAAUUGACCUCAUUAGUUAUUAUGAUUGAUGAUGAUCAGAUCGUACCCAACUUGAAGGAACUAUCACUAAGUGGAAAAGAUGUGAAGAUGAUUUUGCAGGCCGAUUUCCCACAACACCUUUUUGGCAGUCUUAAACAACUAGACAUUGUUGGAGAUGACUCAGCUUGUUUUCCAAUCUGGAACGUACUGGAGAGAUUUCACAAUCUCGAAAUGCUCAUACUGCGUUAUUUUUCAUCCCACGAAGAGCUAUUUUCGAUGGAAGGAUGCUUAGAGAAACAUGUGGGGAAGUUGGCAAUGAUAAAAGAAUUAGAGCUGCACGGGCACGAUCAUCUGAAGCAGCUGUGCAAACAAGACUCCAAACUUGGCCCCAUUUUUCAGUAUCUUGAAAUUCUAAGAGUAUAUUAUUGUCAAAGUCUGUUAAUUCUAUUGCCAUCAUCAUCGGUAUCUUUUGGGAACCUAACAAAACUUGAAGCUUUCGGUUGCAAGGAAUUGAUACACUUGGUAACAUCCUCCACAGCAAAAACUCUAGUGCAACUCGUCACAGUGCGUAUAUAUGGAUGCAGAGCAAUGACAGAGGUGGUAAUAAAUGACAAAGGAGUUGAAAAAGAAGAGAUUGUUUUCAGCAAAUUGAAGACAUUAGAACUUUGUGAUUUAGAUAGCCUCACAAGUUUCUGCUCUGCCAAUUACACCUUCAGAUUCCCAUCUUUGGAAUAUCUGGAAGUGAUUGGUUGUCCCAAGAUGAAGAUUUUUGCUACAGGAGAAUCAAUCACGCCUCCAAGAGUAAAUGUCUGGUAUGGAGAGACAGAGGAUCGAUGGCUUUGGACCAAUAAUGAUCUAAACACAACCAUACAACAAUUACACGCUGAAAAGGUACGGAUAUACAUAGUACUCUCUAUCUCCCAUGGAAACAUUUUACAAAAUUUUUUUUUUUAAUAAAAUAUAGAUAAGAUAGUUGUUAUAAAGUAAAAGUUUAAAUUGAUGAAUAAGAAUUUUAUUUUCAGCUGUUGGCGGUGCCGUCGAUAUUCUCUACCCAGUACUAAUUUCAUAGGCUUCUUAUGACUUGGGAGUUGUGUAUUUUUAGAAGAAAGCCUCAGCUGGUAAUUAAUUUUUAUUUCAUUUAUUUGAUCUCAUGGCUUGUUUCGCAAUUUCAUCUGAAUUAUUUAGAAUGGGUCAAUCGGCUUACUGUUAAAUUUGGAAUGCAAUUUUAAUGAUUCGUUCAGACUUUUGUGGACAGAUUUUGCAUCAUUGAAUGUCUUCUAGUCUAGUUUAAUUUGAGUUUUUUUUCUUUUUUUUGAGAGUUCCCCUUGUUUUCUAAAAUUUUAUAAUUCCUUGCAUACUUUGUAUGAUAAAAUUUCAUUAAAAGCCUUCAUAUUUUAUAAUUCCUUGAAAACAUCAUUGCUGUUCUGUUAUUUUAGUUUGGUUUGCUUCACACCUAUCUUUCUUUGGAAAUUUUUUUUUUUUUUUUUUUGAUGAUCUUUCGAAAUGCUCUUCCCUAUGAACACAUAAUUAAGACCAGCUGAAAAUCAUUCAUCGGAUAAAAAAUUAAAAAUAAACAAAAUCUAAUCAGAGCAUUAUGCCUAGAACAAAUCCUUAAACCAUCAAAGCAAAACUCUUCGCUAUGAAAAAAUAUACUGUGGAAAUAUUGUUUGAAAACGUUGGAUACCAAGAAAGGGACUAAUUUGGUCUAGUUUUAUGAGAAGUAUAGAAGAACGUUGUUUUCUCUGUUUUUCCUGUUAGAACUCUUUACUCUGUGAUUGUAGAAUGUCUGGAUACUGAUGAAGAUUCAAGUAACUCUUCUCCUAUGCAUCAUUUGAAAUAAGGUUUUUUUUUUUGGGGGGGUAAUAUCUCCUACUGGGUUAUAGUUCAUACAAAGAGAUUCUUAAAUCAAGCCGGAUACUGCUAGAAACAAGUGGGGAAGUAGGCACUGAUAAAAUGGUUAAUCCUGUCGAGACUUAAUCAUUGAAGCAACUCCAAACUGGACUCCAUUUUAAAUAUCUUGACAUUCUAAGACUAUUUUACAAGCAUUUAAGUCUAUUCCCAUGAUCAUCUAUAUCUUUUGGGAAUCUAACAGAACUGUUAGUUUUCCAUUGCAAGGAAUUGUAACAUCCGUCCACUACAGCAGAAAGUCUAGUGCGGCUCGUAUCAAUGAAGGUAGCUGGAUGCAGGGCAAUGACAGAGGUGGUAAUAGGUGACGGAGAAGAAGAUGAAGCACCAAAUUUAAAUUCAAAACAAGAGAUUGUUUUCAGAUAAAGAUUCUUGAAAUUGUCCUACUUACUGCUGACAUUUCCACAAGAAGUUAGAGAAUAUAAAAAAUUCAUUAAUCGUUAGUUUUUAAUUUCAUUAUUCAAUGAAAAGCCCUGUCAAAUUAAAUUGCAAAUCUCAAUGUGCAAGUACCUAAAUUUACAAAAUUUACUUUAAAUUAAUGAAUGAAAGAAUUUAUAUUCUGCUGUUGGAGGAGUCGUCAUCUCUCUCGACAUAGUAUACGAUAUGUUUUGAUCCCAUAGGCUUUUUAAUAUAUUACCUUGUGUUGUUUGAUCUCUAGGUUUAUUUUAUCGUUUCAUCUUAUUAUUUGCAAUGCGUCAGUUGGUUUAUUUGUUAAUUUUGGAAUGAAGUUGAUGCAGCUGAUGGUUGCAUAGGAUGAGUAGGAUAUCACUCCUAUAUCAUAACUUGAGCGGGUAUCUAUUCGGCAAGAAAUUCUGUUUAUUUCGUAGUUAUUUUACAAAGUUUAAGUUAUUUUCUUAUUUUUCUUAUUAUUUUCAAUAUUUUUAUAUUUUUUCUCUAAAUAUAAGAUUUUAAGUAUGAUUUAUUUUAUUUUUCUUAUUUCAGUUAGGAGAACGUUAUUAUGUAAUAAUAUUUCAAGUUUGUCUAUUUUGAUAAAUACAUAAUAUUUAGAAUUUGUGUAAAAAGGGUCCAAUACCCUAAUUUUGUUAUUCAAACUUCUAUUAAUAAAAUUUCAGACUUUUUAAAAAAAUUUCUCUAUGUUUUCAAUCUCAACAUCUAUGUUUCCCUUUCAUCAUAAGUUCUAAUGUCUGGUUCUGAGCUAGCUUUAUGUGCAUAUUAGACAUCAUUGAAGGUCUUUUGAUCUGAGUUAUGAUCAAAAAAUUAUGCUCGCUUCUGUCUGGUUGUAUGAAAAUUGUACAAAAUAAUAUUCUUAUAUAAUUUUUAUCCUCCAUUGUUACAGAAUCCCCAAGCUUCGAAUUUGUAAACUUUGAAAGCAUGGCAGAAAACUUAGUACUUAAUAAGGCUCUGGAAUAAGACUCUUUAUGGCUUCAAUAUUUUACUUAACAUGAAAUUUUCUUUCUAGCUAGCAUCAUUGUGAAGAUAAAUUGUGGUAGUUCUGACAAGUACUGCACAAUUAAUGUUACCAGCAAUCAAUUGGCGUGAGCACCAACAACCAUUUUCAUAUUUAAGCCUUUAGAAAAGUAACACAAAAUAUGGCAAGUGGCAACCACAUCAAACAAUCAAAUUGUUGAAAGAUUUUGAAAGCUUUAAUUUGCUUGAUAUAUAUUUGAAUAUUUCAACAGAUGCAUCUUUUCUCCACUCAUGGGGCACGUUGAGUUAGAAACGGUUUGAAUGUCAAUAUUACUCCAAGUGCCUCCACCGAAUUCAGAAUGAAAAAAAUCAUCUGGUUACCUGCACUUUAGUUUAAGCAGCUAACUAAGCUAAUUAGCACCAAGUAAUUCACAAACUAGUGAGAAAUUUCAUUAGUUAAUUAUCAUACCUGUUAUUAUACCAUAAACCAACCAAUUAAUUUAAACUUUGGCACAUACAAAAUUUGAAAAAGCUGAAAGCAUGGAAAUGUACUAAACAAACAAAAGAAAAUAUAUUUACCACUGCUCUAUUUUGCAGAAGGAACAAUCCAGUUAUUGUAGACACCUGAUGUUACAAUUCAGGAAAAGUAAAAAAGAAUUACAGCAAUUCUAAUAAAAAAGACAUAAAAUAAUUUUAUACAUACUUUCUGGUGGAUAAUAUAACCUAAGUAUAUGGAUCAAUGAUUAGGAUAUCCACUUACAGAUAAAACAUUCUUCAUCACAGAAGCACAGUUUAUCAAAAAGGCAAGGCUGAACCCAGAUAGCAUUGCUAUGUAAGUGUAACUUGUCAAAAGCGGUAUCGAUAAAACCUGUACAUACAUAGAAAGUUAUGGGACCAAAACCAUGAAGAAAAGUAUUUUAUAAACAGAUAUGUUUGAAACAAACUAUCAAAUGGUCCAAAUGCCGCAUGAGGUGUUCAAAAUAUUACCCCCUGCAAUUCAUGUUAUGAUUAUUGGCCCAAUAAUCCUCUCGACGUAAGGGUACAGAGUAAGUUGAAAAACAAGGAGAAUGAAACCUAUAGUAAGUUCAAAAUGAGGACAAUCGACAAUCGUCAAGCAGUUUUGUGGGGGUGAUGCAUGCGAAAGCAAGUACAGAAAACAAGUAACAUUUUUAGUUUCGUAAUAAGUUUGGUGCUGAUCGCGCAAUAUUUCACAUGCAUAUGCCUCGUGGUGUAAGAGAAGUUUGAGCACAAAUAUUUACAGGAACUAAAUUGGAAUUAUCAAUAAAUACCCCCAAUCAACACCUUUAUUGGUCCAAGUAAACCAUUCAAUUGAAAGAAAUUGAGAGAAAAUAUUGUUUGGUUGCUGAGAAAAUAUCUCAGAAAAUUUCCAGAGAACUUUCGGAUUUCUUGUAUUUAUUUUUCUUAGAAAGAAAUGUUAUGAUUACAACUUAUUUAUACUCAAAACUCAAGGAUUACUAAAGCUAAUGACUAACUAAUUCAGUAGAAUCUCCACAUGCAUAACCACAGCUCGAUAUACAAAGUAAUCACACCAGACUGUUAACUACUUAAGCUGAGGUGGCAGCUGAGCUGUCAUUCUGCUUACAUUCAUCUGACAUCACCAGCUUGCUGGUUUUCCUUAGCUUGUGCAGCUUCCUCUUUUCUGCACAAUGAGCUUCUCUAACAGCCCCCCUCAAACUCAAAGGACAAGAGUGAACAUUGAGUUUGGCCCUCAAGUAAUUAAACUGUAUGAAGGAAAGAGGUUUAGUCAUUAUGUCUGCAACUUGAUCUGCACUUGCUAUAUAUUGAAUGCUGAGCUCCUUAUUAAGAACCUUGUUGCGAAUAAAAUGUAUGUCAAUCUCAAUGUGUUUUGUUCUGGAAUGGUAAACUGGGUUCUUGGCCAAUUCAGCUGAACUAAUGUUAUCACACCAAAUAAUAGGUUUAGCUAUGCAGCAUACUCCAACUUCAGCAAACAAGGACUGUAACCAAGUUAAUUCUGCACUAGCUGAUGCCAAUGCCCAGUACUCACUCUCGGCACUUGACCUAGCUAUUACUCCUUGCUUUUUAGAAGACCAUGAUAUAAGAUUAUUACCCAGGUAGAUACAAUAUGCACUCACUGAUUUCCUGUCAUCUAAAUCACAUGCCCAAUCAGCAUCUGUAAAUCCAGUAAGCUCUAUAUUGCCUUCUUUAAUGAUCUUUAAACCAUAGUCCUGAGUGGCCUUUAGAUAUCUUAAAACCCUUUUACAUGCCAUGAGAUGCUGUAGUGUAGGAGCAGAUACAUACUGACUGAGUUUGUUAACUGCAAAAGCAAUCUCAGGUCUUGUCAAAACCAGAUACUGCAUGCUUCCAACAAUGCUUCUAUAGUAUGUAGGAUCUUCAAGAUAAUGACCAAGCUGUCCUUGAACAGACUUCUGUAACUUCAGACCAGUGCUUAAAGGAGUAUCAAUGCCCUUACAAUUAAUCAUAUCAACCUUAGCUAACAAAUCUCUGAUGUAUUUCCUCUGAGACAGAAAUAUGCAAUCUUCAUCAUAUAAGACUUCUACCCCAAGAAAAUAAGAUAAAAUGCCAAGAUCUUUUAAAGCAAAAGUUGAGCUUAGUGUUGCAAUAAAAUGUUCUAAUUCAGCACUGCUAGGACCUGUAACCAAGAUAUCAUCCACAUAUAUCAACACAAGAAUCAUGGAAGUAUGACUCCUUUUCAAAAACAGAGAUGUAUCAGAAGUAGUAUUAGUGAAUCCCCACUGCAGCAAGCAGCUCUUAAGUUUAUCGUACCAAGCUCGAUGAGCUUGUUUAAGUCCAUAAAGAGACUUGUGCAAUUUACACACAUAACCAGGCUUUGUGUUGUCAAUAAAACCUGUUGGCUGAGACAUAUAAACUUCUUCUGUCAAAUCCCCAUUGAGAAAUGCAUUAUUGACAUUAACUUGUCUAAUUUUCCAUUUGUUCAUCACUGCUAAGCUUAAUACCACUCUGACAGUUGCUGGUUUAAUAACUGGACUAAAGGUUUCAAAGUAGUUUACCCCUGCAAUUUGUUGAAAACCUUUGGCAACAAGCCUAGCUUUGUAUUUGGCUACACUCCCAUCAGUGUUGUAUUUAAUCCUAUACACCCACUUAUUAUCCACAAUCUGUUGAUCAGUCUCUUUAGGAACCAAGGACCAAGUAUUAUUGUGAACUAAGGCAUCAUACUCAUCUUGCAUAGCCUUCACCCAUCUAGAAUCACUCAAAGCCUCUUGCACUGAAUCUGGUUCUUUGUGAGUGAGAAUGGUUGUAUACACUUUUGGUUUAAAAGUGCCAGAUUUGCUUCUGGUGCUCAUAGGAUGAAUGUUGGAUUGUAUUUGAGGUAAGUCAACAGGAGGAGUUAAUGAUGUUGUAUUAUCAGAAACAGAGGCAGAUAAGAAAUAUUGUGUAUUAACAGGUAGAUGAGUUUGAGAACUUACUUGCUGUGAAUUUUGAUCAUUUGUUGUUUGUGCAGGAUUUUCUGAGUGAGUUGAGUUGCUGCUAUCAGGGUUUGCAGAUAAGGAAUAACCAGUGCUAUUUUCAGUAAAUGAUUGAACAACAGGCAAAGUGGAAAGAUGAUAUAUUUGCUGAGGAGAAAAGGAAGUAGAAGAAAGAGGUGAUGAUGAUGACUCCGUGAAACAAUGAAAGCUAGAAUCAGUAGAGUAAGAAAAAGUGAGUUCAUCAAAUAUGACAUGUCUUGCUAUGUAAAGAUGACCUGAAGGAUGUAAGCACUUGUAACCUUUGUGUGAUGAACUAUAUCCUAGAAAAAUACAUUUACUGGAAUGAUAGUCAAAUUUGUGUUGGUUAUAAUCCCUCAAGUAAGGAUAGCAUGCACAACCAAAACACUUAAGCAUAUCAUAGUUGGGUUGGUGUUUGAAAAGUUUCUCAUAGGGAGACAAAAGUUUGAGAACAACAGAAGGCAAUCUAUUUAUGAUGUACACAGCUGUAUGAAAUGCUUCCCACCAAAAUUUAAAGGGUAAUUUAGAUUGAGCUAGCAGUGUAAGUCCCAUUUCAACAAUAUGCCUAUGUUGUCUCUCAACCAAUCCAUUUUGAUGAUGAGUGUAUGGGCAGGAGUGUCUAAAAAUGAUACCACACUGAUUUAAGAACUCAGUGAAAGGUCUGUACUCACCCCCCCCCAAUCAGAUUGUAACUGCUUAAUGGUGGUUUGAAACUGAUUUUCAACCUGUGUUUUGAAAAGCUUAAAGACACUUAGAGCUUCAGACUUAAACUUUAGAGGGUAGAUCCAGGUAAACCUGCUAAAAUCAUCCACAAAACUGAUAUAAUAGUGAUAUCCAUCUCUAGUGUAGACAGGUGAAGGACCCCAGAGAUCUGUAUGUAUCAGUUCUAAAAACUUGGUUGUUUUGGUUGUGGAUGAAGGGAAAUGAAGCUUAUGGCCUUUGCCCAUUUGACAAGCUUCACAGAUGUAUUGCAGUGCUUGUAUUAUUUGAUUAUCAGAAAAAUUUGCAGACUUGAUGUUUUUGAGAACAAGCUUUAAGAUAUAUUGAUUGGGAUGACCAAAUCUAUUAUGAAACAAAGCAAUCUUAUUCACUGAUGUUGUACAAGAUAAUGCAGUAGAUGAAUAACAAGAUUUUGAAUGGCUACAAUCUGCAUUAUUAACAUCAGUUACAGAAUUAAAAUGAAAACAUCACAACAUUGACAUUGGCUUAUUUGAACUGAUCUGAGAUAGAAAAGAUGAUUUAGAGAAUGAGUAUGGUUUGAAUAACAGCCUGUAUAAUCCUCUUUCAGCAAUACCCUGUAGCAGAACUUCCCCCUUCAGAGCAUCCUUCACAUAACAAAUAUUUCCAAGAAAUUCAACAGACAAAUGGUUAUCAGAUGUGAGUUUAGAAAUACUCAAUAAAUUUUUGGUAAUUGAAGGGACAAGAAGAAUAUCUUUCAGUACUAUGUGUGGGUGUUUGUGUUGAGCAAAUGAAGUUUUAAAAACAAAUUUAGCAUCACCAACAUGAGUUAUGGGCAAACCUUGUCCAUUUCCAAUGAUAAGCUGAUCAGAACCAUUGAAUUCCUCUCUGACCUGUAUAUUAGCCAUGUUGUUGGUUAAGUGAUGAGUUGCUCCACUAUCAAGAUACCACCCUUCAUCAGCAGGCCCUUCAAAAUUUGCAAGAUAAGCAGCUCCAGGUGCAGAAGACAUUUCAGAUGAACAAUGAGGCAUAGAAGAAUAUGUCACUGGAUCCAGAUUGUAAGACUGAUAAUUUAAGCAGUUCAUAGCAUAAGAAUCAUCAAAAUAUGGUGCAAACUCAGCAUGUGAGUUAAAUGUAGUCAUAUAAGCUGACUUAGGUCCUCUUCCUCUACCAAAAUGCCUUGACUGUGGCACAUAAUUCUCAAUAUAUAUGUGCCAACAAGCAUCAGCUGUGUGCCCUGACUUAUGACAUAUCUGACAAACAGGAAUGUUAUCAUCUGAUUCAGUUCCAGCUAACACAAAACCUUGACCAUAAGGCUUAGGAUGUGAUAAGACUUUGUGAAACUGCAUUGGCAUAGAGUUGCCUCUUCCAAAAUUAUGACCACUGUUAUUAAAGCCUCUAGGAUAUGUAUUAAACAUCAUUCCUCUUCCAGCAUUUCUGUUUCCAUUAUGAAUUUGUCCACGAUAUCCUCCAUAACCAAAACCUCAUCUUCUAUUAUUCCCUCUGACUUGAGAAUAAUUGGAAUUCAUCACUCUAUAGUUAGCAUUGAACAUGACUUUAGUAUUCUGAUUGGUCUGACUUUGUUCUAAUCGUGCCUCAUGUGUUAACAGUAAGGCAUAAGCAUCAUCAUAAGACAUCUUAUUAGCUGUGAUAAUAGAUGCAAGAUCUAAAUAACCAGUCCCUAAUCCAUUUAGAACUUGCAUUAACAAAUCCCUUUCUGACAUAGGACUACCAGCACAGGCAAGUUUAUCAGCUAAUAUUUUGACUUUUAAGCAAUAUUCUUCAACAGACAUGGAUUCCUUUCUAAGUACAUUCAAUUCAUAACGAAGUUGCAUUAUUUUAGCUUCAGACUGAGCUCCAAAUUGUUUCUCAAUAGAUCUCCAAGCAUCUCGUGAAUUGUCACAGUUAAGAAUAGAACUGAGAAUACCUUCAUUAACUGAUGGUAACAGCCAGCCAAGUAGUAUUUGAUCUUGAGCUCUCCAAUUUAUGUAUGCUGGAUUAUCCACUUUCUGCACUGAUCCAUCAGCUGUUGUUUGAAUGAUAUGUUGCUCUGGUAUGAUCUGAUUUUCAGAUAUGAAAUCUUCAAGCCGAUUUCCUCUGAUUGAUGUAAGAACUUGUUUUCUCCAGAUUAGGAAAUUAGAUCGAUCUAGUUUUAUUGGAUUACUGAAUGAGAAUGAGAUCUGUGAAGGUUGAUUUGCAUUUGUUGAAUUUGAAAGUGUUGUUGUGUUGCUGGAACUAGCCAUAUUGGCUCUGAUACCAUGAAAUAAAUUGAGAGAAAAUAUUGUUUGGUUGCUGAGAAAAUAUCUCAGAAAAUUUCCAGAGAACUUUCGGAUUUCUUGUAUUUAUUUUUCUUAGAAAGAAAUGUUAUGAUUACAACUUAUUUAUACUCAAAGCUCAAGGAUUACUAAAGCUAAUGACUAACUAAUUCAGUAGAAUCUCCACAUGCAUAACCACAGCUCGAUAUACAGAGUAAUCACACCAGACUAUUAACUACUUAAGCUGAGGUGGCAGCUGAGCUGUCAUUCUGCUUACAUUCAUCUGACGUCACCAGCUUGCUGGUUUUCCUUAGCUUGUGCAGCUUCCUCUUUUCUGCACAAUGAGCUUCUCUAACAAAAGCCCCAAGGAGAAACCUUGUAGCUAUGGCCAUCCAGAAAUUCACACUAAGCCCAAAAAGAGUGUUAAAAAUAAACCCUGUGAGCAUUUUAAGACAGACAAGAAAUCCAGAAAUUGCCGAAGUAUCAUCAAUUUCAAGCUUGAUCAUAUGAAAAUAGAAGUCACUAACACUGUGAUGCUUCCUAUUAUUAUUACAGGCUUUCGACCACAGCGGUCAGCCACCAUUUCUCACAAAACAGAUGUUAGAGCUCGGCCAAGCAUGUAUGAAGACCCUUCAAUUUCAUCAAGGUAUUAAGAUGUUUGUUAGGAUAACUUCUUGAGGAAUUUGAACUGUUAUAUUGGUCGUACGUACAUACACACACACACACAUACAUACAUAUAUACAUAUAUACAUACAUAUGUAAAUCGUUUCCAGGUGCGAACAUAUGUACUUUUUAAAGCAUAGACUUGGCCCUUUAAAGUUGUAAAGACGCGGGUCCGUAUUGUAAAGCUCUUGUACAGUGCGUUUACAGUGAUGUAAAGUCUCGGUAGAAUGUCUUCCCAGAGUUGUAAAGGCGUGAGUCAGCACUUUAUAAGGCGUGGACAUUCGUACCCAAGACGGACUCCAUACUGUGUGUCAGAAUUUGUUAUACCUUUUUUCUCUUCGUGUGAACGCAAGUUAGAGUGACAUCUAACAAACCACUGCGCAACUUCAAUUUCAUCAUGGUAUUAAGAGGUUUGUUAGGAUAACUUCUUGAGGAAUUUGAAGUGUUAUAUUGGUCAUACACACAUACAUACACACAUACAUACAUAUAUACAUCCAUACAUGUAGAUAUGUAAAUCGUUUCAGGUGCGAACAUAUGUACUUUUUAAAGCAUAGACUUGGCCCUUUACAGUUGUAAAGACGCUGUGAAGCGUUUGUACAGUGCGUUUACAGUGUUGUGAAGUCUCGGUAGAAUGUCUUUGUAGAGUCGUAAAAGCUUGAGUCUGCACUUUAUAAGGUGUGGACAUUCGUACAAAAAACGGACUCCAUAUUGUGUGUCAUUUAUUAAAUACAAUAAAAAAACAUAGAAUAACUCACCCACGUAACCAGCAUAGAAUCCAAUAUCUUGAUCCUUUUUGCAAUGUGAAAAUUCCUAAACUGAAAAAAAAUCAUAAAUGACUGCUGUGAAAAAGCAAUGAAUUAUUUGAAAUAUAAAACUUGUCUUUUCUUAUAUUUCUCAGAAAAUCACCAAGCAUGAUAGGAAAAUAUAAAUUUUCUCACUAAUAACCACUACGCUGAAGGCAAUAAUAAUCCACUCACCAUAAAAUAAAGGAAGGGAAAGAGAGAUGCGACCGGCAGAACUGAAAAAAAAAAUCACAAAAGAAUUGAAAAUCAUUGUAAAUGGUUCUCUCCAAAAUCAUUAUAUCGAGUUGAAGUUGAAAAAUUUUCCAGUUGCAAGCACAACAAUCCAAAUAAUUAAAAGCUUACGAAUUGGUAAGCCUCGUUCCGACUCUUUAAGCUUAUCAACCUUACAGCCUGAGCAGUUCUUAUAAUAUUUCUUCUUCAAUAGCGGCUCUCUCACUUUCCCCUCCGCCAUACUUGAAAAAUUUUCAGCUCAAGUAAUCGUCUUUGUCUAUUCAAUCCUAUUUCAAUGCUUAAAUAUAAGUACUUAGAAAAGAAGUAACAAAAUCAAUACAAAAGAAUCAAUGAGCUUAAGGAUAUAAUCAAACUAGAGAUAUAGUGAUCAUUUAAAGAAUUUUCAACAGAAUUCUAAAAUCAGUUGAUUUUCCAGCUGGGUCUGUCACCACCAUGGUAAUUAAAAUUAUUGGAUCCCAUGCAAAACAAAAAUUUUUCAUUACAUGCCCUCAUAGCUGACGUCCAAUUAAUCAUUACUCUUAUGAGAAUAAUUUUUGGUGACAAGAACAGCGGCAUCCUUGGACGUGGCAAAAUAAUCACAAAAAUCCCUUAUUUUAAAAAAUGAUCAUGAAAAUUUAUUGAGGAACACACAAAUUCAGGAUCUGUGUAACUAUUGUUAAAUACAAAAAAAGGUCUAUAUGCAUUAAAAAAGAGUUUGUAUGUUCAUUUUUUAAAAAUAAGGGAUAUUCAUGAUUACCAUGUUAAGCCACGAGAUGUCGUGUUGUUUUCUAAUUUUUCAUUAAAUCGUUGUUACACAAUUCGACAUGUAAAAGUAAUUUUUUUUUUUUGAGAGAUGGUAACAAACAUAGUGACAAAACUAUCAUAGUACCGUCUAAUGAUGAAACUAAUUGUUAAUUAAUUAAUAAAAAUACUAAGUGAUUGUAACGGUUCCGGUCACAGUCACAGUCAAAUAUAAUUAGGAUAAUUUAAUUUAAAUAAUGUGUAAUUAAAAAAAAAACCCUUUUUCCUUCGCCGCCUCUAUAAUUUAAUUUUGGGUUUGAUAUCUUUAGUUUUAAGAUUUUUGAUUAUUGGGUUUCUUUUUAUUGAAUUUUCUUAGUAUGAAUUUAUUUUGUAAAAGAAUUUUACAAUGAAAUUUGCUCUCAAGGAUUUUGGUAUCAUUAGUUUAGGGUUUCUUUCUAUUGGGUUUUAUUUGUUUUGGUGGGAUUAUUGGACUUAUUUUGUAAUGUACUGAUGAAUGUGUGUUUGAUUUUUUUCUUUCACAUUGGAAUCAUGCUUUGCCUCUGAUUUUGUAAUUUACUAGGUUUAUAAUCUUGGGUUCGUAAUCCGGAAAAAAAUCGUUUCCAUAUAAUUUUAAAAAUAUUAUAAUAAAUUUUUACUUUUUGAUUUAAAUUUUAUUAGUUGUAAGGGUAUGUUAGUACUUAUAUACCCAAUUCAUUUCAAAAUAGGGGUAGUAUAGUCUUUUAAAUUUAUAACAGCCUAAACAGUUAGAAUUAGUUGAUUUUUUUAACAGAAAUAGGGGGAGGUGCAUAUGGUCAAAAGAUGUGGGUGCGCUGUGUGAAAUACUGAACAAUUGGGAGCUGAUGCUUAAUGGAAGGAACAAAAUUCAGGAAAAGAGGAAUCAAAGUGCAAAAUGAAUUAGGAUACCUGAAAAGAAAGAAUGAAAAUAACUUUUUUUUUUUAAAUUAUUUAUUUGGACAUUGUGACAAACAAGUGAUGUGCAUUGUUAAUUCAGAUUGCCCAAAAUGUCAAGUCUUGAAAAACGACAACAUUACAUGAUUCAUGAGAAGCCUAUCACUUUGAGAUUAAUUUAAUUAAAAAAAGUUCCGUUUGCUUAAUACUAAAAUGUCACGCGCAAGUUGUCCUGGACUAGAGAGUCGUUCACCCGUACUUACACCCAAAAGUCACGAGGAUCAAAACCAGAUCUGUCACUGCAUUUGCUUGAAAAAUGAUUUUACUAAUAUAAAAUAUUAGUAAAUAUAUAUUUUGAAAAAUUAAUAUUCGUGUUUCGAUAGCUUUCUAAGUGGUUUAUUUACAGGUAUUCAAAAUAUAUAUAUUUAGUAAUUUCUAUUAAAAUUUUGCGACAAUUGUUUGGCUGGAAUAUUUUUUUAUAAGAAAAAUAGCGAUCUCACACUGAUCCACAGUUGAGCCAAUUACCUAGUUAAAAGCUACCUCAAUAUUUUUUAUUUUUACCCUAAUGCAUGUCUGAUUCUUUUAAAAUUUUACGUUAUAUAUAUUAAACAAAAAUUAUAAUUUUAAUCAUUGAAAAAUUAAUGACAGACAUCUUUUGAAUAAUUUUUUUUUGAAAAAUACAGAGCUAGAGAUAAUGCUAUAAUUGAUUGAAUAAGAAGGCUACAACUUGAUGAUAACUUUAUUGCAAUGUUGCGUGAUCUCAAUAUAUUAUUGGCUUGUGUGAGUAAAAGCUGCUGGCUCUUGUUUUACUAAUUUGCCUUUGUAUUUGACUGGCUCGACAAAGAAUCGAUUUACCUCAUACUCAAAUUACAAACAUCGAAACCGGAUCUGUCAUUACGUUAAUUGGCCUCCUAAAAUAAUCAAUCACUUUCUCUUUAGUCUACCAUCCACUCUUUCCAGUCGCUUAGUUUCAUUCUAAUCAUCUAAACGCUCUUUGCUACUGUUUCUUCUAUUCGUCAUUGUUCUUGUUCUGUUAUUAUUUAGCUUUGCUCACUCCUCAGUCUCAUUUCUUAUUCUGUACCCAUCAGCUCUUUUAGCUCUUUACGUCGUGAUCGAAACCCUUUUCUUGUUUCCUUCAUUUCAUCUGAAAAACACGAACUGCCUGUCCUAUCGCUGUCUCUUUGUUUUUACUUUCCUUUGGCUUUCUUAGCUUCUACGUUUUUGUCAGGAUUCGAGAUGCUGGAAAUCAUUGCGACUAUCGUCUUGGAACUUGUAAAAUGCUUGGCUCCUCCAACUGAACGCCAACUUGUGCAUUUGCGAAAGCGGAACUACAAUGCCAACUUUGAGAAUAUCAAGGCGGAAAUGGAGAAGUUGAAGGUUGAACGUGCGAGCAUUCAGCGCAGGGUUUCAGAGGCGAAAGAAAAAGGGGAAGAGAUUGAAGAGAAGGUUGAAAAGUGGCAGGUUAGUGCGAACGGCAUCAUUGACCGGGCAGCCAAAUUCAUUGAAGAUGACGAGUCAACGAAUAAGCGCUGUGUCAAGGGCUUGAGUACUAUUUGGAAGAGUCGCUAUCAGCUUAGCAAGAAAGCAGAGACGGAGGUGAAGGCCAUUAUUGAACUUGGAGAAGAAGUUAAGAAGUUUGAUACUGUUUCCCACCGUACCAUUCGGGAGCAGAUACGGCUUAAGUCUAGCAAUGGUUACGAGGCCUUCAAAUCAAGACUUUCUACUUUGCAGUCUAUAAAAAAUGCAUUGACGGAGGCGAAUGUCAGCAUUAUUGGGGUGUACGGCAUAGGCGGCAUUGGAAAGACCACACUGGAAACAUCUUGAAUUGGAGAAGAAGCUGUUUUAUCGGGUGGUUUUAUCAGAGGUUUCAUAAACUCCAGAGAUAAAAAAGAUUCAAGGGGAAAUUGCAGAGAAGUUAGGUCUGGAGUUGUCCGAUGAAGCUGAAUAUAGAAGAGCUAGCAAGCUGUAUGACCGAUUGAAGAGUGAGAAUAAGAUUCUUGUGAUUCUAGAUAAUAUCUGGAAACAUCUUGAAUUGGAGACGGUUGGAAUUCCUUUUGCAAAUAAUCAUAAAGGAUGUAGACUGUUGCUGACAGCACGAGAUAAUACUGUGCUUUUAAGUAUGGGCUCCAAAGAUAACUUUUUGAUUGGCAAUCUAACUGAACAAGAAGCCUGGAGAUUGUUUAAGAUAAUGAAUGGUGAUGAUGUUGAAAGUUUUAAGUUCAAGUCUACAGCAAUUAAUGUAGUUAAGGCAUGUGGAGGUUUGCCCAUUGCGUUGAGGGCACUGAGAAACAAGAGUCUCCAUGAAUGGAAGAAUGCCUUGCGAGAGCUCCGAACGCCUUCAAUGGUAAACUUCGAAGGUGUGUCUGCAGAGACUUAUUCAAGUAUUGAGCUGAGUUUCAAUUAUUUAAAAGGUGAGCAAGUCAAGAAAAUUUUUCUGCUUUGUCGUCUAGUAGGUAACAGUGUUUGGUUUUCAGACUUAUUUAGAUACUCCAUGGGUUUGGGCAUAUUUCAAGGAGUCAACAUUCCCUUCAUAUUUACCAAAGGUAAGUGAUAAAUCCUACAUAUCCCACUCAAGAAUGCAUAUGUUUUUUCAAUCUCAAGUACCUAAAGUUUUCUUCUACGUUUAUAAAAAUUUCAGCACCAUCUCCCUAUAAUUCUCCAAGCUCACGACACAGCUAUAUAAGUGUUUAUGCGUUAUGCCAAAACAACACAUGACACCCAUUCACCUAGUACGUACCCAGAGAACACGAGGAGCAGCUACCGAAAAAGCCAUUUUUACGUGGGAAGAAAACUUCAGCUACUAGCUACCAGAGAGAACUAUGCAUUCCCAAACUGUCCAAGCCUGGACAAUUCAAGAAUUAUUAAUAGACAUAUGAUCCUCACUAUCAUCCAAAGAUGACACUAAUACAACAUGUGUCUAUUAAUAAUUUCUUAAACAAGUCUAAGCUUUCAAUGCACGUAUCAAAAGUUUAAAAUUGAAUCUGAAAUUUGAAUAGCACAUAAAUAUCAUAAAUCUCUUCAAUUUAUUCCUGAUACAAUGUAGCAUUAUUUCACAUAUCAUUUCUUAAGCAAAACCAUAAAAAAUACAAACGAUAAAUACAUUUUCCCACUGAUGCAGAUUAUGUUUACUGAGCAAUAAGUUUUAAGCCAUUCAUUUUGAAAUACUUCUGCCUAUUCUUUCAACAUAUAACUAGUACGUACACACAAUUAAUAAAUUAAAAAAAAAAACCUUCUGGUGAAUCUUGCAAAAUCUUCCUUUUUUCUUUUUUUUUUCUUUUUCUUCUUUUUUUUGGGGGUGGGGGGGUGUGUUGGGGGAACUAUGAAUCUUGCAAAUCCUCAAGAAGCUAUGUUAAGACAAGGCCAGCUUACUAUUAGGGUAUGAAAGAUAAAACCUUUUAUUUCCUUUUCAGAAUAAAAAGAACAUUGACAGUGUUAAAAAAAAUCUAGAGGAUUUCAGGCCUCCAGAUCCUUACAAAUCAAGGAUAUUAAAAAAAUUUACUUAGAGGAGAAAGGUUAUGCUCAUUUGUAUCUUGUUAGAAGAAAUUGAUCCAAAGCCUCAGUUUUAAUUAACUUCAUAUAGCCAAUGAUUAGGUGUUUAAAAACCAAUGAAUAUUUUUAUAAGAAAUCGACAAUAUUGUUGAAAGAAAAACCAAAUAAAAAUAAUAAAGCCAAUGAAUAGAUCAAGGCUCUUUGUGGUCUAAAACUAAUCAAACUAAGUUGUGGGCAAAGGCGAAUAUGUUUGUUUGGUCAAUAAUAAGCUCAACAAAUCACUAAUAAUCACCUAAUCACUAUUCCUUAUGCUCUGCAAUAUAAUGGCCUGGGUAAUGGCGCCAAGGCAGAUAAUAACUAGCUAGCCAGUUAUGAUAGUUGAUUAACUUAACCUACUGGAAAUCUGUAGACCAAAACGAAGAAGCUUUGCCUAGAACUAGAAUAGGAACAUUCAUACCCAAAACUGAUAUACACGAUUAAGAAACUUGAUUAUAUGGAUAUUUCUGGUGGCCACACUUAAAGAGAAUUUUCAAAAGAUGCUAAGGUACACCAAAUCCCACUAUUUCAUACUCAUAAACACAAAAACCCAUGGCAAAAAUUAAUGACUAUAUCAAAUAAAAUCAGUCAUAGGACAAUGAGAUUAGGACAACUUGAUUUGUAUACCAUAAAUCUGCAUAGUGAACUAUAUUUCUGUUAGAACUCUGAAGUUUUUCUAUUAAAUUUUUUUCUCUGCUAGGUAAACCACUUUUAACUGAAAUGCUUAAGCCAAUAUUGACAAUCAUAGACAUAAAAGUAUUAAUAGGCUCAUUCAAGUGAAAUGAGCAUUAUUUCACACAUCCUUUAGGUUUUUAAGUUAUUUAGAAGUCAUUCAUGUUAAAAAAAAAAUCAUAUACUUUCAAUAUAAUUAGUACAUACACAAUUAAUUAAUUAAAUAAAUUUGUUUCAGCUAAUAUAGGAACUUAAUUAAUCAAAGCUAGUAGUUAUAGCUAGGACUUGAACGAGGCACCUUUCAAAGUUCAAGAAGAGCAUCUGAACAGAAUGAAAGCAAUUUGUAGAAAUGGUAAUGAUGCUUUACAUCUACAUGCUCUUACACAAUAUGAACUUUCAUUUACUCCAAGCUCUUAUUCUACAAGUCAAUUCAGUUUGUAGACGCACGCCAUUGUAAAAACUUUUGUAUUAUAAUUUCUGAAAAUAGAAUGUAACAUUAUUAAUAUAGAAUCAGCAAUGUAUAUAACUUAUCAGACAAUAUAACAAGCACUUGGUGAGCAUACAAGAUAAACUAAAACAAGUUAUCUAGAAAAUGAAACUAAAACCCAAGCUCCGCUAUUCAUUGUAGAAGCUUUAAACAUAAAAUUAAAGUAAAUCUAAUAGCAAAACAUUAGAAUGGAUAUUGAAAUUAAAGCUAAAUUCAAUAGUAAUUCAAAUGAAUCCAUUUGAACUUUGUAAAUUCCGCAGAACAAAAUUAAUUUGAGUGAGCAAACUCACCAAUGGAACAAGAACACAGGGGCUUCAACUUGUAGGAAUAAAAAAAUAUUGCUGGCGGGACAAAAAUUGACAAUAACAGCUACAAUACGAAUUUUAAAAAAAAUCAAAAUCUAUAAUUACAAGCUAAGUAAGAGAAGAAACUCAUAAUCACAAGCUUAACUCAAAAGAUGAAGGGAGAACACGAUGAAGAAGAAGAUGGCUGGUGUUUUACGCCGUUCGCCGGCAACCAGUUAGGUUUACGAUGGUGGCUAGUAACACGGAGUCCAGCGAAUAGUUUUCUAACUGGAAAUAAAUUUAAAAUUCUAAAAUAGUACCGAACGGCUCAAGCUCUCUAUAUAGUUACUAAUUCAAUUCUCCUUCGAAAGGUUCUCUCUGUCCUAGAGAGAACUUUGAAUGGAAGAGUAAAAGGGUCCUCAUGACUCGAGUAGUCACUCACAGGUGAGUGAAGUAUUUCAUUUCGUUACCUUACAUCCUAGUUCAAGUAGAUAUUCAGGUCCUUUUAUUGGGGUGAGCAGAGUUGGUGAGGGGUAUAAAACACAGGGUAUUAACAACCAAGGCUGUACAUCAAUUUCUCUAUCUGUUAAAAAGAGAGCUUCCAUAAAUAUGGAUACUGAGGAACUGAUUAGGAAAUGCAAAGCUAGGGGAGGAUAAAGAAAAGAUAGUGAACUUUGAGGGAAGCAUGAGGAGCAAAGGAAGACAAGUAGUAGCUGGUUGUUUGGUGGGUAAAAUCCUACACAACAGGAGUGUUAAUCAAGAAGGAUUGAAGAGUGCGCUACAAAUGGUGAGGCGGACAACCAAAGAAGUUCGGAUUGAAAGCUUGGGAAAUAAUGUCUUUUUGUUCAAAUUUGCGCAAGAAGCAGACAAGAAAAGAAUCCUAGCAGGAGGUCCUUGGCAUUUUGACAGAGCAUUGAUAAUCCUCACAGAGCCAAAAGGAAUUGGGGAGGUUACUAGACAAGCCUUCACACAUACUUCAUUUUGGGUACAACUUCGGAAUGUACCAAUCAUGUGUAUGGAAAAGGACAUCCUAAAAGUGUUGGGGGAGCAAAUCGGGACUGUGGAAUAAGUAGAGACGAACGGAUAUGGAGAAUGUAUUAGUGAAAUUGCUAGAAUACGAAUCUCUGUUGAUAUAACACAACCACUGCCCAAAAUGAUUUUUCUCAGACUAGAAGGGGAAGAAAAAAUCCCAAUGCCAGUUGGCUAUGAGCAUCUACCAGACUUUUGUUUUUGUUGUGGACAUAUUGGUCAUAGCUUCAAAGAGUGUGCUCAGUACAAGGGGCAAGCUAAAGAGCAGCUACCAUAUGGGGUCUGGAUGAAAGCGAUCAAGAUAAGUGAAAGAGCAAAACUGAACCGCAGUAGAGUAAAUUGGAGUAGAAACCAUGGGAAAACCGACGGUAAUCCAACAAGUUCAGAGCAAAUUGACAAUGGGAAAUCGCAACAAAGGCGGGUUGAACCAAACCCAGAUAUGGUGCACGGGUCGAAACCAGCAAAUGAGGAAACGGGUCAAAUCAUUGAACAAGCUCGAGAUGCUGAGGUGGAGUGGAAAGCUGAUGAGCAUUUAAUGCAAGAUAUCGGAGGAUCGAAAAAGAAGCAAAUCAGGGACAGUAAGCACGAGGUAGCAGCUGACAAUGGAAAAUCUUUUGGAAAUUCGAGAUUUCAAGCGAGAAAGGAAAAUACGAAAGAGAGGGAAAAUGGAGGAGCUGAUUCAAUUGAAUUAGAUUCGGGUACAGUGGGCUCAGAACACCAAAUUCAAAAAACCAAAAAUCAAGCAAAAAAGGGAACAAAAAAAUAUGGUUUGGAUAAAGGGCCACGCAUGAACUACUCGAGGCCCAAUAGAAGGAAAUGGAAGCUGCAGGCUCGGGCAACAUGUAACAAGAGUGGAUGCAAGGCUAGUCCAAAGGUUUCAAAAAGCUCAAGUUGUCACCUAAUUGGACCAAGCCCAAAACACAAAAACAUAAAGCUUGUUAGCCCGAUUAAAUCAGCAAUGAAGCAAAAACAAGAAGGCUCCCCAGCAGCAAAGCUCAAACUUACUUGGGAGCCGUUGGCAGUGGAAGAAAUGGAGAUGGCAAUUCCAAGCUUAGAAGAGAUAUCGGCGGAGGCUAGUGGCCAGCCCCGCCGGAAGCCAUGAGGAUCCUUAGUUGGAACGUUCGGGGUUUGGGGAAUACCCGAACGUUUCUAGCAUUGCAAAAGAUUCUCUAGUUGCAUAGGCCUCAUCUUUUAUUCUUGUGUGAAACGAAGUUGUUGCCUGCGCAAAUGAACGGGAUUAGUAGGAAGUUGAACUUUGAAAAUUGCUUUAAGGUGGAUAGAAGAGGUAGAGGAGGAGGAUUAGUGAUGUUGUGGAACUCUGAAAUUGAAGUGCAAAUUAAAUCUUUCAGCAACCACCAUAUUGAUGCUAAGGUUCAAACUGAAAAUGGGAAGCACUUUCGAUGCACCGACGUUUAUGGCCAUCAUGAGGCAGGGCAAAAGAAACAUACUUGGACACUUCUGAGGCGGUUGGCAGGAUUAUACCCUUUGCCUUGGUUAUGUUUUGGCGACUUUAACGAAGUAUUGCAUCCUUAUGAAAAAACAUGAGGUAAUGAAAGAGAGCUAAGCUUGAUCAGAAACUUUAGAGAAGCUUUGCGAGAUUGUAACUUAGUUUGACGUGGGAUACAAAGGAUACCCAUUUACCUGGAAUAAUGGGAGAUAUGGGCCUCAUUACAUUGAAGAACAGCUUGAUGGGUUCUUGUGUAACAGGAGCUGGAGUGACAUUUUCUACGAUUGUGCAGCAGCUCAUCUAUCUACUUGGACUUAUGAUCAUUGUCCGUUGUUGAUAGAAGUUCAAGAAAGGGGGAGGGAUUAUGUUGGAAGAGAAAAAAAUCCACUCGAAUUCAUUAUGAGGAUUUAUGGAGCCCAUAUGAAGCUUGCAAAGAAAUAAUCAAGACUGAUUGGAGUAGUUACGGAAGCUAGAAUGAUGCAAAUCCCAUACCCUUAUUUCAAAAGGUGGUUAAAGAAUCAAUGGCUAGGCUGCUUGUGUGGAGCAAGGAAGAGUUUGGAGAAAGAGAGAAGAUGCUGAAGCAGAUUAUGAAUCAGCUGGAGAGGCUGAAACAAAGCUGCGUGCAAUAUGAUAAUGGGGAGGAGAUUAAGAAGUUAGAGGGGCAGAUUCAAGAUAUCCUCAUUGAUGAAGAAAUAUUUUGGAAGCAGCGAUCGAGGGCAGAGUGGUUGAAAGCAGGGAACAAAAAUACCAAAUACUUUCACUACAAAGCAUCAUCGAGGAAGAAAAAGAACCAGAUUUGGGGAAUUGAAAAUGGGUCAGGAAGCUGGACUGAUAAGGCAGAAGAGGUGGAGUAUGAGUUUUACGAAUAUUUCGCAAAACUCUUCACUACAUCAAAGCCAAGUCAAGAAGAAAUUUCGGCAGCAUUAGAAGGCAUCACGCCAAGAGUCUCAAAAGCCAUGAAUGAGCAUUUGGAGCAACCUUUUACACCGGAGGAUAUUACGGAAGCCUUAGCUCAAAUGUCUCCAAUAAAAGCUCCGGGACCAGAUGGUUUUCAAGCAGCCUUCUAUUAGAAGCACUGGAACAUGGUGAAGAAAGGGGUCAUCACAACCUGCCUCCACAUUCUAAAUGAGCAAGGUACUAUGGCUCCUCUUAACCAUACCUAUAUUGCUUUAGUCCCAAAGGUCAGAAAGCUUAAGAGAGUAACAGAUUACAGACCAAUUAGCUUGUGCAAUGUGAUCUAUAGAAUUGUGGCUAAAACGAUUGCAAAUAGGCUGAAACAUAUCCUCCAUCAAGUUAUUUCCCCAACAUAAAGCGCUUUUAUUCCUGAUAGGCUUAUAACAGACAACAUCAUAGUAGGAUAUGAGUGUCUACACAAAAUUAGGCAUAGUAAGGGAAAAAUAAAUGGGCUGGUAGCUUUGAAACUUGAUAUUAGUAAGGCUUACGAUAGAGUCGAGUGGAGCUUCUUAGAACAAGCCAUGACUAGGUUGGGUUUUUCUCCAAAAUGGGUGAAUCUAAUUAUGAGAUGUAUAACUACAGCGUCUUUCGCUGUGAUUAUAAAUGGAGUACCACGAGGAGUUAUCCAACCACAGAGGGGUCUGAGGCAAGGGUGUCCACUUUCUCCAUAUUUGUUUAUCAUGUGCGCAGAAACUUUUUCUUCUCUAAUGUUACAGGCGGAAAGGCAGAAACUCAUUCAUGGAUUAUCAUUCGGCAAAGACAUAAAUAUCUCGCACCUCCUCUUCGCUGAUGAUAGCCUAAUUUUUAUUCGAGCUUCGCCUACGGAUUGUCAGAAUCUGAAAAGAAUUUUUGACUGCUAUACUACUGCAUCAUGACAACUCUUUAAUUUCGAGAAGUCAUCAAUGUUUUUCAGCAAUAACACCAAAGUUGAGCAAAUUUCAGCCAUACAGAAUAUUUUUCAGCUCAAUGUGGUUUCAAGGCAUGAGAAAUACUUAGGUUUACUAUCAAUGAUAGGGAGGAAGAGAAGUAGUUUUUUCCAAGAUGUCAAACUCAAGGUGAUGGAGAAGAUAUCCAAUUGGCAGCAUAAAUUUUUCUCUAGUGGGGGCAAGGAAGUGUUGAUUAAGGCUGUGGCUCAGGCUGUUCCAGCGUAUGCCAUGAGCGUGUUCAAAGUUCCUCUUGGAGUUUGUGAUGAUAUUUAGAAAGCUAUUGCCAAUUUCUGGUGGGGAUCCAAAAAAGAGAAGAGAUGUAUUCACUGGGCGAAAUGGGAAUGACUAAGUAUAGCAUUUAUAAAAGAAUCCUUAGUCUUUCCAUAUAGAAGAACUUACAAAAUAAAUUAGUAAUUUAUUGUUGUGCAAUAAAAUAUUUUCAUGCAAAUAUAAAUCAACCCUUUUUCCCUAAUUUCUUUUUUACAUCUAAAAUUAACAUAUAAAAUAAAUUUUACCAAUAAUUCAAUUUUUUUUUAAAAUAUAAUAUAAAACAAAUACUAUAAAGUCACUGCGUGUGACCGUAGAUCAUCAAUUGACCUCAUUAGUUAUUACGAUUGAUGAUGAUCAGAUCGUACCCAACUUGGAGGAACUAUCACUAAGUGGAAAAGAUGUGAAGAUGAUUUUGCAGGCCGAUUUCCCACAACACCUUUUUGGCAGUCUUAGACAUCUAGAGAUUGCUGCAGAUGACUCAGCUUGUUUUCCAAUCUGGAACGUACUGGAGAGAUUUCACAAUCUCGAAAUACUCAUACUGUGUUAUUUUUCAUUCCACGAAGAGGUAUUUUCGAUGGAAGGAUGCUUAGAGAAACAUGUGGGGAAGUUGGCAAUGAUAAAAGAAUUAGAGCUGUACUGGCACUAUCAUCUGAAGCAGCUGUGCAAACAAGACUCCAAACUUGGCCCCAUUUUUCAGUAUCUUGAAAUUCUAGGAGUAUAUCAUUGUCAAAGUCUGUUAAUUCUAUUGCCAUCAUCAUCGGUAUCUUUUGGGAACCUAACAAAACUUGUAGCUUUCGAUUGCAAGAAAUUGAUACACUUAGUUACAUCCUCCACAGCAAAAACUCUAGUGCGACUCGUAUCACUUUGUGUAUACGGAUGCAGAGCAAUGACAGAGGUCGUAAUAAAUGACAAAGACGGGGUUGAAAAAGAAGAGAUUGUUUUCCGUAAAUUGAAGACGUUGGAACUGCGUGAUUUAGACAGCCUCACUAGUUUCUGCUCUGCCAAUUACACCUUUGAAUUCCCAUCUUUGCCAAUUUUAUUGAUUUCACUACAGGAGAAUCAAUCACGCCUCCGAGAGCAUACGUCUGGCAUGGAGAGACAGCGGGUCAAUGGCUUCGGGCCAAUAAUGUUCUUAACACAACUAUACAACAUUUGCAUGCUGAAAAGGUACGGAUAUACAUACUGCUCUCUAUCUCCCAUGGAAAAAUUUUACAAAAUUUGCUUUUUUUAAUAAAAUAUAGAUAAAAUGUUUGUUAUAAAGUAAAAGUUUAAAUUGAUGAAUAAGAAUUUUAUUUUCAGCUGUUGGCGGUGCCGUCGUCGUUCUCCACCCGGUACUAAUUUCAUAGGCUUCUUAUGACUUGGGAAUUGUGAAUUUUUAGAAGAAAGUCUCAACUAGUAAUUAAUUUUUAUUUCAUUUAUUUGAUCACAUGGCUUCUUUCGCAAUUUCAUCUGAAUUAUUUAGAAUGGGUCACUUGAUUUACUGUUAAAUUUGGAAUGUCAUUUUAAUGAUUCGUUCAGACUUUUAUGGACAGAUUUUGCAUCAUUGAAUGUCUUUUAGUCUAGUUUAAUUUUUUUUUUAUUUGGAGAGUUUCCCUUGUUUUCUAAAAUUGUAUAAUUCCUUUCAUACUUUUUAUGAUAAAAUUUCAUUAAAAGCCUUCAUAUUUUAUAAUUCCAUGAAAUCGUGCGUACUUUUUUCCUAUCUUUCUUCGCCAAUUAUUUGUUUUCAUCAUUGCUGUUCUGUUAUUUUAGUUUGUGCUCUGUUUGUUCAUUUGGUUUGGUUUGCUUCACACCUACCUUUCUUUGGAAACUUAGAAGGCAAAGGAAGUACUUAGAAAAUGCUCUUCCCUAUGAACACAUAAUUAAGAACAGCUGAAAAUCAUUCAUCGGAUAAAAAAAUUAAAAAUAAACAAAAUCUAAUCAGAGCAUUAUGCCUGGAACAAAUCCUUAAGCCAUCAAAGCAAAACUCUUCGCUAUGAAAAACUAUAUUGUGGAAAUAUUGUUUGAAAACGUUGGAUACCAAGAAAGGGACUAAUCUGGUCUAGUUUUAUGAGAAGUGCAGAAGAACAGUAUUUUCUCUGUUGUUCCUAUUAAAAUUCUUUACUCUGUGAUUGUAGAAUGUCUGGAUACUGAUGAAGAUUCAGGUAACUCUUCUUCUGUGCAUCAUUUGAAAUAAGGUCUUUUGUUUUUUUUGGGAAUAUCUCCUACUGGGUUAUAGCUCAUACAAAGAGAUAUUCUCAAAUGAAGCCGGAUACUGGUAGAAACAAGGGAGGAAGUUGGCACUGAUAAAAUGGAUAAUGAAGCAACUCCAAACUGGACUUCAUUUUCAAUAUCUUGAAAUUCUAAGACUAUAUUACUGCUUGUAAAAAUCUUUUAAGUCUAUUCCCAUGAUCAUCUGUAACUUUUGGGAAUCUAACAGAACUGGUGGUUUUCCAUUGCAAAGAAUUGUAACAUCCAUCCACUACAGCAGAAAGUCUAGUGCGGCUCGUAUCAAUGAAUGUAGCUGGAUGCAGGGCAAUGACAGAGGUGGUAAUAGGUGACGGAGAAGAAGAUGGAGCACCAAAUUUAAAUAGAGAUCGUUUUCAGCAAAUUGAAGACGUCAAGUCUGUGUGAUUUAUCUGUGUGAUUUAGAUAGUCUCACAAGUUUCUGCUUUGCCAAUUACGCUUUCAGAUAAAGAUUCUUGAAACUGUCCUAUUUAGAGCUGACAUUUCCACAAGAGUUAAGAGAAUAUAAAAAAUUCAUUAAUCGUUAGUUUUUAAUUUCAUUAUUCAAUGAAAGUCCUGUCAAAUUAAAUUGCCGCUAUUGAAUCUCUCGCUCCCCUUGCAAAUCUCUAUGUGCAAGUACCUAAAUUUACAAAUUUUACUUCAAAUUAAUGAAUGACAUAAUUUAUUUUCAGCUGUUGGAGGAGCCGUCGUCUCUCUCGACGCAGUACGAUAUGUUCUGAUCCCAUAGGCUUUUUAAUUUAUUACAUGGUGCUGUGAAAUUUGAAGAACAAGGUCCCAGGUAACUAUCGUUUUCAUUUCAUUUUGUUUGAUCUCUAAGUUUAUUUUAUCGUUUCAUCUAAAUUAUUUGCAAUGCGUCGGUUGGUUUAUUGUUAAUUUUGGAACAAAGUUGAUGCAACCAACGGUUGCAUAUGAUGAGUAGGAUAUCGCUCUGAGAUCAUAACUUGAAUUAUAGGUAUCUAUCUAGGGCGUAUAAUAUAUCAUUAAUCUAUUACUAUAACAUCGUAUUGGUCUCGUGGUCCAGCUAGAAAUUCUGUUUAUUUCAUAGUUAUUUUACAAGUUUAAGAUAUUUUCUUAUUUUUCUUAUUAUUUUCAAGAUUUUUAUUUUUUUUAUAAAUAUAAGAUUUAAGUACGAUUAUUUUAUUUUUAUUAGAAGAAUGUUAUUAUAUAAUAAUAUUUUAGGUUUGCCUAUUUUGGUAAAUUCGUAAUAUUUAGAAUUAGUAUAAAGAGGGUCCAAAAUCCAAAUUUUGUUAUUCAGACCUCUCUAUUAAUAAAAUUUCAGACUUUUCAAAAACUUGUGUUUCUCUAUAUUUUCAAUCUCAACGUCCAUGUUUCCGUUAUCAUAAAUUCUAAUGCCUGGUUCCAUCAGACCUCUCUAUUAAUUGAGGCUCUUGAAUAAGACUCUUUAUGACUUCAAUAUUUUACUUGAUAUGAAAAUUUCUUUCUAGAUAGAAUCAUUGUGAAGAUAAAUUGUGGUAUUACUGACAAUGAAUAAGUUGAAACAUCAACAGAGAUAAAUAUUGAGCAAUUAAUGUUACCAGCAAUCAAUUUGUGAGCACCAACAACCAUUUUCAUAUUUAAGCCGUUAGAACAGUAACACAAAAUAUGGCGAGUGGCAACCACACAAAUAAUCAAAUUCCUGAUAGAUUUUGAAAACUUUAAUUUGCUAGAUAUGUAUUUUAAUAUUUCAACAGGUGCAUCUUUUCUCUACUCAUGUGGCACGUUGAAUCAGAAACGGUUUGAAUGUCAAUAUUACUCCAAGUGCCUCAACCAAAUUCAGAAUGAAGAAAAUCAUCUGGUUACCUGCACUUUAGUUUAAGCAGCUGAUUAAGUUAAUUAGCACCAAGUAAUUCACAUACUAGUGAGAAAUUUCAUUAGUAAAUUCAUACCUGGGAGGAAACCAGCAUCUUGACGCUUUUGUGACCAAGAAAAUCUGCCAGAACCCCAAUUAAUGAAAAAAAAAUUAUAACAUCAUUUACAUAUAAUUUUAAAAAAUCAAUAGGACACUUACAGAGCACCUCCUACAGCUGGACCGGCAGUUUUGGUAAGCGACACCACUGUCAUAGCAAGUCCAUUAGCAGCUCCUCUUUGAUGCUGUUCCUGUUAUUAUACCAUAAACCAAAAAAAUAAUUUAAACUUUUGACACAUACAAAACUUGAAAAAGCUGAAAGCAUGGAAAUGUACUAAACAAACAAAAGAAAAUAUAUUUACCACUGCUCUGUUUUGCAGAAGGAACAAUCCAGUUAUUAUAGACACCUGAUGUUAUAAUUCAGGAAAAGUGAAAGAGAAUUACAACAUUUCUGAUAAAGAAGAUAUAAAAUAAUUUUUAUACAUACUUGCUAAUGGGUAAUACAACCUAAGUAUAUGAUGGGUGUCGAAGCCAACAAAAAUAAAUUCCUACUCUAAAUAAAUUGUGUAUAGUGAUUGAGCAGGGUCGUGUCCACAGAGAUCGGUAAUUAUUUAAAUCCUUUUGAAACGUAAAACGUAAAAUGGGGGAAUUGUUGACAAUAAUAAAAAUCAAAUUGAAAUAAACAAGAAUGCAAAUUAAAGUUGUAAUUCAAAUUGGAGAAAGCUCUGGUUGAAGGAAUUAACUCAGCUUGAUUCGACUACUGAUCAUUGAUUCAAAUAUAGAUUAUUAUUAUUACUUAUGAAUAGAUCGGUUAUAGCUACUGGGACCCUCUAAUAGCCAAUCUCUCCUUAACUAGUCGAUAACCAAGGUACGACCGUUGGUUAUUUCCCUAAUCAAUAGACAACCCUAGAUACGAUCAUAGGAUUUAAUCAAUUGACAGCCUGAGAAACCAGAGAGACCCAAAUCCUAAUCAACACAUAUGAUGAUUCAUUUAAAUUAGAUUGUUUAUUCUCACAACACAACUCUCUGCUAUGUUAUUUGUCACAAACAUUAAAUUCUUCAUACGAUGAAUCCUUUAAUUGACAAUAGAUUAAGUUGAUAAUUAAAUAGUGGCCAAUUACCUAAUUAACAAACAUAAUCAUGAAACUAAUUUAGAGAAUAAACAAAUACCCAAAAAGCAAUAAAACAAUUAAAGCACAAGAAAGAUCUCACAGUAGUGAUGAAUCAAAGCUUCAUUAUCCUUCAACCAGAAAAAUGGGUUUAGUUCCUUAUAGAGAGAAGAGAAAAAUUAGAUCUAGGGUUUCUUUUUCUCCAAUCCAAAAAUCCCCCUUUUUCACAAUAGAUUCCUCCCUUCAAUACUCUCUCUCUCUUCUCUUUUAGAAUUCUAUUUAAAAUAAAAUACUAAUAUCUGAAAUAUUAAAUUCGUAAUUACAAAAAUAACCAAAAAUACAAAACACGUUAAACUAAAAACUGCAGGUCCGCAGUUGACAGCACGCGCCCACGCCUUAUCAACAAAGUUCUUCUGACGCUCAGAAAUUUCUCCAAGAGAACAAUCCUCCUUAAACAUCAUCUUUUAGCUCAAUUUUAUCAUCAAUCAAUAGAAUUGCACCUACAAAAGUAAAACACAAGUAAAACAUUAUUAUUAAAUGCAAAACAUCGAUAUUAAGGGAAGUAAAUAAUGCAAAACUAGUGCAUAAAUUGCACUCUAACAAAUUCUCCCACACCAAGAUGAUGCUUGUCCUCAAGCAUAUAACUCAAGAUUAAUCCCAAAUCUCCACUCAAUUCUCAUCUCAACUCAUCCAAAAAUAAUUUUAAGCAAGCAUACCUCAAGAAAUUAAGUCGAUCAACAUUCGAGAGACAAGGAUUUUAAAGCAUAGAAUCUCAUAAGAUAGAAUAAGAACAUUCAACCACCAAGAAGAUCCAUUCAAAAUUCAAGUGCAACAAGAUGUAAUAGCCCUCUCAAUAACUUCACUCCAUGCACUCAAAGUGUUUAGGGUGUCAUUUAUCCACUCAAAUCAAAUCAAAGAAUGCUAUUACCAUAAGCUUGCUCAUAAAUCACAUCUCAAUCCACAAAACAUGAAUAAAAUGCAAAAAUCUAAGGGUCUUAAAAGGGUUGUAAUGGGGUUAAAUGGGUUAAAUGAAAAAGAAAGGUUUACGAAAGAAAAAGAGAUCAAAAUGAGAAGAAUGAACUCAUUGAAUGAACUUAUGAUAUCAAAAUGCUUAUUUCUACUCAAGUCACCAAGAAUGUAAACAUUUUUUUUUUCGAUUUUUCUUUUUCUUUUUUUUUUCUUUUUCUUUUUUUUUCUUUUUCCUUUUCUUUUUCUUUUUUUUUCAUUUUUUUUUGUUUUUUUUUUUUUCGAAUCAAACAAAAGAAACGAACCUUGCACAAUUGAAUUCAAGCAUAAUGCUUGUUGAUCUAAUUGAGAAACUUUAAUACAAGGUAGAAAAAGCAACAAAAUAUAUCCAUACAAUGAGUCCAAAAAUCUCCUUAAAUUGAGGCUCAAAAAGAAGAAAAAUGGUUAAGUAGACGGAGAGAAUUAGAUGGGUAAUGGUUAAGGCUCAAACAAAGGUAGCAAAUAAAGGUCUUCGGGUAAAGAAAAAUGAAAAUGCGAGAAUAGAAAAAUGGUAAAUGGUUUGCCCUUAUCAUUUUAAUGCCUAAAAUCCCGUAAUGUGGCUUCAACAUGCAUAACAAAGCAAGUUCUAGAAUAAACAAACUAGGAUUGAUAUUCACAUAACAAAAAUAAUUAGAGCAAAGUGGUUGCUCAUAGGCUCAAAUCCUCACAAAGUUGGUAAAUUUGCCAUCAAAUCAUGUACACUCUUCAAAUGAAUCAACCAUCAAUAGUGGUGUAGAAUGAGAAGAAGGUAUGAGUGAUAUAUAAAAGGAAAGGUAAAAAUGAUAAGAAGUGAGAAAGAUGAAAAGUGAAAGAUAAAAUGUGAGUGAUGAAAGAGUAUGAUAGAAUAAAAAUAGAUGUAAAUAAUUUGAGAUAGAUGGGAAAAAAAAAAAAAGUAGUGAGAAAUAAAAGAAAAGAAAAAAUAAUAAUAUAUAAAGCAUACUAACUCCAAAAUCAUUUAAGGAUGAGUAGAGUGAAAAAAAAAAAAGAUAAGUAGAGUGAAAACAAUAAUUCCAGCAUCAAUAAUGCAAAAAUCCCUCCCCCACACCAAGAACUUACAUUGUCCCCAAUGUAAGAUAAUCAAAGCUCACAUAAAAAUUAAAGCAUAAGGAUAAAAGUUAAAGGGCAAAAAGAAACUUCCCUGAAUUGUGAGCUUUGAUCCACAUAACGUCUAUGGGCUUGGCGGAAAUGGUGGGGUAAAUCCCACACUCUCAAAGUAUGCGGCCAAAUUCUGCUCCAUUUUGUUCAACUUGUGCUCCAUUUUCUCUAACUGAAUGCUCAAAGGUGGUGCGGAUGUAGAAGGAAUAGUUGGCGGGGCAACAGUGUCGUCGUCAAACUCGUCAUCAGAGGUAGCACCACUCCUAGCAUAAAGCUUCUUCGGAAGUUGAGUGGGUCCUGGUUCAGUAAACUGAAAUCUCCCCUCCUUGAAUUCAACCACACCUGUUCUUUCAAACACAAACAUAUCCAAAAAUUCCUUUUUGCAAGCAGGAUGCAAAUCAUUAUUGUCAGGAUCAAGCACACAUAGGUUUAUAGCUAACAGAGUAAUGUAUGGACCAAGAAAUAAAGUCCUAUACCGUUUAAGCACACUUUGAAAUUGAUCCGCUAACCAAAAACCUAAAUUAGGCCUCACAUCAUUUAACAUGCACCAGAUAAAAUAAAAUUCAGUUUUAGAGAAAAUUCCUGAGUGAUAUUUCUUGCCUAAAAAAUUAUAUGCUAAGAAUCGAUGCACACAUUUCAAAACAGGAUCACGUAAGAAAGAACUCUUUGAUUUACUCGGGUCAUAGGCAUUGUGAUCAACAGAUAAAUUACGCCAAAGACCAUAAGGCUCAAAAUUUUUGCUAAAGUCACAAGUUGUUCCUAAAUAUUCAUCACUAGUAGAAUAAUCAUCAUCAAUGAAUCCUAAAGCUAGGUUAAAAUCCGUGAUAGAGUGUGAAAAACUUCGUCCCAUUAACCUAAACUUAAUGACAUCCGGGGUAUGCAAAGUAAAAUCAUUCGGCAUAGUGAAUUGAAAAGUAGCAUAAAACUCCCUAAUCAACUCAACAUAACCCAAGCAAUCAACAUCAACAAACUUACGCAACCCAAUCUUAUCUAUCAAAGAAUCAAAAUUAUCUUUAACAUUUAAUUUUUCAAGAGUCGGGUAAUGAAUAUACUUAGCUGGAAGUAUUUUGCGCGUGGAAAUAUCUUUGUACCUCUCUUUCUCUUGUUGAGUCGCGAAUGCGAGGCACCCUCCGAGAUUGGAUUCCGCAAGUGGCAAAACACUCAUGCCUUUUUCAUGCUUCGAUCUUUGUCUCACGGCUUGGCGUGAAUCUGAAAUUAUGUUCCAUGGAACCGUAGUGGGAGCGGCAAUCUUAGAUUUCUUUGCGACGGGUGUCUUUUUCGACGACUUGGAAGUAGAUGCUUUCCUCUUCGGCAUUGUUACAAUAAUUGCACUCACGGAUUUCGAUUUACUCGGCUGGAAUACAGGGCGUAGGCUGGUUGUGUUGCGCUUGCUGCUCGGCUGGAGCUUGUUGCGCGAGUUGGGGCUGGUUGUGCGCGCUGCUGAGGCUUGCUUUGCGGGUGCUGGUUCGUUGCUGUGUUGCGCGCACGGGGCUGUUGCGCGGGAGAGCCAGUUCACGUUGCGGGUCUGCGUUGCGGAUCUGUUGCGCUGCGCGCGCGGGACUGAUGUGCUGUGCUGAGGCUGAUUCGCGCUGCUGCUGGUUGCGGUGCGCGAUGCUGUGCGCGGCGGCUGGGGCUGCUGGAGCUUGCUGCUGGUUCUGGGCGUACUCGUCUGCUGCUGCUGGUUGCGCGGUGAAGGCUGGAGCUGAUGCUGCUGUAAAACGAUAAUCAACAGUAAUUUUGGAAUUAGGGAUUUGUAAACAGUGAUUUUCGAUUUUUGGUUUUUUUUUUUUUUAUAUAUAUAAAUAAAUAUAGAAAAGAAAGAAAGGAACGAAAAUAAAUAAAUAAAUGAUGAUUUUCGAUUUUCGAUUUUUGGUUUUUUUUUUUUUUUUUUUUUUUUUUUUUUUUUUUUUAGUGAUGAAUCACUUUGAGACACUAAAAAUUUCAGAAGUACUUUUCUAAUAAGUACGUGGGCACGCCUUAUCAAAAAUUUUCUUCUGACCAAAAUAAGCAAACAAAUUAAAUUUCAGAAGUACUUUUCUAAUAAGUACGUGGGCACGCCUUAAAACUUUGUGACAUUAAAAAUCACAGAAGUACUUAUUAGUUAAGACGUGGGCACGCCUUAUCAAAAAUUUUCUUCUGACCAAAAUAAGCAAACACAUUAUUUAUUUUUUUUAAAAAAAAAAAAAAUCUGAAUCAAAAUUAAAAGAAGAUAUAACAAAAACCAAAAUAAAUAAAUCAUUUGGGUUGCCUCCCAAAAAGCGCCUUUGUUUUAUGUCUUUGGCUAGACACAUUUAUGCAUCAAUCUCCAUAAUUGGGACUCUCGAGAGCCACAUCCUCCAUAAUAUUCACCGAAAAACCUUCAUAAAAAGGUUUUAAGCGAUGACCAUUAACCUUAAAAACUUUGUCAGAGGUCGGACUCCGAAUUUCAACUGCACCAUGAGGAAAAACAUUAGUAACAAUAAAAGGUCCAACCCAGCAAGAACGUAAUUUACCCGGAAAAAGUUUAAGCUUAGAAUGAAAAAGAACUUUUUGACCAACAGAGAACUCCUUUAUCAAAAUCAUUCUAUCAUGAAAUGUCUUCGUCUUUUUCUUGUAAAAAACUUCCUGCACUAUAGGGUUAAUAACAUCCACAGAGAAUAUUGAAUGUUCCUCACUAGGAUAUUUCAUGGCAUCAUUCAUAUUGAAUUCUAUAACCUCUCCAUCAAACUCCAUAGUGAGAGUCCCUUUAUGUACAUCCAUUUUAGUCCUAGCAGUCUUAAGAAAAGGUCUUCCUAGCAAAAUUGGGACAGAAUUAGAGGAGUUAUCAUCUUCCAUAUCAAGUACAUAAAAAUCAGCAGGAAAAACCAACUCAUUAACUUGUACUAAGACAUCUUCUAAUACCCCAUCAGGAUAUGCAUUAGACCUAUCAGCUAGUUGAAUUAUCACGCCAGUUUCUUUUAAUGGACCAACAUUCAAAGAUGAAUAAAUGGAACGAGGCAUGACAUUAAUAGAAGCUCCUAGAUCUAACAUAGCCUUUUCAACUCUAACACUACCAAUUUUACAAGGGAUAGUAAACAUACCUGGAUCCUUGCACUUAGGAGGUAGUUUCUUUUGGAGAACUGCUGAAACAUUCUCCCCCAUGUGAACUUUUUCAUCUCCUCUUAAUUUUCUCUUGGAGGUGCACAGUUCCUUAAGGACUUUAGCAUAUCGAGGUAUUUGUUUUAUAGCAUCUAACAAAUGAAUAUUUACCUCAACCUUGCGAAAUGUCUCAAGGAUGUCUUUAUCUUGUUCCUUCUUCUUGGAUUUUGCAAACCGGCUUGGAAAAGGAGGAGGUAUCACAAUAGGUAGGGGUUUCGCUCUUGUGGGUUGUGCAUCUUGAGAUUGAGGCAUCAAUUCAUUCUUCUCAAGCUCAUCUUCUACAUGCUUUGUCACUUUCUUACUAGGCUCUUGCAACUCCGUCCCACUUCUAAGGAUGACAGCACUAACGUUUUCCUUUGGAUUCACCUCAGAUUGUGAAGGCAAUCUCCCUAAUACUUGAGACUCCAGACGGCUCACUGUAGUCGCCAAUUGACUCAUUUGGUUCUCCAAGUUCUGAAUGCUUGCUGUAGUUGCCUGCUGAAAUUGUUGAGUGUUAGUCGCAAGUGAUUUAACAAUUUCUUCAAGAGAUAUACCUGACUUGGAGUUUGACUGUGGAGGUGCUGGUUGUCUUGGUGGAUACUGUUGUGGGAAUCCUGAUUGCCUAACUCCAUAGCUGAAGUUGGGAUGAUCCUUCCAUCCCGGAUUGUAUGUUUGUGCAUAAGGAUCAUACCUCCUCUGAGGCAUGCCUGGAAAUCCUCCAACUGCAUUGGCUUGUUCAACGGGUUCUUCUUGAAGUGUAGGACACAUAUCAGUUGAAUGACCCAUAUUGUAACAAAUGCCACAAGUCUUCACCUGUUGCACAUUACCUACAACAAACUUUUCCACAAGAGAAGUAAGUUUAUCUAAACGUUGUUCAACAGAAGAAAUAUUUACCUCAUUCACCGUUCUUGAAGUGGCAUCUUGUCUGCUGCCAAAUUGUUGUGCAUUGGCAGCCAUAUUUGAGAUCAACUCCCUUGCUUGAGUAGGGGUCUUGUUCACCAACACACCUCCACUAGCAGCAUCUAUCAUACUCAUAUCCAUCAAUGACAGUCCUUCGUAAAAAUAUUGAAUAAGAAGUUGAUCAGAAAUCUGAUGCUGAGGACAGCUGGCACACAAUUGUUUGAAUCGCUCCCAAUACUCUUACAAAGUCUCCCCAGGAAGUUGUCUGAUCCCACAAAUAUCUUUUCUGAUGUUGGCAGCUCUUGAAGCAGGAAAGUACUUCUCAAGGAACUGCUUCUUCAAACCAUUCCACAUUGUAAUCGAUCCAGGAGGCAAGUAGUACAACCAAUCUUUAGCUAGCCCAUCUACAGAGAACGGAAAAGCACGCAGCUUAAUCUGCUCUUCAGUCACGCCUUGUGGCCUCAUACUUGAGCACACAACAUGAAACUCCUUAAGAUGUUUAUGAGGAUCUUCACCUGCAAAACCAUGAAACUUGGGUAAUAAAUGAAUAAGACCAGACUUUAAUUCAAAAUUUACCUCCAAAUCUACAUAUUGAAUGCAGAGUGGUUGCUGAUUCAAGUCUGGUUCAGCUAACUCUCUAAGAGUUCUUUCUACAGGUGCAGGUCUAUCCAUCACUUGUUCUUCUGAAUCACUAGAUGAUUCAACUAAAUCAGGCACCGUAUCUGUUUCAGAAAGCAAAGGCGACGAGGAUCGUUGCUUAGCUCGCUUUGUCUGCUGUCUCAGCUGGUGAGCUGUCUUCUCAAUUUCAGGAUCAAACGAAAGUGUACCUGUACGAGAAGAACGAACCAUACACCAAGUAAAACGUAAAAAGGAUUAAAUAAAUGACACCAAUCCCUGGCAACGGCGCCAAAAUUUGAUGGGUGUCGAAGCCAACAAAAAUAAAUUCCUACUCUAAAUAAAUUGUGUAUAGUGAUUGAGCAGGGUCGUGUCCACAGAGAUCGGUAAUUAUUUAAAUCCUUUUGAAACGUAAAACGUAAAAUGGGGGAAUUGUUGACAAUAAUAAAAAUCAAAUUGAAAUAAACAAGAAUGCAAAUUAAAGUUGUAAUUCAAAUUGGAGAAAGCUCUGGUUGAAGGAAUUAACUCAGCUUGAUUCGACUACUGAUCAUUGAUUCAAAUAUAGAUUAUUAUUAUUACUUAUGAAUAGAUCGGUUAUAGCUACUGAGACCCUCUAAUAGCCAAUCUCUCCUUAACUAGUCGAUAACCAAGGUACGACCGUUGGUUAUUUCCCUAAUCAAUAGACAACCCUAGAUACGAUCAUAGGAUUUAAUCAAUUGACAGCCUGAGAAACCAGAGAGACCCAAAUCCUAAUCAACACAUAUGAUGAUUCAUUUAAAUUAGAUUGUUUAUUCUCACAACACAACUCUCUGCUAUGUUAUUUGUCACAAACAUUAAAUUCUUCAUAUGAUGAAUCCUUUAAUUGACAAUAGAUUAAGUUGAUAAUUAAAUAGUGGCCAAUUACCUAAUUAACAAACAUAAUCAUGAAACUAAUUCAGAGAAUAAACAAAUACCCAAAAAGCAAUAAAACAAUUAAAGCACAAGAAAGAUCUCACAGUAGUGAUGAAUCAAAGCUUCAUUAUCCUUCAACCAGAAAAAUGGGUUUAGUUCCUCAUAGAGAGAAGAGAAAAAUUAGAUCUAGGGUUUCUUUUUCUCCAAUCCAAAAAUCCCCCCUUUUUCACAAUAGAUUCCUCCCUUCAAUACUCUCUCUCUCUUCUCUUUUAGAAUUCUAUUUAAAAUAAAAUACUAAUAUCUGAAAUAUUAAAUUCGUAAUUACAAAAAUAACCAAAAAUACAAAACACGUUAACCUAAAAACUGUAGGUCCGCAGUUGACAGCACGCGCCCACGCCUUAUCAACAAAGUUCUUCUGACGCUCAGAAAUUUCUCCAAGAGAACAAUCCUCCUUAAACAUCAUCUUUUAGCUCAAUUUUAUCAUCAAUCAAUAGAAUUGCACCUACAAAAGUAAAACACAAGUAAAACAUUAUUAUUAAAUGCAAAACAUCGAUAUUAAGGGAAGUAAAUAAUGCAAAACUAGUGCAUAAAUUGCACUCUAACAGUAUAUGGAUCAAUGAUUAGGAUAUCCACUUACAGAUUAAACAUUCUUCAUCACAGAAGCACAGUUUAUCAAUAAGGCAAGGCUGAACCCAGAUAACAUUGCUAUGUAAGUGUAACUUGUCAAAAGCGGUAUCGAUAAAACCUGUACAUACAUAGAAAAUUACGUCACCAAAUCCAUGAAGAAAAGUAUUUUAUAAACAAAUAUGUUUGAGACAAACUAUCAAAUGAUCUAAAUGCCACAUGGUGUGUUCAAAAUUUUACCCCUGCAAUGCGUGUUAUUAUUAUUGGCCCGAUCAUCCUCUCAACGUAAGGGUACAUAGUAAGUUGAAAAACAAGGAGAAUGAAAUCUAUAGUAACUUCAAAAUGAGGACAAUCGUCAAGCAGUUUUGGGGGGUUGAUGCAUGAGAAAAGAAGUUAAGAGGAACGAGUAACAUUUUCAGUUUCGUAAUAAGUAUAAAUGGGGAGCAAGAGUAUCAGUUUUGCACCUGAGAUGGCAAGAACUUGGCCAACAUUUUCGGUUGAGUAACUCAGACCCCCGUACUUCCACCGGCUGAUAGCCCACAGUGAAAAUAUCUAACAGAAUAGUUGCAAUAUUAUGAUUUAAAAAAAUUACACAGAUAAGAAAUUCUUAGGAUCAGUAAUAGCCAUAUGUCUUCUUUAUGUAUAAAACUCUCAACAAUCCCAUCAACAGCAAUAGCACCCUCUGUUUCAGGUAGAAGUUAAGAGAUAACUUUGCAAAUAUCUAACAGAAUGCGAUCUGAUCCAGGAUCCUGGACUUUAUUCAAGUUCGGGAAAGCCAUUGGUCAUUGGACUAUUAAACCAUAUGGCUUAAUAACUUUCCCGAACAUUAACAUAGUUUAGAUUUUGGAUUGGAACAUUUUUAUGUCAUAAUAAAGUAGAAUAUAUAUAUAUAAACAAUCAAGUAGAGAUAUUUAUACCUCGGUGUAAGCGAUAUCAUGAAGCGAGAAAACACAAUAAACAAUAAUAGAAGAAAUAAAGGGCCAAUUCUUCAUGAGGCUUUUCUUAGCAGUGGCCUCCUCACUUCCUUCAUCUUGUUUAAAUUCUGCAUUGGACCCACAGGAUGCGGAUUCCAAAGCAUCACAUGAUACAUCAAGUGAUACACCAUCUUCAUUGUGUUUGUGCAAUGUCUCACACUGAUCCAUAGUUGAGAGAGGCUGUGGGGAAGUUAAUGGAGUUGAAGGAGAGGGAUAAUGAUAAUGAAGAUUACUCUUCAUAUGCUAGUGAGGAUUAUGUCUACUCUUCUAGAGCAAUGACUGAUGAGGACUUCUCAUUCUCAGUAACUGGCUGAACUCAACUUAUUUUUUCUUUCUUUGGCUUUUGGCAGCUGAUGUUCUUUUUGGGGUUAGUAGAAGGAAGGAUAAAGCUGGCAAUUAAAGGAAGCCAUUUAUGUUAAUCUUAGUAAUUUCCCCAUAUAUAGAUAUAUCUUUGAAUGUUUUUAACUUUUGCAAGGUUCAUUAUGUAACGAGGCAGUGACACUGAUUAAACUUGUAUUAUUAUUAUUAUUAUUAUUAUUUUGAAUAGAAGCAAAUUGAUUGUGUUAUGGGUUUCUUUUGCUUCCCAUCGGAUUAGCAACUGGCACUGGCACCGGCAUGAUUGGCAAAGGCCAAGUUGAAGCUGCCUGCAGACUCUCAGUGGACUGAAUUACAUAUUACAUAAUACAAGUGAAAGGAAGGGACUCGUAAAGCUUUAUUGUCGUAGUUUGGAUAAGAUUAAGAAUUGCUGUCGCUUCUUGUCAGAUUGCAUUGAAACGCUAGUAGUCGCUGCUGCGAGCAUUGGUAUUAGAAGAUUAGCACAAGCAGCCCCUACCUAUCAUGGACUCUGAUGUUAUGGACCUUACGGAUAUCAAUUACCUAGUUAAAAGCUAGUUAAAAGCUACCUCCAUAUUUUUUAUUUUUACCCUAAUGCAUGUCUGAUUCUUUUAAAAUUUUACGUUAUAUAUAUUAAACAAAUAUUAUAAUUUUAAUCAUUGAAAAAUUAAUGACAGACAUCUUUUGAAUAAUUUUUUUUUUUAAAAAUACAGAGCUAGAGAAAAUGCUAUAAUUGAUUGAAUAAGAAGGCUACAACUUGAUGAUAACUUUAUUGCAAUGUUGCGUGAUCUCAAUAUAUUAUUGGCUUAUGUGUGAGUAAAAGUUGCUGGCUCCUGUUUUACUAAUUUGCCUUUGAAUUUGACUGGCUCGACAAAGAAUCGAUUUACCUCAUACUCAAAUUACAAACAUCGAAACCGGAUCUGUCAUUACGUUAAUUGGCCUCCUAAAAUAAUCAAUCACUUUCUCUUUAGUCUACCAUCCACGCUUUCCAGUCGCUUAGUUUCAUUCUAAUCAUCUAAACGGCUCUUUGCUACUGUUUCUUCUAUUUGUCAUUGUUCUUGUUCUGUUAUUAUUUAGCUUUGCUCACUCCUGAGUCUCAUUUCUUAUUCUGUACCCAUCAGCUCUUUUAGCUCUUUACGUCGUGAUAGAAACCCUUUUCUUGUUUCCUUCAUCUCAUCUGAAAAACACAAUUGCUUGUCCUAUCGCUGUCUCUUUGUUUUUACUUUCCUUUGGCCUUCUUCGCUUCUACGUUUUUGUCAGGAUUCGAGAUGCUGGAAAUCAUUGUGACUAUCGUCUUGGAACUUGUAAAAUGCUUGGCUCCUCCAACUGCACGCCAACUUGUUUAUUUGCGAUAGCGGAACUACAAUGCCAACUUUGAGAAUAUCAAGGCGGAAAUGGAGAAGUUGAAGGUUGAACGUACGAGCAUUCAGCGCAAAGUUUCAGAGGCGAAAGAAAAAGGGGAAGAGAUUGAAGAGAAGGUUGAAAAGUGGCUGGUUAGUGCGAAGUGCGAACGGCAUCAUUGACCGGGCAGCCAAAUUCAUUGAAGAUGAGGAGUCAACAAAUAAGCGCUGUCUCAAGGGCUUGAGUCCUAAUUGGAAGAGUCGCUAUCAGCUUAGCAAGAAAGCAGAGACGGAGGUGAAGGCCAUUAUUGAACUUGGAGAAGAAGUUAAGAAGUUUGAUACUGUUUCCGUAUCAUUCCGGAGGAGAUACGGCUCAAGUCUAGCAAUGGUUACGAGGCCUUCAAAUCAAGACUUUCUACUUUGCAGUCUAUAAAAAAUGCAUUGACUGAGGCGAAUGUCAGCAUUAUUGGGGUGUACGGCAUGGGCGGCAUUGGAAAUACGACAUUGGUGAAGGAGUGUGCUAGGCAAGCCAGGGAAAGGAAGCUGUUUGAUCGGGUGGGUUUUUCAGAGGUUUCACAAACUCCUAACAUAAAAAAGAUUUAAGGGGAAAUUGCAGAGAAGUUAGGUCCGGAGUUGUCCGACGAAGCUGAAUAUAGAAGAGCAAGCAGGCUGUAUGAACGAUUGAAGAGUGAGAAUAAGAUUCUUGUGAUUCUAGAUAACAUCUGGAAACAUCUUGAAUUGGAGACGGUUGGAAUUCCUUUUGGAAAUAAUCAUAAAGGAUGUAGACUGUUGCUGACAGCAAGAGAUAAUAAUGUGCUUUUAAGUAUGGGCUCCAAAGAUAACUUUUUGAUUGGCAAUCUAACUGAACAAGAAGCCUGGAGAUUGUUUAAGAUAAUGAAUGGUGAUGAUGUUGAAAAUUGUAAGUUCAAGUCUACAGCAAUUAAUGUAGCUAAGGCAUGUGGAGGUUUGCCAAUUGCGUUGAGGGCACUGAGAAACAAGAGUCUCCAUGAAUGGAAGAAUGCCUUGCGAGAGCUCCGAACGCCUUCAAUGGUAAACUUCGAAGGUGUGCCUGCAGAGACUUAUUCAAGUAUUGAGCUGAGUUUCAAUUAUUUAAAAGGUGAGCAAGUCAAGAAAAUUUUUCUGCUUUGUGGACUAGUAGGUAACAGUGUUUGGUUUUCAGACUUAUUUAGAUACUCCAUGGGUUUGGGCAUAUUUCAAGGAGUCAACAUUCCCUUCAUAUUUACCAAAGGUAAGUGAUAAAUCCUACAUAUCCCACUCAAGAAUGCAUAAGUUUCUUCAAUCUCAAGUACCUAAAGUUUUCUUCUACGUUUAUAAAAAUUUCAGCACCAUCUCCCUAUAAUUCUCCAAGCUCACGACAUAGCUAUAUAAGUGUUUAUGCGUUAUGCCAAAACAACACAUGACACCCGCUCACCUAGAACGUACCCAGAGAACACGAGGAGCAGCUACCGAAAAAGCCAUAUUUACGUGGGAAAAAAACUUCAGCUACUAGCUACCAGAGAGACCUAUGCAUUCCCAAACUGUCCAAGCCUGGACAAUUCAAGAAUUAUUAAUAGACAUAUGAUCCUCACUAUCAUCCAAAGAUGACACUAAUACAACAUGUGUCUAUUAAUAAUUUCUUAAACAAGUCUAAGCUUUCAAUGCACGUAUCAAAAGUUUAAAAUUGAAUCUGAAAUUUGAAUAACACAUAAAUAUCAUAAAUCUCUUCAAUUUAUUCCUGAUACAAUGUAGCAUUAUUUCAGAGAUCAUUUCUUAAGCAAAACCAUAAAAAAUACAAACGAUAAAUACAUUUUCCCACUGAUGCAGAUUAUGUUUACUGAGCAAUAAGUUUUAAGCCAUUCAUGUUGAAAUACUUCUGCCUGUUCUUUCAACAUAUAACUAGUACGUACACACAAUUAAUAAAUUAAAAAAAAAAAAACUGGUGGUGAAUCUGCAAAAUCUUCCUUUUUUUCUUUUUUUUUCUUUUUCUUCUUUUUUUGGGGGGGGGGGGUGUUGGGGGAACUAUGAAUCUUGCAAAUCCUCAAGAAGCUAUGUUAAGACAAGGCCAGCUUACUAUUAGGGUAUGAAAGAUAAAACCUUUUAUUUCCUUUUCAGAAUAAAAAGAACAUUGACAGUGUUAAAAAAAUCUAGAGGAUUUCAGGCCUCCAGAUCCUUACAAAUCAAGGAUAUUAAAAAAUUUACUUAGAGGAGAAUGGUUAUGCUCAUUUGUAUCUUGUUAGAAGAAAUUGAUCCAAAGCCUCAGUUUUAAUUAGCUUCAUAUAGCCAAUGAUUAGGUGUUUAAAAACCAAUGAAUAUUUUUAUAAGAAAUCGACAAUAUUGUUGAAAGAAAAACCAAAUAAAAAUAAUAAAGCCAAUGAAUAGAUCAAGGCUCUUUGUGGUCUAAAACUAAUCAAACUAAGUUGUGGGCAAAGGCGAAUAUGUUUGUUUGGUCAAUAAUAAGCUCAACAAAUCACUAAUAAUCACCUAAUCACUAUUCCUUACGCUAUGCAAUAUAAUGGCCUGGGUAAUGGCGCCAAGGCAGACAUUAACUAGCUAGCCAGUUAUGAUAGUUGAUUAACUUAACCUACUGGAAAUCUGAAGACCAAAACGAAGAAGCUUUGUCUAGAACUAGAAUAGGAACAUUCGUACCCAAAACUAAUAUACACAAUUAAGAAACUUGAUUAUAUGUAUAUUUCUGUUGGCCACACUUAAAGAGAAUUUUCAAAAGAUGCUAAGGUACACCAAAUCCCACUAUUUCAUACUCAUAAACACAAAAAACCAUGGCAAAAAUUAAUGACUAUAUCAAAUAAAAUCGGUGAUAGGACAUUGAGAUUAGGACAACUUGAUUUGUAUACCGUAAAAUAACUAUAUCUGCAUGGUGAACUAUAUUUCUGUUAGAACUCUGAAGUUUUCUAUUAAGUUUUUUUCUGUUAGGUAAACCACUUAACUGAAGUGCUUAAGCCAAUAUUGACAAUCAUAGACAUAAAAGUAUUAAUAGGCUCAUUCAAGUGAAAUGAGCAUUAUUUCACACAUCCUUUAGGUUUUUAAGUCAUUUAGAAGUCAUUCAUGUUAAAAAAAAAAAUUCAUAUACUUUCAAUAUAAUUAGAACAUACACAAUUAAUUAAUUAAAUAAAUCUUUUUCAGCUAGUAUAGGAACUUAAUUAAUCAAAGCUAGUAGUUAUAGCUAGGACUUGAACGAGGCACCUUUCAAAGUUCAAGAAGAGCAUCUGAACAGAAUGAAAGCACUUUGUAGAAAUGGUAAUGAUGCUUUACAUCUACAUGCUCUUACACAAUAUGAACUUUCAUUUAUUCAAGAACAUAACACUACUCCAAGCUCUUAUUCUACAAGUCAAUUCAGUUUGUAGAUGCACGCCAUUGUAAAAACUUUUGCAUUAUAAUUUCUGAAAAUAGAACGUAACAUUAUUAGUAUAGAAUCAGCAAUGUAAAUAACUUAUCAGACAAUAUAACAAGCACUUGGUGAGCAUACAAGAAAAACUAAAACAAGUUAUCUAGAUAAUGAAACUAAAACCCAAGCUCCGCUAUUCAUUGUAGAAGCUUUAAACAUAAAAUUAAAGUAAAUCUAAUAGCAAAACAUUAGAAUGGAUAUUGAAAUUAAAGCUAAAUUCAAUAGUAAUUCAAAUGAAUCCAUUUGAACUUUGUAAAUUCCGCAGAACAAAAUUAAUUUGAGUGAGCAAACUCACCAAAAUUAAAAAGAUAUUGCUGGCGGGAAAAAAAUUGACAAUAACAGCUACAAUACGAAUUUAAAAAAAAAAUCAAAAUCUAUAAUUACAAGCUUAACUCAAAAGAUGAAGGGAGAAUACGAUGAAGAAGAAGAUGGCUGGUGUUUUACGCCGUUCGCCGGCAACCAGUUAGGUUUACGAUGGUGGCUAGUAACACGGAGUCCAGCGAAUAGUUUUCUAACUGGAAAUAAAUUUAAAAUUCUAAAAUAGUACCGAAUGGCUCGUUGCCGUCACGUGGUUAGUAACAUAUGUGACCGCAGUGUGGCCGUCACAUAAAAGGUAUUGGGGUUACAAAGUUAGUGAUAUACGUGAUGGCUGCUCUUGCAUUCACAUUAGGGAUCACAUAUACCCUAUUUUCUUGUAGUGCAUGGUAAAUUCUAUUUGAAAAUUGCUAAGUAUUUUAGAUUUGUACGAAUUCAUUUUUGUGUGCUCAUUGGAUAAUAAUAUAUAAUAAAUUAAAUUUUUGGUGUCAACCAUACCAUACCAUACCAUAAAAUCAAAUUUUAUCGUGUCAUUCUUCUUGGUUCAAAUUUUUGGAAACAAUAAUCAAAUGCAUCCAUGAACUAGUAUAUUCCGACAUAUAUAUAUAUAUUGAAAUUUUAAUAACAACAAUUGGGCCAAGCAUAUGUUGGUACUUGAAGAUUUAUAAGCUCCAUCCUUGAAAAAAAUAAGGCUUGACUGUUCUCAAUCUAAAAUUCUUUUUGUUUUAAGUUCUUAAUUAAGCUUUCUUGCUUGUUUUCAAGAGCCAGUUUUGUAAUGAUCGACAAACAUGACUUGCAUAUACUGCACUUGGCUUUUAUGUGUCACUUAUUAAUUAGAUUUAGAUUUUAUGUCUCAUGCACUCGCUAAUUAAGCUCUUAAUUAAGUGCUCCUUAUAUGGAUAUUGUGUCAAAACAAGUGCUUUCCAUACGGAUAUUGGAUCUAAAGAGAAAAUUAUCUUUAGGUAGUGUUGCCAAAUUUGGAGGCUUUGGAGCUGAAUGCUAUUAAUGUCGACGAGAUUUGGCAUGACAAUCAACUUACGGCCAUGAUUACUUGCUUUCAAAGUUUGAUACGAUGGAUAGUGUGGGGCUGUGACAAAUUAAAAUACAUAUUUUCAGCUUCUAUGAUCUUAAGCCUUAAGCACCUCCAACACCUGGAGAUACGGAUAUGUAUGGGUUUACAAGAGAUCAUCUUCAAAGACAGCAGAUCAAGUGACCCCAUAUUUUGUCUUUCCACAAGUGACCACUGUGAAUCUCGAAGGUCUACCAGAACUCAGAUGUUUAUACCCUGGAAUGCAUACUUCAGAAUGGCCAGCACUAAAAAAAUUGGAGGCCUGUAAUUGUGAUAAAAUAACGUUGUCCCAGAAUAACGAGAAUGAUCAAUUUGGUAUUCCGCCACUACAACCCCUGCUCUCGUUCAAGAAGGUAUGAAACCAAAAUUUAGAUUUUUUUUAUCAAUUAUCUUUGUUGUUCCUCACUCACAGAUCAGGAGGUUUAAUAACUACCUAUAUGGAGUUUUUUUCUAGUGGGAAUGCCCUUAUUUUUUACUUUUUUCAUGCGGAGAAGCUUUCAAAUCCCUCGGUUUAAGAGCGUGUUUGUAAUGAUCCACAAACAUGAUUUGCAUAUACAGUAUUGCACUUGGCAUUUAUGUAUCACUUACUAAUUAGAUUUAAAUUUUAUAAAUUAAUUAAACUGAUUAAUAUUUUAUAUGUGCACUGAAUGAUAGAUACUACAUAAAUUGGGACACUAUAACUACGUAUCCCAACUAUGUAAUAUUUGUUUGUCACAAACCCAAUCAUGACCUGAUAUUCUGAAUAUUAUUUAGGAUACCAUUUCAAGCCCCAUGAGGGCUCUUUCCAUUUUAAAAAGUAUGAAAUAGAUGUAGAUUUUUCUUUAGAUAUUAUCAGUGAGAGUACCUUUGGUGGCAGUGGUCCGGGAUGAUUUGUGUUAAGGAAGCUCAUUGAGCACGUGUGUCAAUGAUGAGUCAGCAGUUAGUUGGGUAAAGAAGCCAGCUCAGCAAAUCUGUUAAUCAUGUUUUACGUUCUGUUCUUCAGUUGUUAGUAAUGCUUUUAAUUCUGUUGAGAUAUGAGUUAGUAUAAAUAUGUUGUUAUUGUAUUUGUAAUUGUGAACGUGAGAUUCAAUAAAAAAUAAGUAGUUUCUAAGGAAAAAUCUUAUCAUUAUUUUCUUAGCUUCCAAACAACUUUUACAGUCACAAUUCAACUUUCAAACAUGGUAUCAGAGCCAGUAAGAGCAAGCUCUAGUGCUCAGCAAACAAAUCAACAAAGUCAAAUAAAUUUUUCUUUCAACACUCCAAUUAAACUAGAUCGAUCGAACUAUCUACUUUGGCGUUUUCAAGUUUUUGCUUCCAUAAGAGGCAAUCGAUUGGAAGGCUUCAUCAAUGGAACAAAACCAGCUCCUGAAGAAUAGUUCACUCAAGUUGUAGCUGAUGGAUCUAUUCAGAAAAUUGAUAAUCCAGAAUAUCAGAAUUGGAGAUCACAGGAUCAAACAUUGCUUGGAUGGAUGCUAUCAUCAAUAAGUGAAGGUACUCUAAAUCUUGUCAUAAAUUGUGGUAGCUCGUUUGAUGUUUGGAGAACUUUAGAAAAGAAAUUUGGUGUGCAAUCUGAAGCUAGGGUUCUUCAACUUAGAUAUGAGUUGAAUACUCUUAGGAAGGAAUCAAUGAGUAUUGAAGAUUACUGCAUCAAAAUGAAAAUUGUAGCAGAUAAGCUUGCUAGUGCUGGAAGUCCUAUAACAGAGAAAGAUCUCAUGCUGACAAUUCUUAAUAGCUUAGGAGCAGGUUAUCGUGAUAUUGCUACCUUUAUAACUGGCUCAAAAAUGGACUAUGAUGAUGCUUAUGCAUUAUUAUUGACUCAUGAAACCAGACUUGAACAAGAGCAGAAUGAUAAAAGCAUGUUUAAUGCAAAUUAUGCUUACACAAAUGCCUAUUAUCCAAGGGCAUUCUAUGCCCAAUCUAGAAAUAAUUUUAGAAGAGGAGGAUAUGCUGGUGCUCAGUUUGGUAAUACUGGUAGAAAUCAUACUGCUGGAAGAGGAAAUAUUUUUCAGUCUCCAAGGAUGUUUACUGGCAAUCACAGAGGUGGAUAUGGAAGAGGACACUCAUUUGGCCCAAAUAAUGUUAACUCUUUUCAUGCACCUAGGAAUCCAAUACAAUUUACUAGGACUGGAGUCACUAAUAUGAAUGGACCUCAAGGAAUUCCAAGUAAUGCAGAAGAAUUGGUUUGCCAGAUUUGCUUUAAGCUGGUCACACUGCUGAUAUUUGCUGGCAUCGAUUUGUGGAGGAUUAUGUCCCUUCUUCAAGAAGUCUAGGCAGAGGAAAAGGACCAAGAUCAGCAUAUAUUGCUAAUUUUGAUGGCUUUACAUAUCCAUAUCAAGGUUAUGAUAACUAUGAUAAUCAUCCUGCAUCUGAGACAAGCUGCUAUUCUGGAAUUGAUAACUAUGCACCUACAGAAGCUUAUGUGGCUAAUUUUGAAAGCUUUGCUGAUGAUGGCUGGUAUUUGGAUAGUGGGGCAACUCAUCACUUGACCAACAACAUGGAGAACUUGCAUUUUAAGGAAGACUACAAAGGUACUGAUCAACUCAUUAUUGGAAAUGGUCAAGGUCUGUCAAUUUCUCAUAUUGGUCAUGCAUUUUUAUCAUUUAGAGCUUCAAAACAUCCUUACACACAUGCCUCCACUAUAGCACUUAAAGAUAUGUUACUUAUUCCUACAAUCACUAAGAAUUUACUAAGCAUCUCCAAACUUACAUCUGAUAAUUCACUCUCUGUUGAAUUUUGUGGAAAUGUUUGUUAUGUUAAGGACAUGAAAGGGCAAGUUCUUCUGCAGGGCCUUGCUGAGAAAGGUCUUUACAAGCUGUUGAUGAAAUCUUCUUCCAUGUCAUCUUCUGCUUAUCAUACAUCACCUGCCUUUCAUCUUUCUCAACUUCAGUCACAUAAACCAAUAUCCAUGCUGUCAUGCUCAAAUGUGUCUUCUAUUUCUCAUCAUUGUAAUGUCUCAACUUCAGUCACAUAAACCAAUAUCCAUGCUGUCAUGCUCAAAUGUGUCUUCUAUUUCUCAUCAUUGUAAUGUCUUUGAUAAGACUUGUUUCAGCUCAAUUUCAAAUAAGUGUAACCAGAAACAUGAUGAACUUAUCUUGUUACACAGAAAGUUUGGUCAUCCAAGCUCAACAGUAUUGAUGCAUUUGCUUAAGACUUGUAAACAAGUUAAAGUCUCUCAAAAAUCAAUUUUAUCUCCUGAGCAUUCUAUGUGUGAAGCAUGUCAAUUAGGAAAAGCUCACAAGCAACAUUUUUCUACAACCGAAACCAAAACAACUCAAGUAUUAGAACUGAUACAUACUGAUCUGUGGGGGCCUUCACCUACUACAUCUAGAAAUGGUUUCAAAUACUACAUUAGCUUUGUAGAUGAUUACAGUAGGUAUACCUGGAUUUACCCACUCAAACUCAAAUCAGAAGCUUUUGAAGUUUUCAAAUUAUUCAAAAUCCAAGUAGAGAAUCAGUUCAAUACCAAAGUCAAGAUGCUGCAAUCUGACUGGGGGGGAGAAUAUAGAGUUUUUACUAACUUCUUAAACCAGAAUGGGAUCAUUUUCAGACAUUCAUGCCCUUACACACAUCAUCAAAAUGGUCUAGUAGAAAGAAAACAUAGACAUAUAAUUGAGUUAGCUUUGACUCUCUUAGCUCAAGCCAAUCUUCCUUUUAAAUUCUGGUGGGAAGCUGUUCAUACAGCAGUGUAUCACAUAAACAGAUUACCAACACCUGUAUUGAAACUCUUAUCUCCAUAUGAGAAGCUCUUUAAACAUAAACCAGAUUACAGCCUCCUUAAAUGCUUUGGUUGUCUUUGUUAUCCAAACUUGAGAGAUUUUAACAAACAUAAAUUUGACUUUCAUACCAGCAAGUGCAUCUUUAUUGGUUAUAGCUCAUCUCAUAAGGGAUAUAAAUGUCUUACAAGCUCAGGUCGAGUUCAUAUCCUUAGACAUGUUGUUUUUUAUGAAAGUGUAUUUCCAUAUACAACAUUCUCUGUUCCUUCUUCAUCUGAAAAUGUUGCCAACUCAGAAACACCAGUGUCAAAUUUCUCUAAACAGCAAGUCUAUCAUCUUUUAACUCUACCCUUAUUCAACAGCAGUUUUGAAGAUACUUUCUCAGCAGGUGUACCAAGUGAUGAACAAACUCCUGUUUUGCCUGAGCAUACAGAUAAUUUGAAUCAACAAGAAUCAUCUAGUUAUUCUUUAUCAGAACCAUCAAUAUCACAAGUUAUCCCUCAAAUCCCUGAAUCUACUCAAACACAACCUGAACCACAAACAAGCAAUCAACAACACUCAGAAUAUAAUCCAAACAGAAUUCAGAUCUCACAACCUACACACAAAAUGAUUACCAGAUCAAAGUCUGGAAUAUUCAAGCCUAAGUUAUAUACAGCCACCUUGACCAACAAAGAACCUGACACAAUUCAAAAAGCUCUGAAUGAUAAAAAUUGGUAUAAGGCCAUGAAAGAGGAAUAUGAAGCUUUGAUCAGGAAUGAGACUUGGUCUCUUGUACCACCUCCAGCUGAAUACAAAAUAGUUGGAAACAAAUGGGUGUUCAGGGUUAAACAAAAUAGUGAUGGCAGUAUAGCAAAGUACAAAGCUAGAUUGGUUGCUAAAGGUUUCCAACAAACUGAAGGGAUUGAUUAUUUCGAAACUUUUAGCCCUGUUAUAAAGGCUUCCACAGUGAGGGUUAUAUUAAGCCUGGCUGCAAUGCAGAGUUGGAUGAUCAGACAGGUAGAUGUUAAUAAUGCUUUUCUGAAUGGUGACUUAACAGAAGAUGUCUACAUGUGUCAGCCUGAGGAUUUUGUUGAUGAGAAGAGAUCAGGCUAUGUAUGUAAGUUGAAGAAGGCUUUAUAUGGUUUGAAACAAGCUCCCAGAGCUUGGUUUGAUAAACUAAAAGGCUGUUUGGUUGCAAACUGGGGAUUUCAAAAUUCCAGAGCUGAUACCUCACUAUUCUUUAAAGGAAAACAAGAUUCAAUGAUAUUAGUUUUGAUCUAUGUUGAUGACAUACUGAUAACAGGGCCUAACAGUGAUGAACUUGAAAAGUUUAUUUCAGACUUCAGCAAAGUGUUUGCAUUGAAAGAUUUGGGAAGACUCUCAUAUUUUCUGGGUAUAGAAGUAUCUUAUGCUGAGAAUAACAUUUACUUAUCUCAAAGAAAAUAUGUUAGAGACCUGCUAAGUAAAGCUGAUAUGCUUCACUGCAAAGGGUGUGAUACACCAAUGGUUACAGGGACAAAACUUCAAAAGGAAGCUAAGGGAUCUUUGGGUCAGCAUGUUGAAGAUGCAACAAGUUAUAGAAGUUUAAUUGGAGGGCUGCAGUAUUUGGUUCUGACCAGGCCAGAGAUAGCUUUUGCAGUGAACAAGCUAAGCCAAUAUGUUUAUACACCUACACUACAACAUAUCCUAGCCUGUAAGAGAAUGCUUAGAUAUUUGAAAGAGACAGAAGACUAUGGAUUAAAGUUUUCAGCUGAUGGAGAAAUAAAGUUAACAGGUUUCACAGAUGCAGAUUGGGCAUGUGAUAUUGAUGAUAGGAAAUCAACAGGUGCAUACUGUAUUUACUUGGGAAAUAACUUGAUCUCUUGGUCAUCCAAGAAGCAAUCCAUAGUUACAAAGUCAAGUGCAGAGAGUGAGUACAGAGCUCUUGCUUCUGCAAGUGCAGAAAUUACAUGGUUACAGUCAUUGUUCAAGGAACUCAAGAUUGAAUGUAUUUCAGUGCCCACAAUCUGGUGUGACAAUAUAAGUGCAACUGAGCUGGCCAAAAAUCCUGUCUACCACUCGAGAACCAAACACAUUGAAUUGGACAUGCACUUUAUAAGAGACAAAGUGUUAGCAAGAGAGCUGGAAAUCAAUUACAUUCCCAGUGAAGAACAGAUUGCAGACAUCUUGACCAAGCCUCUCACAUUCACUCAAUUCAAUUAUCUCAGGAGCAAACUUAAUGUGCAGCCAUGCCCCUUAAGUUUGAGGGGGGCUGUUAAGGAAGCUCAUUGAGCACGUGUGUCAAUGAUGAGUCAGCAGUUAGUUGGGUAAAGAAGCCAGCUCAGCAAAUCUGUUAAUCAUGUUUUACGUUCUGUUCUUCAGUUGUUAGUAAUGCUUUUAAUUCUGUUGAGAUAUGAGUUAGUAUAAAUAUGUUGUUAUUGUAUUUGUAAUUGUGAACGUGAGAUUCAAUAAAAAAUAAGUAGUUUCUAAGGAAAAAUCUUAUCAUUAUUUUCUUAGCUUCCAAACAACUUUUACAGUCACAAUUCAACUUUCAAACAAUUUGGGAUUUGACAAUUCCACUCUCAUCUUAAUUAUCAAAUGGAAUGUAAGUAGAGAUAAACUUGUCCUGUUUAUAUAUUUGUGAUCAAAAUUAGGACCAAUAUAAAAAAUAUUAGGGUCCGACUAUCUAUACUUUAAAAAUCAUUAUGAACACUUAAUUAUUUAUGUACUCAGCUAAUAAAUUUAAAAAAUUAAGUUUUACUUUCCACACUUUUUUUAGGAGUACUUUCUACACUUUUUAAAAUAACAAAAACAUCUUUACAUGAACUUAAUAAGUUUCUUUAAAAAAAUUAAAUCAACUAUUUUUAUUUAUUCAAAAUACUAAUAAAAAUAUUUAGCAGACCGUGAAAGAAAAUUUUUAAGAAAUUUAACACGAUUUUAGUUAUUACUUAUUGUUUAUUAAAGAAUGUGUUCACUAUUGUAUUUAAUUUUGUUAGUAAAAAAAAAAAGAAGAAGUUUGGGUUUAAGAUACAUUUAAUUUUUAGUGUAACAGUUGUAUCAAAACAAUAAAAACUAAAAGAUCCAAAAGUCACAAGUUCCAACACCACCCAAAUAAAAAGGUCUGUUAAGAUUAUUUUUGGGAAGCUCAAAAGUGAUUUUAAAAAUUUAAAACUAAUUUUUAGUGUUUUAUAAAUUUUUUAGUAAUUACUUUUGGCAAAAUCAUCUCAUUGUACAGUAGAUUUUGAAAAAGUAGGGAAUGAAUAAUUUUUCAAAAUAUGAUUUUGAGAAUCACUUUUAUAUUUAAUCAAAUUCUAUAUAUAUAUACUCAUUAUAUAAUAAAAAUUCAAAAUUAUCUUUAUUAAUUAAGAAAUAAAAUGAUUAACUUUAAAGAGAUUAUUAUUAUUACCAAUUAUAUUGAGAUAAAAAAAUAGAGAAUAAAAUUUAAUAAUAUAAAAUAUUUAUUUUAGUUAUCAAUAAUUAUAUGUACAAUAAAAAUAUUUUAUAUACAUGUUUAUAAAUGUGUAAAUAAAUUUUAUUUAACAUUAUGUCCAAUUCAGUCAUUUACAUUUUUGGUCCAAUUUAACAAUAAGAUUUACGAAAUAUAUACGACGCUUUUAAAACUAAAAGUAUUUUUAAAAAUAAAUUUUACUAAAUGUUCAGCUGAUUCUCUUGACGAUUGAUCAAUUUCUACAGCAUAGCUAACUGUAAUUAUUUUAAAGGCUACAGGAUUACCAAACUGACCCUAAAUCAAACCAAUAAAAAUGUUUAAAAAUAAUAAUAAUAAACCAAAGUAAACGUACAAAAAUUCAUGCAUAAAUUGAUAAUCAACAAAAACAUCCACAAGUUUACCUCCAAGUUUUCUAUUCAAUUGACAUAACCCUUAAAUUUCAAAAGGCAUAAUCAAUUUUUGUCUAAUCCUAUAAAAUUAGAAAAUUAAAGAAUAUUAUGUACUGAUAAUUAAAUAAUAUGCAAUUAACAAUGUUAAAAAAAAUAAUGUUAAACAUAUUGUCAACUAAAACAAUUGGGAUUAACGAGCUGCUAUUGAAAUUAAUGUUAAAAAAAAUAAUGUUAAACAUAUUGUCAACUAAAACAAGCAUCAUGUGCAGUACCCACCGUGAUCUACUCACAUUGGAAUAAGUUGUUGGCAGCUGGUAAAAAAUUCAAUGUUGAUUUUGAUCCCACUAAAUUAAGUCAUCAAAAAUUGCUGGGAAGGGAGUAAUAUCUAUUUAUAACUGGAAAUUAGUCACCGUACAAAGAUGAUUGGAGCUGCAUAUAUCGUUUAUUAUUAACAACUAACUUAUGAAAUGCUUUGAAUGUACCUCCUAGGUCGUAUUAUUUACUAUACUAGUUAGGAGAAAUUGCAAUGUUAAAUUAUUUGAUAAAUACUUAUUAUAAUUUGAAAAUAUGUUAAUUUUGUCCUCCAUUUAUGAUAAAAAAUUUUGUAAUAUAUAUAAAUCAUUCAUUCUAUAAUCUUGAACUUUAUUAAAGUUCGAAAAACUAUUACUCUAUAUGAUAUAAUAGUGUGAUGUUAUUACACUAUUAUACCAUAUAAAAUAUAUUUGCUUUCUCAAAUUUUAAUAAAGUCUAGGUCUUGGACAGAAGCACUUUAUAUAUGUAUAUAUAAUGAUUCUCUAGUAACGACAUUCUCAUUUUAACAAAGUAAUGAUAUCACUAACAAACUAAAUAACACAUAUUUCAAUACACCAAUAGAUUAAAAAAAAUACAAUUUUUAAUGUGUUAAAAUAUAGGUCUUUUGUAUGUUAUUGAUAUUUUCACUUUAACAAAGUGAGGGUCUCCUCACUAUAAAAGUAAUUUAUAAAUAUUCCUUGUAUUUUUGUGAAAAUUAUUAUUUAAAUGUCAUAUCUUACCAAAAACUAUUAGUUUUUAUUUUAUUACUACGCUAUACUUUUCAAGAUAGAACACCUUAAUACCAUGACCUUAAUUUUUGAACCCUCUUGUACAAAGUUGUUGGCUGGUCUAUUUAGCUUAAUCUUUCAAUUAUUUGUCGUUUGAACUGAGAUGAUCCGAAUAAGGCUAUGUAUCAAUAAUUUCUUAGUGAAACUUCGGGAAAAAAUAAAAAUCAUCUCAUACAGUAGCAUUAUUUUAAUUCUCAGCUUGAUUAUGUUUUGAGUUAACUUAUAGAUUAUUUGAAAUGAAAAUAAUAUAAUUUAUUUUUUCCAACUGAAAUUUUUAAAUAAUUUUAUUAGUUUGAUGAGUAAGUAUACACUUACAAAGUUAUGAUAUAAAAUUAUAUCCCAGAAUCCCAAUAAUAUGACACCAAUUAACUAUUGCUAUGUGUUUCUUAGUAAUUAACUUUUUAUACUAUUAUUAAUGAGAUAAUUAACUUCAACACCAAUAAACAAUUAAUACAUCCUCUAACUUUAUUAUCAAAUAAUCAUACGUCAUAAUCAAACCAAGUUACCAGAGCCUACCACUAAAAGAUUGAUUGAAGGGUUUUCCAAGUUUGAAAAUGUUAGUAGCAUUGGCAAAUGGCAACUUCCAGGAAUCUUCCUGCUACAAUCAAUCAUUUAGUGAAAUGCCCAAAUGACACAAAGGACCCCGCCAACCGUGAAGUCACAUCAUUUAUUUAUUUGUAAAUGAAAAAUAAGGUUCCGAUCGGAAGAAAUCAGCACCUUAUAAUGCAUGAUUACCCGUAUGUCAAGUUUGGCGAUUAUAAGUCAUCAUCACAAUAACUUUGGAUUUUGAUAUUUAAGUCUCCGUUUGGGACCAAUGUAUGCCAAUUGGACAACACAUCACUCAAUUAUAGAGAGCGAAAUAUUGAUAUUGUCAUUAUUUUACGUAAUGUAUAAACUUUUCCUUUUAUUUUUGUUUGUUUAUUUAUUUUUAAUACCUAAUAAAUAUAAAUUUAUUUUUUAAUAUUUAAUAAAUUUUGUCAGAAAAUAACAAACAAUGACCCAAAUCCUUUUAUUUUACAGAAAUAAUUUCAAUUCACAACUAUGACAUUACAUUACCAAACAAACACUAAAUAUUUUGAUGAUUGGAGUUUAUCUUUCAUUCAUAGCAUGAAAAGUUUGAAAUAGAAUCUCAAAACAAAAGAGUACGACAUGUCUUGUUGGGUUUACAGAAGAAGUGUACGCCAUGUCAUCCGAAAACUAAAAGGCAUGUAUGACAACCAAACGGUAUCAUCCCUGAUUUGCCUACACUUUAAGGAUGAAUUCUGGGUUUUGAGUGACAAUUAAAAGCCAGAGUGAGAAUUAGAGAGAGAGUUAUAUAUUCUUAUUUAUUCCUAGUCACUUGCUAUAUUGUGUGGGUCUUUUGUGAUUCCAAUAAUAAAAAUGUUCAAUAUUUUUUUUGAUAGAGCAAUAUUUUUUAAAGCAUAAAGAAAGGCAGAAAUAUUGUAAAUCCAUCUCAAAUUUUCUGUUUAUUGUGGUUGCUGCUAGCGCUAGCUGUUUUCUUAUUUAACUUUGUUCCCUUUUGCCAUCAGCUCUUUGCAUUUUCAUUGGAUCAAGCGGCCCUUUUCUUGUUUCAAUUUUUUAUCUCAAAAGCACUUUGAUUCUCUUCUGUUACACUGAUUUUCUCCUUAUUUUGCACAAAUAUCGUUUCUCUUUCCCAUUUAGCCUUGAUUUGCUUCUACUUGACUACCAAUUGCCCAGUCGUUGACCCUGUUGUAUUUUUAUUUCAUUCACUUCCAAUAGACCAAAAAAAAAAAAGAGAUGUUGAAUAAAAGCUUAAAAACUAAUUUGAUUUUUAAUAUGAUUUAGCUAAGAUGUCCAAUUUAAUACUAAGAGUAAUGUUAAGGAUCCUAAUAAUUGAGUCCCAACUGAUAUGGUAGUCAUUUAUUAGAUGAUGGAAAUAUAAAUUUUAUUAGUUGUGAAAUUCAUUAUUCAAUAAAAAAAUAACACAUAACAAUUAGGUCUCAAGUUAGUAUUUUACUAUUGGAAUUCCUAACAUUAUUCUAAUAUUAAAAAAUUCAUCAAAAUAAUAUCCGUUGAUGCUGAAAUCUAGUCGCCUUUGGACCGACCAGAUUGGUUCACCAACGCUUGUAUUGACAAAGGAAUAGAGGCUGCGAUCCAUUAGCUUCAACAAUUUCCCGAGCUUCUGGGACCCAAAUCACCCGUCUUCUUCCUUCCAGGCCUAUGUUCACAUAAACAAAUCAGAGAAGCCGGUGGUUUUUUGGGCAUAAACCCUUCGAUACUUAAGUUAGUACAAGGUGUUUACGAGAAAAGUUAAUGAUUUGUGUUGUACAUAUUAGUUGCAAUAUUCUCAAUACCAAAUGUAUCAAGGAUUUGGAUAUUUGAAUUUCUGAUUAUAAUUUGACAGAGUUUCCCCUUUACUCUCAAUUUGUGUCUCCCCCUUUUCAUUGAUUUCUUGGCCUUUUAUAGGCAAUCAUCCCAUGUUUUCUGAGUAUUAUUCAUGCCCCUCAUUUUCGGGUGAUGACGGACCUUCAUGGGUCUCCAACCACCGAAUCGUGGGUAAACGUGGGGCGUCAUGUUCUCCCCAACGGUUUGGGGCAUGACAAAACUGUCGUGAGUUUGUGAGAUCGUGUCCUCUUUCUUUGAAUAAUGAGUACUUGGUCGAUAUGUACAUCUGGUCGGUACUCGUUUCUAGUCGGCAUAUGCCCCGUACAGGAUGUAUUACCAGGAAUCUGCUCGUGCCAUUCAUCUGGGGAGAUUCGCCCCAGGGUGAGGGAAGAGGGGAUAGCUGAGCUGGUACUUUUCAUUACUCAACAAUAUCUAUUAUCUAAAAAAAUAAAAUAAAAAUCUAAAACCAUAGAUUUACUUUUCAAUCUUCGUGAUUUGACUGAUUUCUUUUAAAGCUUUGGUUUCUUUAGAAGUGCAAGGAGAAAUAGUAAUAAGAUUAAAAAAGCAAUGAAGUAAAACUUUAAAAUUUUUGUUUCUUUAUAUUUUUAUCGGUCAUUUUACCGGUACUGGCGUUUGAUUUUCUGACUAAGCUACUGUUUAGUUCUAAGUUUUGGCAAUUACCCGGACUGCUCUCUUUCGUGUAACAUCGACACAAUGAGGCUUUGCAUCUAAAAGUCGGCAGCCACGCAACUUCUUGGAAUCUUCGUGCAAGUGUUGGAUAUCGACCGUUCGAUAAUGACGGCAGCAUUGUUCUGGAGUGUAAUUGACGCAGUGGAAUAAGGAUCACAUGUCUCAAACUUUCGGUGAAGAUAUUGUUAGAUAUUUUAUUGAUUAAGGAUCAUUCUUUGCACUCAUUCUCAAUCAAGAAACGCAUAUGCUUUUGUUCAUUGUAGUCACUGCUGUUUUGUUAUUAAUCUUUGCUCCCUUUUGCUGUCAACUCUCUUGAAUUUCACUGGAUCAACUUUUCUCUUGGCAUCUGCUUUGUUGUAAUCUCCAGUCUUUGUUAAUUAGUCUCUCCGCUCGCAAUCCAGUUGUUGAACUAGAAACCUUUUCCUUGUUUCCAUCUUCUCAGCAGAUCCAUAACAGCUAUUACGAUUUCUUUCAUUUCUCCUCGUCCACAACCAGAUAAACUGUCCAUCUUUGCGUUUCUUUUUCUUUUUCUCCUCACUCUCUCUGUGUUUCGCUCAUUGUUUAUUUUCUUGUCAGAAACUUCGAAAAAAAGAAAAGGGAUUCAGGAUGGUGGAAAGCAUUGUUACUAUUGUUUUAGAAUUUGUGAAAUGCUUGGCUCCUCCAACAGAACGCCGACUUGGUUAUUUGCGUACUAUAAAGCCAACGUUGAGAAACUCGAGGCAGAAAUAGACAAGCUCAAGGAUGAAAGGAGAAGCAUUCAGCACAGGGUUUCUGAGGCUGAAAGAAAAGGGGAAAAUAUUGAAGAGAAGGUUGAGAAGUGGCUGGUUAGUGCGAACAUCAUCAUUGAGCAGGCAGCCAAAUUCAUUGAUGAUGAGAAGACAACAAAUAAACGAUGUCUCAUGGGCUUGUGUCCUAAUUUGAAGACCCGCUAUCAGCUUAGCAAGAAAGCAGAAACAAAGGUGAAGGCCAUUGUUAAACUCCGAGAAGAAGCUGGGAGAUUUGUUGAUGGAAUUUCCUACCGUACCAUUCCGGAGGAUAUAUGGCUCAAGUCUCACAAAGGCUACGAAGCCUUCGAAUCAAGACUUUCUACUUUAAAGGCCAUACAAAAUGCAUUGAUCGAUGUUGAUGUCAGCAUCAUUGGGGUGUACGGCAUGGGCGGCAUUGGAAAGACGACACUGGUGAAGGAGUUUGCAAGGCGAGCCAUUGAAGACAAGCUUUACGAUAUGGUGGUUUUUUCGGAGGUUACCCAAUGUCCAGACAUAAGAAAGAUCCAAGAGGAAAUUGCGGAAACGUUAGGCCUAGAGUUGUCCGAGGAAGCUGAGUCUAGAAGAGCUAGUAGACUAUAUGAAAGAUUGAAGAAUGAGAAGAAGAUCCUUGUGAUUCUCUAUAACAUGUGGAAACCUCUUGAUUUGGGGACUAUUGGCAUUCCUUUUGGAGUUGAGCACAGAGGAUGUAAAUUAUUAUUCACAACAAGAGAUCUUGAUGUGCUGUUAAGGAUGGGAUCUGAAAAAAACUUCUCGAUUGGCAUUUUAAAUGAACAAGAAGCCUGGAGAUUGUUCAAGAUAAUGGCUGGUGAUUAUGUUGAAAAUCGUGAGUUAAAAUCUGCAGCAACAAGUGUAGCCAAGGCAUGCGGAGGUUUGCCUAUUGCCCUAACCACAGUAGCAAAGGCACUGAGAAAAAAAGAGCUGCCUGUGUGGAAGAAUGCCUUGCAAGAACUCCAAACGCCUUCAGAGGCAAGCUUCGACGAAGGAGUACCAGCAGAGGCAUACUCAACAAUUGAGCUGAGUUACAAGUACUUAAGAGGUGAGCAACUCAAGAAAACUUUUUUACUGUGUAGUCUUAUUACGCCAGCACCAAUUAUGGAUUUGUUCAAAUACAGCAUGGGCUUGGGUGUAUUUAAAAGUGUCCAUAAGCUAGAAGAUGCACAUAACAAAUUACAUGCAUGGGUCCAUCAACUAAGAGACUCUUGUUUGUUGCUUGAGGAUGGUGGCAGUAAAUACAUUUCUAUGCACGAUGUUGUUCGCGAUGUUGCCAUUUCAAUUGCAUUUCGUGACAUGAAUGCAUUUGUGGUGAGAAAUGAGGAUGAUUGGAAAUGGCCAAAUGCAGAUGAAUUAAAAAAAUAUUUUGCAAUUUCUUUUAAAGAUAGUAUUGUUAAUGACAUUCCUGAAGGGUCGGAAUCUCUACAACUUGAACUUCUAUUCAUGUCUCCCAAGAACUCUUUUGCUGUGCCUAAUAUUCCUGAGAACUUCUUCAAAAGGACGAAAAAGCUUCGGGUUUUGGAUUUGACUAGAAUGCGGUUAUUGUCAUUGCCAUCUUCAAUUGGUCUUCUAGUAAAUCUUCAGACACUUUGUCUUAAUCAAAGCAUUUUGGGAGGCAUAGACAUAGCCAUUAUUGGAAAGUUGGAAAAUCUAGAAAUCCUUAGCUUUUUGCAAUCUGAUAUUGUAGAGUUGCCUAAAGCACUGGGUCAACUGACUAAGCUAAGGCUGUUAGAUUUAACAGACUGCUUCCGUCUGAAAGUUAUUGCCCCAAAUGUCAUAUCGAGCUUAAUCCGAUUAGAAGAAUUGUAUAUGGGUAAUUGCUUCAUUGAAUGGGAGGUUGAAAGAGCCAACAGCAAAAGAAGUAAUGCUAGCCUUGACGAAUUGAUGCAUUUACCUCGGCUAACUACUCUAGAAAUUGAUGUUAAAAAUGAGAGUAUGUUACCAGAAGGCUUUUUGGCCAGAAAGCUCGAAAGGUUCAAAAUACAUAUUGGAAAUGGGUUAUUCAUGCAUCCCAUGCUUUUUGGACAACAUUGGUUUAAAAGUCAGCUGCACUUUUUGAUCGACAGUAAUCGCAAGAUUUCAAGAGAAUUGGAGCUCAAGCUUGAUUUUAUGGACAUUUGCUCCAUGAAAUUGCAAGGCAUCAAUAACGUUGAAUACUUACGGUUGGACAAGCUGCAAGGCAUCGAGAAUGUUCUUUUCAAUUUGGACACGGAGGGCUUUUCACAAUUGAAGGUCCUCUGGCUUCAAAAUAAUCCUGACUUCUUUUGUAUCGUCGAUUCAAGGGAGAUGGUCGCUUGUGAUGCCUUUCCUCUGUUGGAGUCACUUGCCCUUCACAAUUUGAUCAACAUGGAGAGGAUAUGUAUUGAUCGGCUCAAAGUAGAGUCUUUCAACGAACUCAAAAACAUAGAAGUAUAUAAUUGUGAUAAGUUGAGUAAUAUCUUUUGGCUCUACUACAAAAUGCCUUCCAAGACUUGAGAGAAUUGCAGUUAUUAAUUGCAGCAAAAUGAAAGAGAUUUUUGCAAUUGGGGAAGAAGUUGAUAAUGCAAUUGAGAAGAUAGAGUUUGCUCAAUUAAGAUCUUUGAGUCUGGGGAAUCUUCCAGAGGUUACAAGUUUUUGCCGUGAGGUGGAGACUCCUUCAGCAUCACCGAACAGACAAGUGUCGCAAGAGGAAUCGACGACUAUGUAUUGCUCCAGCGAAAUCACUUUGGAUAUUUCAACUUUGCUUUUCAAUGAGAAGGUGCGUAGGCUAACAUUUUAUUCAUAUAUAUAUAUAACAGAGUUUAUUCUAUCAUGCGUUCUCUUAUGUCAAACGUGGAAAAUAAUUAAAUCAUUUAGAGAAUUGAAAGAAAAUGAAAACAAUGAGGAAAAAAAUAAUCUCACGCACUCACUAAUUGAGCUCUUAACAGGUAGUAUGAAUUAGAAUGUUAAUUUGUAAUCAAAGAGAAAUUUUCAACAAGAAAUUCUUAUCUUUUUAGGUUGCGUUGCGUAACUUGGAGGCUUUGGAGAUAUCUGAAAUUAAUGUCGACAAGAUUUGGCACUACAAUCAAAUUCCAGCGGCAGUGUUUCCUCACUUUCAAAGUUUAACACGAUUGAUUGUGUGGGGUUGUCACAAAUUAAAAUACAUAUUUUCAGCGUCUAUGAUCGGAAGCCUUAAGCAGCUCCAACGCCUAGAAAUACGCUCCUGUGAGGAUUUACAGGAGAUCAUCUCUGAAAACAGAGCAGAUCAAGUGAUCCCUUAUUUUGUCUUUCCACAGCUCACCACUUUGAUACUCCAUGAUCUACCAAAACUUAGAUGUUUGUACCCUGGAAUGCAUACUUCGGAAUGGCCCGCCCUAGAAAUUCUUUUAGUGUAUCGUUGUGACAGAUUAAAGAUAUUUGCGGCAGAUUUAUCGCAGAAUAAUGGGAAUGAUCAACUUGGUAUUCCUGCACAACAGCCCCUAUUGCCAUUGGAAAAGGUAUGAAGCCAUUUUCUAGAUUUUUUAUCUAUAGCUUAUUUUUAACUUUGAAAAAUAUGACAAAGUAUUGAUAAAUUAAUGCUCAAUAAAUUGAAAACUUUUAUUAUACAAUAAUCUUUGCUAGUCUAGACUAAGGGAUCAAUGUGGUAGAUUAAUGAUUAUAUAAACUUUUUUAGGUAUAGCAUUUGUAAAAGAAUCUUGAGUCUUUCCAUAUAGAAGAACUUACAAAAUAAAUUAGUAAUUUAUUAUUGUGCAGUAAAAUAAUUUCGAGUCAGUAUAAAUCAACCUUUUUUCCCUAAUUUCUUUUUUACCUCUAAAAUUAACAUAUAAAAAAUCAUUUAAUAAAUUUUAUCAAUAAUUCAAUUUUUUUAAAUAUAAUAUAAAACAAAUACUAUAAACUCACUGCUUAUGAUUGGAUUACUCAAAAUCAUUUGAGAAAACAUCAAUUGACCUUAUUAGUUAUUAUGAUUGAUGAUGAUCAGAUCUUACCCAACUUGACGGAACUAUCACUAUGCGGAAAAGACGUGAAGAUGAUUUUGCAGGCCGAUUUCCCACAACACCUUUUUGGCAGUCUUAGAGAUCUAGGGAUUGCUGCUGAUGACUCAGCUUGUUUUCCAAUCUGGAAUGUACUGGAGAGAUUUCACAAUCUCGAAAUGCUCGUACUGUGUUAUUUUUCAUUCCACGAAGAGGUAUUUUCGAUGGAAGGAUGCUUAGAGAAACAUGUGGGGAAGUUGGCAAUGAUAAAAGAAUUAGAGCUGUACCGGCACUAUCAUCUGAAGCAGCUGUGCAAACAAGACACCAAAUUUGGCCCCAUCUUUCAGUAUCUUGAAAUUCUAAGAGUAUAUCAUUGUCAAAGUCUGUUAAUUCUAUUGCAAUCAUCAUCGGUAUCUUUUGGGAACCUAACAAAACUUGUAGCUUUCGAUUGCAAGAAAUUGAUACACUUAGUAACAUCCUCCACAGCAAAAACUCUAGUGCGACUCGUAUCACUUUGUGUAUACGGAUGCAGAGCAAUGACAGAGGUGGUAAUAAAUGACAAAGACGGGGUUGAAAAAGAAGAGAUUGUUUUCCGCAAAUUGAAGAGGUUGGAACUGCGUGAUUUAGACAGCCUCACAAGUUUCUGCUCUGCCAAUUACACCUUCAAAUUCCCAUCUUUGCAAGAUCUAUCUGUGAUUGGUUGUCCCAAAUUCAAGAUUUUCACUACAGGAGAAUCAAGCACGCCUCCGAGAGUAAACGUCUGGUAUGGAGAGACAUCGAAUCAACGGCGUUGGGCUAGUAAUGAUCUUAACACGACCAUACAACAAUUACAUGCUGAGAAGGUACGGAUAUACGUGUUACUCUCUAUCUCCCAUGGAAAAAUUUUACAAAAUUUGCUUUUUCUUUUUAAAUAAAAUAUGGAUAAGAUAUUUGUUAUAAAGUUAGUUUAAAUUGAUGAAUAAGAAUUUUAUUUUCAGCUGUUGGCGGGGUCGUCGUCAUACUCUGUGGAUUACGACUAAUUUCAUAGGCUUCUUAUGACUUGGAGUUACGAAUUUGAAGAAGAAAGUCCCAGCUGGUAAUUAAUUCUUAUUUUAUUUAUUUGAUCUCGUGGGUUGUUUCACAAUUUCAUCUCAAUUGUUUAGAAUGGGUCACUUGGUUUACUGUCAAUAUGGAAUGCACUUUUCAUGAUUCGUUCAGGCUUUUAUGGGCAGAUUUUGCGUCAUUGAGCGUCUUUUGGUCUAAUUUAAUUUAAUUUGAGUAUUUUGUUUUGAGAGUUCCCUUGUUCUCUAAAAUUUUAUAAUUCCUUGCAAGCAUUUUAUGUUGAAAUUUCAAUAAGAGGGGCAACACUUGCAUGUUGAAAGUGUUCAGAUUUUAUAAUUCCUUGAAAUCAUGCAAACUUUUUUCUUUCUUUCCUUGCCAAUUAUUUAUUGUCAUCGUUACUGUUCCGUUAAAUUUGUUUGUGCUCUGUUUGUUCAUUGGAAACUUGGAAGGCAACGAAAGUACUUAAGAGAAUGUUCUUGCCUAUUAACACAUAAUUAAGAACAGCUGAAUAUCAUUCAUCGGAUAAAAAAAAAAAAAUCUAAUUAGCCCGUCAUGCCUACAACAAAUGCUUAAACCAUCAAAGGUUAGCUAUGAACAAAUAUAUUAUGGAAAUAUUGUUUUAAAGCAUUCGAUAGAAUUUUCAAAAAUAUCAAGUUUUCACAAACCAAAAAGGGAACUAAUUUGGUCUAGUUUUGUUACAAGUAUAGAAGUACAAUAUUUUGUCUGUUAUUCUUGUUAAAAUUCUCAGCUCUGUGUUUGUAGAAUGUCUGGAUACUGAUAGAGAUUCAAGUCACUCUUCUUCUGUACAACAUUCGAAAUGAAGCCUUUUUUCCCCCUCCAUUCAAAUUUUAUGUUGUGAAGGGUUUCCGUUUCCAUCUUCAUGUGAUUUACUUCACCGUGUCGCUACAUCUAUGAUAGUGUGUGUUAUAUCCUGUCUGUUUCCUUUAUUUGACCAUCGAAAGUUCAAAGACAGUUUAUUCUAAAUAUGUGUAAAUUCAUUUUCUGUAUAAGCUCUUUGUAUGCAUUUUGACAUUUUAUUCUCAAUAUGUAUGACUUAAUGAGAGGUCUUUUGUUAUACAUAUGUCCCGAAUUUCUUGUGUAUUUUUAGAUUUGAUGAUGUAUUCUUGUCUCAUUGCAAGGUCUUAUAAUCACUGAUUCUCAUUUCUCGUAUACAUACGUAUAUAUGGGCAAGAAAUUUGGUAAAUGAUCUAGUCAUUUUCUCAGUAAAACAUCUAGUACUUUAUAUGUUGGAAGGGUACUAAGCAGCAGGCCAAGAUUUGUCAACUCAAAGAUCGUCAUGUCAUUUUUUAAAAAUAUUAAGGAAUUCUAAGGAACCUCAAGAGAAAAUUUAGAAAUACUAUAGGGACUACUUCUGCAUUGUUCAUUUUCGUAAUUACGUUCAUUAUUAUUUUUUUUUUUUCAAUUAAUCAAACUUCAGUUCCUUAGCAUUCAUCUAAUUAUGUACUUCAUCUGGAAAUCCUUAAUUUACUCAUCAAAAUGUGAACGCUAAGGAAACUAUGAAAAUAAAUAUAAAACUACUAGCUAAGUUUAUCAUCACAUAUGAUCAGCACUAGACUAUCAAAUAAUCAUAAAAGCAUAUAAAUUCAAGCUACUGUAUUAUUUGUAGCUUUCUAAUUUGUGUUUAUAAAGAAUUUAGUUAUGCAACAAAAAAAGGGGAUACGAAAGUAGCCAUAAAAAAUACUCUGUUUUGUAGUACUUCAACAUAUCUACUGGCUAAGAAGUAGCAUCACAUAUGAAAAUGUCGGCACAAAUACUCAAGCAAGUGCAAGUGUGUGGACGAGCCACUUGUGUUAUCAUGAAACUUAAUAUAAGUAUCAAAAGUUGGUGGAUUAUUGUGGUUUUCCUGCUUUAUCGUUUUUGGUUGAAUAAAAUAAUAUAAAGCUGUCGAUUCUGCAUUAAAGCAUAUGAUUUGUGAAGAUAUGAAUACCACAUCUUUCCAACUCCUCAACUCUUGAGUAAUUACUAGGUUCCCACCCAUGCAAACAUAUUUUCUUUCGAGAAAAAGGGAUGCCUGAUUCAGGGCAUCCGUUGCCUCGGUUUAUUUGAUUUUGUUUGGUUCAAUUGUGGUUCUGUUAUUUAGUUUUUCCUCUGAUGGUUCUGUUUCUCUGUAUAUUUCACUGGGUUUGCUUUGCUUCACAUCUUUCUUUCAAAACUAAGAAGGCAAGGAAAGAGAGUACUUAAUUAGAAAAUGCAAGAAGCAUAUAUUAAAUAUGCAUAUGGCUCAUGCUCUUGCCUAUGAACACAUAAAGAACAACUGAAUAUCCUUCGUCGGAUAACAAAAAAGAAAAUCUAAUCAUCCAUUUAUCCAUACAAGAAAUGAUACCAUUACUUUUAGCAAAUUGAAAGUGUUGUAUCUUUUUUAUUUAAAAAGUCUCUUAAGAUUUUUAUUUUUUCCGGUAAUUACACCUCCAAAUUUCCACAGCUAUAAUGUCAAUUUGUAAUUAUUUGUCCCAAGAUGCAGAUUUUCACUAGAGGAGAAUUAAUAAUUACGCUAUUUCGGCCCAGAGGACCAUGAAGCCCCUUGGGUUGUUGACAUUAACACUAGUGCGUUUACCAACCUAAACCUUCGGUUUGGUCAACAGUGUCUAAAUUGAACCUAUGGUGAAUGGAGGAAAAAGAAAAAGAGAUUUAUUAGAAACCUCCCCUGAAGUUUGAUAUAUUUUUAGUUUAAUAGAUUAUAUUUGUGUAUUCUCAAAUACCUCCCCUGCUGCUAGGGUUGGCAAUAGGACGAGAUAUGAUAGAAUUUACCAAUUACAGUCCCAUCCUGUAUAUGUAAAUGGGAUUAAAAAACAUAUCAGUCCUGUCCCUAUAUUUGUUUUUAGGACAAAAAAUAUAUCCUAAUCUCGUCCAAAAAGAGAUAGAAUCCUGUAGGAUCUCAUCCCAAUUAGAAAAUUUUUUAUUCUUAAUCGAUAAUGAGACGAGAUGGGACAGAAUUUGUCAAUCCUACUCCCGUCCUGCAUAUGUAAUUGGGAUAAAAAAAAUCUCACUCCCGUCCUUAAAUUUUUUUAUGGAAUAAAAAUAUGUCCCAAUUUCAUCCCAUCAAAAAAAAUUAUCAUUCCUAUCUGGCGCUAGUAUACCUUUCUUAAUACCCCUAAUUUAGAAAAAAAAAAUUUGUAUACUGAAAAUAAAAAAUUGUUGGUUAGUACCAGCAUGUUUGUUUUGGUGCCAAGGGAUGUGAAUGCAAUGAAAAUAUCAAAUCAUCCCCGUUACUUUCCAAAAUGACUUUGAUAAAUGAAACAAACAAAAGAUUUAAGUCAAAUAUCAAAGAAUCAGAGGGAAGCUGUUUUGCACUGGCCUAAUUGCUAUGCUGUCUGAAUCAAAUUUCGUUCAAUCUUGGUGUCCCUCUUUUAUUCAAUAUAAGAAGAAUGAAAAAAGUAGGUUGUUUUUUACACAAGUGAUAGAAAUACUUCUGAACUUUAGACAGUGUAACACCAUACACAUCAAAGAAAUAAGACAACAAACCAAUUCCCAUACAUAAAGCCAACAAAAUUACUAUUUAGUACAAGAGAUGCAACAUAAUUUUAAAUUUUAUUCCUCAAGAGCUACAAGUGAUACAAAUGAGUACACAAAUCAACCAUCUGUAGCUUAACCAGAAGUUGAUGCGAAUGCAUGAAAAUGAAAAAAGCCUACGAAUAGUAUACAUGGUAAGUAUGACUAAGUAAAAUAACAAUUCUGAUUGAUAAUACCACCAGCAACAGGACCUUCAUACCCUCUCUUUAUUAAUCACUAGUUGGUAUGCUAUAGCCCAGCCAAGUGUAAAAUGAAUGGCGAUCGAGCUCUUGAGCCUCUUUAUACCCUCCAUAAGUUGUCCUCAACUUCAUCAAGGACUGCAAAUAUAUUAAGCAAUAGAAAAAUAAUCGUGAUACAUUGAGUAACAUAUGGAGCAUGCACCUGCUUUAUAAAUAUCCAAGAGUCUGAAGAUAGAUACAUGGAGCUUGAUUUGCCAAAUGAUCUAUCAAAAAAGCCUCAGUGCAAAAUCUUCAUCCAUAUUCCAAACAAAACCAGGCAUAUCAAUCCUCUGCCAGGCGACAAUCCUAUAUAUGUAAAGCUUCUUAACAGGGAGCUCCGGCCUUUAAUCUGGGGGUCUCCUCUCGUCAAUAACUUAAACAUUCAGCGUGAUUUUCCAAAGACACUGCAAUUUUCAUUUAUAACUCAAACAAAUAAGACAGGACUUAUCUAAAGACACUGCAAUUUUGGACAUUGGCUAACAAGUGUGAUUAGGUCAAGACUUUGUAUAGUGGCAUAGCUCAUAUUCAAGGUUAUUAGGCCAGAGCAAACAAAAUUGACAGAUCACACUAUUUGAGACCAUAAUCAGGUUGCAUCUACAACUCAUUUUCCAAAAUUAUACCAAUCUCUAACCCAGUACAUUGCUAAUCAAUAUUCCUGAUUAAUAUAGGCAGCAAUGACUGUAUAAACAAUUAUUUCCAGCCAACCAGGUAUGCUAGAAGCCAAAUCUAUAGUAGAGAAGGUUUUGCAGAUCUCCUAAAAAAAAAUCUCAUCUUCAAUUUAACAAAAACUAGCAUGAAUCUCUGUUCAAUAAUCAGCAGUAAUACCUUAAACAAAUAAAAAAAUUUCAGAGCCAUUUUCAAUCUGUCACACGGCAGCAUAACAAAUCACAAGCCAUUUUCAAUCAAUCACAAGCUAACAUGCAUUUGCAACAAUCAUUCACCUACAACUAACAUUAAUCGAUGGAAAAAAAUGUAAGCGACAGAAAUACUCUAAAAAAUUUUCGAGACCCAUUAUUCUUUUUUCUAUUUUUUUACCAAAUAGAGUGACCAUGUCGUGCUGUGAAAUUUGAUAAGAAACCUCGACGUGUUUGUUUUGUUACUGUUUUGGGACUUUCAUUUGGUUUGCUUGUUAAUUUUAUUAUUGGUUCGGUUUCGGUUUUCAUUCAUCCCAACCGAAAUGAAACCGUCCAAUUUAGGUUAUUGCACAACCGAAUCAAAUAUCGAACCGAAUCUGAUACGGUUCUUCAAUUUUCUGCCCACUCCUACUUCAUGACAAUAAACAACAAAAACAAAAUCCAUAAUAUAGCUUUUGAAUUCUUAAAAGGGGGGAGAAAAAAAAGCACAGGUGAGUAAGCUAUUAAGGUAAGAAGUUGAGAUUAGACACGUAUCAGUAAUAUUGAUAUUUAAAUUUUACUCAAACAACUCUAAUUCAAAAUAUGUAGAAACAAUUCAAAAUAACAAUAAAAAUUAAAAAAAUAUUAUUUCAAGGAAUCCAAACAGGGUAUAUGAUGAGUAUGAUGCUGUUUUAAAUUCUCAACUGAGGAAAAACAGAGAUAGAGAAAGAACAUACUAUCAACACCAGCAAAGGCUUUGGAUUCUUAAGCAGGUGGUGAUGCAUGGUUUGUCAGGAGGUGGAGAUGGAAUUCUGAUUUGUUGUUGGCAAUAGCACACGAUUUUUGGCAGAUUCGGGCGAAAUUACAUUCUUAUAUAGAACCGAGGAAAGGGUGCUGGCCAAUAAAUGAUAAAGGCCUGUAUAAAGAAAGACAAACAAUAAUGUGGGCUUUAGAGAAUCAGAAACUUGAUAGAAGAGAAGGGGAAUAUCAACAAUUAUUUCAGAAGAAAGAAAAAGAAAAAAGCAAGCACGCUUGAAAAUUUUUCAAGAUAAUGAAACCGCAUUAAUUAACAGGUUAAAAUUUUUUGUAAGAUUACUGGUUUCUAAAAAAUUCUAUGAACCUUUCAGUUUCACAGAAAGAGAGAUAAAGACAAAGACAGUAGUCUACAUUAAAAGCACUUAAAAAAUCCAGUGCAGAAUACAUCUCUAAAAGUACUACAAAAUAUAUACAAGUAAAUAUUUAUAAAAGAAGCAUUGAAACGAGUCAGAAUGUGACCCACCGUGUGUCCUUGACUGUAUAUAGCAUUAAAGCAAUACUCCCCUAGUAUGAUAUGCGCACACACAAUUUAUAUAGACGCAUAAAACAAAAACAGCACAAAUCUUAUUAUUUGUCUUGCUAAAACCCAAGAAAUAGCUUAUAAGAUGAAAUGGACUGCCCAUGGUUCAUACAAAGAAAAGAAUAAGCCACAUAUUAAUUGAAGCUAACAACAGACAUAAAAUGAUAAAUGAAAAAUGCUCACCUUCAGAAUGAAGUCAAUGUAAUGAAGAGCUCAAAUUCAGUUCUGCCACCUGAAAAAAUGUGGUAUUCACCAGUAACUUUAACCCCAUUUUGCUAACCCUUAACUUCUGCAAGCUUUGUGUGGGGAAAAUUAUAAUACCAAAUCUAUCCCACACAGCAUGAGAACAAAUCUUAGCCCAAGUGAAUUAAAAGUACUCAAGUAUAUAUUUUAUAAUGCAUAAUAUAAGAUCAUACCCUAUCCCUGCUUUGGGGCCACUUAAUUGAGUGUUUGUAUCCUUCCGGUAAAGGAGCAAUACAGGUACAAGCUUCUUCAGGGCAAUACCUCUCUCGAUGUUCAUAAUGCUUUUGUGCUGGAAAGCAUUCUAAUUGCUUGCAAAUUGUCCAGGCAAGGGAUGCAAUCUGGCCUAGCAGUGGCAUUACACACUUUCCAGCGAUGACCAUACGGGUCCUUAGAUAUAGAAGUUUGUUGUGAUAUUUUCUGAUUCUAUGACUCAAUAGGUUGAGUUAAGCAAGCCCCAUUCUGAGCAUUAGUUUCCUUCAGAAUUUCUGACUAGUCACCAAAAGGAAAAAUCUCAGUUGAAGCCUGAUCCUUUCAACGACUCUCAGUGUCAUUAUCUUGAUCUUGAGAAUCCUUCUCCUUUUCAAUCUGACUAGCCUCAUCCAUUUAUUUUCAUCCAAGCUCUUCUCUGAUUCAAUUUGCUCAAUUUUAUUCAAUUCGCCGCCUUCUGUUUCUCCAGCUUCUGAAUUCGAAUCUCCACCUUCACUUUUAGAUUCCUUAUCUUCCCUUUUUCUAACAUCGUAAUUUUUAGACACCACCUUAGAUUCCUCUUCAGACUCAGUAUUCUCAUCAAAACUCUCCUUCACUAAAUUCUCUUCCUGGUUUUGAUUAACCAUAUUCUUAGAUUCACUCGUCUCACCAUCACCCUCAUACAUAUUCAUCUCUUCGUAAUUAUCUUCCACUCUAUUCUCUAACUUUUCAACAGGAACAUCAUCCCCAUCCCCAUUUGUUGAAUCCUGUCAUUCAUCACCUUGAUUUUCUACGGAAGGCCCAGAAAAAUCUCAGAUACUCUCUGUUUCACUUUGCUUAUAGGCUCUUAAGAGGACAACAUCCUGGAUCCCACACCAGUACAACUGAUGAUGACAUUAACAUCCAAACGCCAACCAGAAAACGACCAACAAACACUACUACAGUAACCAUUGAACAAAGACAAUAUCACAGGUUCUUUAGCUAUUUAAUAUUCCAUCAAAUAUAAUUAUAUAAUACCUACCAAGGAUUUCCGAAUAGAAGGCAUUCUCAUCAUUCUCAUCUCAAGCAGCAACCUCACCAGUAACACAUUUUCAUAUCAUGUUUCCACCACAGGUCGCACAUAUAGAAAGAAUGAAGUAUUAAUUAGCUUCAACAGAGCCUAUUUCUUUAUUUCUUUUUUUCCCAAAUAAACCUUCAUUCUUAUACGUAUAAUUAAAAUAUCAACUGAAUAAACAAAGUCUGUGAUUACUAGUACAACAUUUUCAUUUUCAAGCGGAGCUAGAUAAGAUAUCGAUGUCUGUCAAAUAAACCUAAUUUAAUCUUGAAACCAUAAACUGCACUAAGCAUAGCAGCAAAGCCAGAGCCUGACUAUAAAGAAGAUAAUAUAUAUAUAUAUAUAGAGAUUAAACUUUUGUUUUAUCUUCCACAAGCAAGAAAUUCGACUGGAACAUGAAAUUUUUAACAAUCUUACAAACAUUAUACACAAAUCUCAAUUAACGGCAAAUAGGGGGAUGAAUCACUGACAUCACCCAAUUCAUAUAUUCAAUUAAUGUAUUCCCACCCCAGUCAGCAACGUGCUACCACAGUUGAUUAGUUAUUAGGGAUAAGGCUUACCGCAAAGAACUGAAUGGCGUUAUCUAAAUAAUGAGUUGAAACGGCAUCUGCAAUCGCAUUAAAUGGCAUUGAACCGAAAGGUAGGGUUUAAAUGAAUGUUGGCCUGAGACAAAAGGGCGUGGCAUAUUGGGGUCUUAUGGCUUCGUUUUGUUUCAAUUGACGGAGGGAAGCUGAGCGAAAGCUUUGAUAUGUAAAUUUCAGCUUAAUUUAAGCUAGGGUCUUCUUUCGAUUGAAACAGAAAAAGAUUUUGGGUUAUUAAAGUGAAAGAGAUGGAAUAAUACAAAAAAUUAGCAAAGUGAAAGCGAGGGAAUACAAGAUUUAUUAUGGGUCCUAAGAGCUGAAGGCAAUUCGCCAUGGUUCUGAUAUACGGAAAACUUUCUUAGCUUUAUCGGUGGUGGAAGUGAGGGUUAGGGCUAGGGUUCUACACAAUGUCGUUGAGAAUGGCUCAAAGUUCAUUGAUUUUAGGUUGCGGCGAGAGAGGGGUUUAUUCAACACUUGUCGAUAUUUGGCUGAAGUGUUGGUAUGUUUUAAGUUUCAUAAAAACGACGUCGUUAAUUUAAACGUCAUCAUUUUAAGAUAUUAUAAAUCCACAAAACUUGAGCAUCACUUAUAUCUAUAAUUUAUUUAUGUUAGUUAAGUUAUAAGUUAUGAAUAUGUCAUAAACUCUAAACAUAUGAAUAUAUGCCACACCAAUAAAGUGUUGGCUCCAUUAGCAAUGGAGUCCCCUUAAGUGGCUUGAUUGGGUUUGCUCCUCAGUUCUAGUUGCAGGGAAGUCGCCUUUGUUGAGAGAACUUGUGCCUCCCGGUUCGAGCGGGGACUUCUAAUAUGGGUUGUGGUACGGGCUUAAAAGUGUCUCCCACAAUUGGGGCCCUCCUCAAAAUACCUCGUGGUUAAGACAAAAUAUAUAUAUAUAUAUAUGUCACAAAUCUAUCACACUUUCAUGAUACAUUUGUGACGUAUCGAAGGUUCAUGUCAUUCCUCCGGUGCAACAUUCGAAAUAAGGCCAUUGCCCUUGUGAAAUUUGCAUUACUUCUAUUGAAAAUCUACAUAAUAAGAGCUCUCCCGUUGCAUUUUUCGUUGUUUUGCUUUUGCUUUACUUUAAUGUGUCGCUACAUGAACAAGUAUAUUGCAACAUAUGUACCAUCAAUUUUGCUAUGUCUUAUUCCCAAUUUUAUAUAAUACAAAUCAUUUUGAAAUUAUAAUAACAACAACGGGGUCAAGCACAUUUUGUGUCUUGAAGAUUUGCGAGGGCUCCAUCCUACAAAGUUAAAUUAUUAUUGUUGUUGUUGUUAUUAUUAUUAUUAUUAUUAUUGAUGACGAUGAUGUGCUGUUGAUGUUUUUAUUAUUUGAGAGAUGGUAGAAUAAAGUUAUUCAUUUUGGAGCUUAACAGUGGAAAAUAAGGAAAACAAGAAAAAAGUUGUAUUCGUGUUAAUUUCCUUUGUCAUUUCUUGUUUCUAGAAAUAUUUUUGCUUCGUUUAUUCUAUUUUAUUUGCUUAUUUCAUUGGGCUUGCUUCACAUAUCAUAUCUAUCUUUCUUUCAAAAUUUGAAGGGAAGGAAAGUACUUAGAAAAUGCUCUUGCCUAUGAACAUGUAAGAAAAACUGAAUAUCAUUCAUCGGAUAACAAAAAACACUAAUCAGCGCAUAAUCCCUAGAACAAAUAAUUAAACCAUCAAAUGUUAGCUAUGAACAACUAUAUAUCCUAUCAUAUUUAACUUCUAUUUAUGGUCAUAUCCCUAACAUAUUUAGAGUGGUUUUGGAAUUUUGAUUACAUCUGAGCUUUCUCAAAAGCAGAUGCUGUGAAAUGAAGUUACUAUUUGCUUUUCAAAACUGUUAAUAAUGAUAGUAGUUUAGAAACUUGAACCACCACCUACGUGAGUCUGUGAAUUUCACCUUUUUGUUUGAUAAUUGGAGGUUUUCGUUUAAUGCCUAAAUUCGUAAACUGUGGAAACGUUUGAAAGCAUCUAUAGCAUAUUCAUUAAAAUCACGUUUUCACAAACCAAAAAGGGUACUAAUUUGGUCUCGAUGUGUGAAAAGUAACACCUACCUAGCCAUCCAUCAGGUAAGUGAAUAAGUAUAAAAAUAUUAAUAUUUUCUCUGUAGUUCCUAUUAAAAUUGUCUAUUAUAGUUGCAGAAUGUCUAGGAAGUAUAAAAGGAUGUCGUUCAAACAUGAUUAAGAUAGAAAGGGAAAAAAUAAGUAAUUAUCCAUGGACCACUUCAUCUUUUAGCCUUUAUAAAAAACAUACAAACAUUUUUUAUUGUUUUCAACAAUCCAUCUAAUAUUUACAAACUGCAUCACAGCUCCACUACUAUCAUAACCCUUUAAAAAUGUUGCUUAAUCACGAGAACCUAUUACUUGUAAAUUAUUUUUCAAGCAAAUGCAACAAUAGAUCUAGUUUUGAUCUGGGUGACUUUUAAGUGUACAGAAACGAGGAGAACGACCUUAUGUCAAGUUGAAGGAUUAAGAUAAAUCAAUUACAAAUCCAAACAAAACUUAUGAGUGACAUUUUAGUAUUAAGCAAACCUACCAUAAUUAAUCAUCCAGUGAUAGGUUUGUUUUCAAUUAGAGUAAUGAUAGAUAUCUCAAAAUAUUUUAUCCCAAAUGGUGUGUCAUUACUUGAAUAGUAGGUAAUUCUUUCAAGAUUUGAGUGAAUUAAUUGUAUUAUCUCUUCAAUCUAUUGAUAAAUACCAUAUCAUUUGAGAUAAUUUUUUAAGAUAAAAGAUUUAGGAUGUGUGGCACUACUCAUUAAUUAUGCAACUUAAAUGCAAUUUUUUUAAAACCAUUUAUUUUCAUUAAAUUUUGAGCCAUUAAUGAAAUAAAUAUAAGUAAAGCUAUUUGAACCUACUCAUUUUCUCACUACAUCAUUUAUUUAAUCAAAUUAAAAUUUAAUUUUAAAAUAUAAUUCAUUAAAUUAUUUGUUUGACUUUGUUCUCUCUCUCUCUCUCUCCCUUCCUCUCUCAUUCUCUCCAACCAUUUUUUUUUUGUUUACAUAGACUAAAUAUUUCAAUUAACAAAUAAAAUUGUUAUAAAGAAUAACAAAUUUAACCAUAGACACCAAUAUUAAUUAAUAAACAAAAAAAUUGAAGAGUGAUAGAAUUAAAGUCUGUUAUACCACAAUUUGCUUUACUUUUAUAUUUUUAUUUUAGUGCGGAUAUGAUGUAGACAUUAUUUUAGGAUUUUAUAAUUUUUAUUAUUUUAUCGUUUUCUAUUUUAAUUAUAGUCAACUAUGGUAUAUGUCUUAGUUUUUUUAUUUCUAUUAAAAUUGUGAUUUAGUUUUUCUUUUUAAGUUAACUUAGUGAAGUAGGUUUAUUAUAUUAUAAAUCAAAAUCUUAUUAUUGUAACUUCAACUAUUGAUCAACUAAUAAAGCCCUUUUUAAUAAUUCCCUCUAAAAUUAUUUAUUAAAAUCUCUCUUGCAAAGUUAUUUAGAUUAAAACGUCGUCUAAUCUCGCUUUAUGCGUUAUUAAAAUCUCAUUGAGCCAUUGUUAGAAUGAGAUCUACUCACGUUUCGAUUAGGACGUAAACUAUCCACAUUACCUUAGCCAGUAUUAGAACAAUAGCUAAUAUUUCCGACCUAUCAAUUCCACUUCCGCUAUUCCAAUUUGUUAGUUUGUAUUAGAGUGGUUCAAUGCCAAUUGCACAGUUUUCCUGGCUACCCAUAUCCAUCCCCACCAAAUCCAUCAUUGUUUAUGCAACAAAAAAAUAUUACAAAAUUACAAAACCUUAGCAGCCGCCCACCGCCAUUUCCACUCUCCACUAAUAGUUCAUCAUUGGCUAAUCCAUCUACCAAACUCAUUAGCCACUACUGACCAAACCUUAGCCACUCCUGCCAUCAAUCGCCGCUUGUACCUACUAUAAAUCAUCUAGACCUAAAAAUUGGGAGCAUCCACCAGCUGCCACCGUGAAACCAACCAUCUUCACUGUCAACCAACACCACCACUAAACUUGCUAGAUUCCACUGGUCAUAACUUGACAAAACCCACCAAUGAUCACCGCCAUAAAUCGCCACAACGCUAACCCAAAACCCGGGCUUCACCUAGCACCACCGCAAACGCCACUUUCUCAUUGUCGAUAUCCAAAUCGCAAUUGAAAUCUCUAACAUGAAUGAAGCACCACAUAUGCCAAUUCAAGUCAACUUUUUGACCAAACCACCGUGAAUCCAGCCAAUCCUCGGCCAUUGUCGAGUUUCUCACGACCAUAUCUAGCAAAUCUAACCACUAAGGUCACCAGCCCCAGCGAAAGAAACUCUAAAGGAUAACUUUAAUCUUAGGUGUUCAAGUAAAAUGGUAAUUUUAAUCUUAUGACAUCAACAAGAUUCUAACGAGCUAAGAUGACAGUGAAUAAUUAAUAAACUCUAGGUGGAUUUCUACAAAGAAAAACGUUUCUGUGUAUUUUUAAAAAAGACCCAAAGACUACAUGGUUAGUGGAUAAUUUCCUUUUUUGUUCUUAUUUUCUACUAUUAUUAACAAUAAAAGUUUUUCAAUAGUAAUUGUUCCAACCAUUAUAACAAUUAUUAUUGUUAUUGCUGUUGUUGUUGUUGUUGUACAACAAUUGUGAAAUUCUAUCUACACAACCCAGGAGGGCGGUGAAUUGGCUAUUAAAAUUAUACUUACAAAAAUACAAAACAAAUUAAACAAAUGCUUUAAGAAAUUUAUAAUAGCAAAAUUAAACAAUGAAUGCAAUUAAAAAAAUAAAGGAGAAGAUAACAAACAAACGAAUUUUUAUGUGUUUCGACAAAACUCGCCUAUGUUUAUGCCGCCGAGCAAACUAAGUUUGAGGAUUCCACUAUCCAAACCUUCUCAGGCUCCAAGAUUUUACAAUUGACUUUUAAUGUGUCAAUAAACUUUUAUAGUAGUAAUGUGUACACAUACCUCUUUCCCCAAGUGUUUCCCACACUUAUACUCAUAAAAUUUUGAUAUUUAAUUGAAGAUUACAAAGAUUAAUCUCUAUAAGAGUGUAUAAGCAAAUGAUAACUCAAUAAUGAUUUAAUGCAUGUAGAUAAGUAAAAUGAAAGCUCAAGAUUAGUUGUAUGAACAAGUUUUAACUUAAUUGGGAUUGAAAAAGUUGUUAGAUUUGAGUUUGAUUUGGGUUCUUCUAGUUUAAACAAUCAAACUAGUCAUAAUUGACUUUUUGAGGACCCACUGGAUUGCUGCUAAAAUAAAGAAGUUAGUUGCUAUAUUGAUGUGGCAAGUUACCGUUACAAAUAAAAUUUAAAAACUUUUUUGCCUAAGCAAAUCGUCGCCUGAUUUAAAUGGUUAGCAGCUAUGUUUUUGGACCUGAAGCAGUUAGCCACUAUUCGUUAAGUGGUUAGUCGCUACUGUUUCAAAAUUUAUAGAUUUAAACUAAAAGUUCCUAAAAUUAUACUAUGGCCUAAAAUUUUGAAAUAUUUACAAAUAGGUCCACUUCAAGAAUUUAAUACAUUACUAAUUAAUUUCAAAGUUCUCAAAACUUUUCAGUCCAUAAAUUUGAAAACAAUUAAUUUUAUAAAAUCAUUUUUACUUACGUUUAAAACUUUUAUAUUAUAGAAAAUGAUGAUUUAAUUUGAAAAUUGUAUGAAAAAAUAUCUUGAACUCUUAAAUACUAAAUCAUGCAUAAAUUAAAUCAUAUUAGCUUUACAAGAAAUAUAACUAUGAAGAUUGCUUAAGCUAGUACCUUUAGUAUUCAUCCUUGAUUGUUGUUGUCUAUUGAGUGACUUGAAAUUGAUCUCACUUGAAUGAUUUUUGUCCUUCAAGAACUUGUCAGAUUGUGAGAAAUAAAUUUAUCAUUUUACCUUAUGUGGUUUGUUAUCAUCAAAAUUAAGGAUCAUAUAGCCGUUUACCCCAACAAUCUCUCCUUUUUUUAUGAUGACAAACACCCUAUGUAUUUUGACAUUUCUAUUGCCCCUGAGUAUAUGACAUAAUUCAAAAAAUAUAACCAAAUAUAUAAACUCACUCCCUCUAAGUACAUGAUCCAUAUAAUUGUACAACAUUUGUAAACUCUCCUUGAGUGACUCAGAAAGUAACUAAAAUACUACAAACACUCAAUCAACCCCCAUGAGCCAAAAACAUGUCAAAACACUUCAAAAUACAUGUCAAUAUCUUCUCCCCCUUCAUCAUGAAAAAUCACUCCUCUAUUAUACAAAUAUUAUCAAUAAUUAUCCCCUACAAAGAUCAUCAAUCGAAAAUCCACACAUGACCAUUAAUCAAGUAUCCAUAUACAUAAUCCAUAAUCAAUAAAGAUAAUCCAUAAAGAUAAUUAAUAAAGAUACCACAAUCAAUAACUAGAAUGCAUAAAGAUAAUCCAUAUCAACUCAAGUAUCUAUAAUGCAUAAGUAAAAUAAAAUCCAUCAAGUAUCCAUAAUGCUAAAAACGAAAAUGCAUAUGAUAAAUAAUGUCGGUGCAUAAAACAAGGAAGCAAAAGAGAUAAAAGAAAAUCACUGAUGAGGCAGCAAACAUGAUAAUAAGGAUGGUGGCGAAAAUUUGAGAGCAAUGAAAAUAAGCUGGUGAUGGUCUAGAAUUUGUUGUUGUUGAAGAAAGAGACGCUGCUGCUCAGAAAGAAAAUGAUCCUGGAAUGCUGCGAACGAUAUCUUAAGUUCGUUUUACUGUUCGGAUAUGGAACGCACUUUAUUCAACAACUGCUGGAUUGGGUUAUUGGGAAUGGCUGAAGAUGAUGAUGGUGGAGCAUCAGAAGGCCAAUGUAGAGCUUGUGACCUCAGGGAAGAACUAAGAUCAAGAACCCAGUAAGGGGAAGCACAUCGUUAAAGAUGCAAUGAUAAAAAAGAGCCAGCUUUGUGGGUUUUCUCAACAAGUUCUAAUUUUUAACCUAUUGGUCAUCUACCCACCCAAAUCCUAAGCUAGCAAUGACCUCAUCCCUUAACUCCUUGGGUUCAUCAUGAGAUGGUUCAGCUAUAGGGACCCAAAAAUAUUGAAGGAUAUGGGUAAUGACACUACCAACCGAAAAGGAUAGGUUUCCUAUACUCAGUGUAUUAAGCAUGUGCUGAAUGAUAAUAUUCUCACAUUUAGCUUUUACCCUCAAGGAUGCUAUCUAAUAAAGUAACAUCUAAGCGUGUAACCUCAGCACCAUGUCCCUUGUGAGGACUGAUCACAAGCUGAAGGACAUUAUGUAGGAUCCGAACUUGAAGAGGCAACACUUGUGAUCUAAGAGAGGAGUUAAAAAGCUCCAUGGAUAGAUCAGAUCACCUACAUAUGUUUCGAACAUCUAUGUUUCAAAUAUCAUCUACAACUAAAUACCAGGGAUAAUCAAUUUUAAUCCUAGAUGUAUACAAAUGCAACCUAUCAUCUAGGAUUCAUGUUUAAAUCUUCUACAGUAAACUUAAUAGGAAUCCCAAUAACAUUAGUAAUAAUCAUGUUGGCAAUAUUUGUAGAAAUAAGCAUGUUCGAAUAAAAUACUCGUACCAAAUUAGGACAAAUAUGUUCCUUAAGAACUAAGACAUUUGUCCAACCCAAUUCAGCAAGUAAAGUUCUAAGAUUUUUGCUACAACUUGAAAAAUUUUCUAAUUAAUCAAGAUUAACAUAUAUAGUAUGGGAGGACUGACCUUGUCAUAAAUCGAUCAGAGAAUCAUUCCAUUGAGGCAGAUUUGGGAAGUGGGUGGAAAUGAAUUUCAAAAUGUCUUUAUGAAUCUUUUUUUUUUUACAUUUUAGGCAUAUGCUUACCCUUGGACUUCUCACCACUAGCCAUUAAGAAAUUAUCAAAAUGUGUCCAAAAUUGCACAAAUUCGAGUUCACAAAGUUUUUAAAGAAAUAGAUGAUUUUGAACCGAUUAAAAUGUUCUUUGAGAAGAUCUAAGGAAUGUAUGGGUUUAUUUUGGUCGAAAAUGGUCAAAUAAUGGUUCAAAUUUGAGAAUGUUGAAACUGGUGACUUAGGCUUUAAGAUUUUGAGAGAAGAAUGAUUAGAUUGUGUUUUAAAAGCAAAUGUGUGAAGAUUAAUUGAUGGGAAAUGAUUUGGAAAGUUUAAUUUGACACAAAAGUGAUGUAAAAAUGGAAGAUUUUAGAGAGAGAGUAAAAGAAAUGAGAGAUGACAGUGAUAGAGAGAGGGUAACAACUGAAAGUAGGAAAAAGAAGAUGAACAACAUUUGAAAAUGUGAAGCCAGCUAGCCUCUUGAAGAAAGCGGUUAACCGUUUCAUUUUUAGAAACCAAGCAAUUAACCGUUUACUUUGAGCCGGCUGGCCAGCUAGUUUCUGCCUCACAAUUGGCUAGUCGCUUGUGGUUAACGGUUAGCUAGUUCCUCUAAAUUUUGCAUGAUUUUGCUUUUUGGCCAAAAUUUAAUUAAUUUUGAGACCAUUUUGUGAUCCCGAAGUAUUUCAAAAGCCAUUUUUAAUGCAUAAGAUAUGAUGAUAAAUAUUCAAAGAAGUAAAUUCAAGCAUAUAAAACAUUAAAAUCAAGUUUUUAUCAUACAAUCAAUCAAGAUAGAAAAUCAAGCAAAUUUGUAGUCUCAAUAUCAUGCAACGAAAUAUUGAUGUGAAAAUGUCAUCAUUCCAAACUCAAUCCAAAUCUUUGAAAACUAUUCUUCACAAAAAGGCUUUGUAAAAAUAUCAACAAGUUAUUUUUCUAUAGAAACAAAUUCUAAAGCAAUAUCUCUCAUUUGAACAUGAUCACGUGAGAAAUAAUGCCUAGUUUCAAUAUGUUUGGUCCUAGAAUGUUGAAUGAGAUUCUUUGACAAAUUUAUUGAGCUAAUAAUUUAUAUGAGUUCCCUUAGACCAAGAUCAAUUGUUCCUCAUAAAUAAUGAAAAAUUAUUUUAACCGCAAGCAAAUGAGAUUCUUUGAGAUAUGGUUGAAAUCAUGCACACAAACAUACACUAAAGUAAUGUCUACUAGCAGUAAAGUAAAGUAAAGAUAUGAUCAUACCUCGAUAUCUUUUGAUACAACAUCUUUACUUUUUUUAUCCUUAUCGAGCUUGAUUGUAGUACUCAUUGGAGUGUCCUUAGUCCUGAAUGCAAAAUCUUUUGAGUAGAUCUCUGAAAUACUUGGCUUGAUUAAUGAAUUCUUUUUUUCUUUUAAAUUUUAAGUCCAAGAAAGUACUUCUAUUCUCCCAUCAUGCUCAUCUCAAAUUCUCUACUCAUGCAAGAUGAAAAUUCCUUACACAGAAACUCAUUAGUAGAACUAAAGAUAAUAUCAUCAAUAUAAAUUUGAACAAGUAUACCUUGAUCCUUGUAUUUAACAAAUAGAGUAGUAUUCGCUUUACCCAUUGAAAAACUAUUUUCUAAAAGAAAUUUACUAAGUCUAUCAUAUCAUGCUCUAGAUGCUUACUUUAAACUAUAUAAAACUUUGGACAACUUGUAAACAUGAUCCAAAAACAUUUUUCGUUUUUAAAAUGAGGGGGUUGUUUCACUUAAGCUUCUUCAUAAUACAACUAUUUAGAAAGGUGCUUUUAGCAUCCAUUUAAUAUAAAAUAAAAUCAUUAUGAUAUGCAAAUAAUAAAAGCAUGUAAUGGAUUCUAAUCUAGAUACAUGUGCAAAGGUUUCAUCAAAAUCAAUUUCUUCUUUUUGGUUGCAUCAUUGAGCUACUAAUCUAACUUUAUUCCUUACAACCACACUAGAUUCAUCGAUUUUAUUCAUAAAUACCCAUUUACUGCUUAUUACAGAUUGAUGUUAUGGUUUAUGAAUAAGUUUCCAUACAUUGUUUCAUUCAAAUUGAUUUAACUUUUCUUGUAUUGCUAUAAUCCAAGAUUCAUCAUUUUCCACAUCUGAAAAAGAUUUUGGUUCAACUUGAGAUAUGAAUACAGUAUGUUCACAUGUAUUUCUAAGUGAUUAUCUAGUAGUUAUACCUCAUGAAGGAUCUCCUAAGAUUAAGUCUUAGGGUGUGAAGAGACAUACCUUAGCUCCUUGGAGCGUGUUUGUGAAUUACCUUCAUUUUGAAUCUGUUUAACUUGUUCUUCUUGUUGCUUAUCUUGAUUUUUACCUCGUAAAUCAUCUUGUUUGUCUUUUAAAGACUUUUUGUUUUGUAACUCUUCAUAUGCAUCAUCAUCAACAACAACUUCCUUCAUAGAAGAAAAGUUAGAUUCAUCAAACAUAACAUGUAUAGAUUCUUUAGUGACCAAGGAUCUUUUAUUAUACACUCUAUAAGUUUUGCUUGUAUUUGAAUACCCAAGAAAAAUAUCAACAUCAGAUUUUAGAUUAAAUUUACCAAGAUUGUCUUUUGUAUUCAAUAGAAAACAUUUGCAACCAAAAACUUUAAAAUAGUCAAUGUUUUUUCUAUUUUUCCAAAGCUCAUAAGGAGUUUUAUUUAGGUAAGGUCUAAUCAAUGCACGAUUUAAAAUAUAACAAACAAUGUUGACGGCUCCAACCCAAAAAUAUUCUAGUAAAGCAUUUUCAUUUAACAUGGUCCUAGCCAUUUCUUGGAUAGACCUAUUCUUUCUCUCAACUACUCAAUUUUAUUGUGGAGUUCUUGGUGACAAGAAUUGAUGCUCAAUGCCAAAGUUAUUGUAAAAAUUUUCAAAAUAUAAUUUUCAAAUUCUCCACCAUGAUCACUUCUAAUGCAAGAAAUAACAUAUCAUUUUUUAUUUUGAACCUUUUUAUAGAAAUUUUGAAAGCAUUAAAGGUGUCAUCUUUAUUAGUUGAGAGUAAUACCAUGUGUAUAUAGAAUAAUCAUCUAUAAUUAUAAAUGCAUAAUAUUUACCACUUAAACUAGCAUAUUUAGAAAAUUCAAACAAAUCCAUGUGAAAAAGUUAAAGUGGUUUUGAAGUAGAAAUAUGAAUUUUAUUUUUAAAGGACGUUUUAUUUGUUUUCUAAAUUGGCAAACUUCACAAAUUCUAUCUUUUUUAGAACCAAUUUUUAGAAGACCUAUAACCAAAUCAUUUUAAAAAAAUUUUGAAAUCAAAUCCAUGCUCGCAUGACCUAGUCUUCCAUGCCAUAUCAACUAUCAUCAUGUAAUGUGAAAAAAAUAUUUAUCAUGAGUUGAUACACUAUCUAUAUCAAUGGUGUAUACAUUAACACAUCUUUAUCUAACAAAUAAAACUUUGCCAUCACAUGCAUUUUUAAUAACACAUUUUGUUUUAUAAAAAAUAACUCUAUAGCCUUUAUUACAUAAAAAUAACUUUGUAACCUUUAUCACACAAUUGACUAAUACUAAGCAAAUUCUAAAGCAAUAUAUUUCAUUUUUCUUUUUCAAAUCAUUUACAAGUAAACCUUUAUUCUUAGAUGAAACAUUUUGUUUUUUCUUUAAAAGAUGCAAUUUCUUCACAAAUACUUCUAGGCACUUAAUCUUUUUAUUCAAAGUGUCAUUCUCAUUUAAAAGUUCUACUUUUUUCUUUCCAAGAGAAACAUUUUACAUUUCAAUCUUCUUUAAAUCUUUAUGCAAUUUAGAGAAUACUUCAAACAACUCAUCCUAAGAGGUUUACCUCAUCAAGUUCAUCUUCUAUAAUCAUCUCCUAUAACCAUAAGUGCCAAAUUUGACACUUCAUGGGACUACUCUUCAUCUAUAGUCUCCUUAUCGCUAUCAUCCCGUGUUGCUACCAUGGCUUUCUUCUUUAAUUUUUUGAGAAAAGGACAUGCUAGUUUUAUGUGUCUAGGCUUCCUGCAUUUAAAGCAAGUAAUUGCCUCCUUCUUCUCUUUCUGAUUUUUGAAUUUCCUUCGCUCGAUGGAUUUCUUGAAAAUUAUUUUGAAUUUUCCAGCUAUCAUAGCCAUGUCUUCAUUUUCGAUCUCACUUUCGUUGUCACUUCUAGAUCUUGAUGCUUUUAAGGAAAUACUCUUCUUCUUCUCGUCUUCAUUAUAUUUUUUAGUUGUCAAAUCCUUUUCAUAAGAAAUAAAUGAACUAAUUAAAUCAUCAAUAGAUAAAGUAUCCUUGGCUUCCUUAAUGGCAAUUUUCUUAGGUCUCAAUUCUUUUGGUAAAGACCUACUGAUUUUUUUUACCUUCUCGCUGUUUGAAAAGGUUUUUCUAAGAGUUCCUAAAGUGUUUAUAAUGUCUGUUAAUCUAGUGUAUAUAGGAUUAACACUCUCAUUUUGUUCCAUUUAUAGCAAUUCGUAUUGCCUAGUAUAUUUACUAAUUUUAGACUAUUUGACUUGAUUUGUAGCUUUAUAAACGACUUUAUGUUUUUUCCAAAUUUCAUAAGCAUUGGAACAACCUUAAACUCUAUAGAAUUCUUUUUUAUCUAAGGCACAAAACAAAGCAUUCAUGACUUUGAAAUUAAGAGAAUCUUUUCUCUUUUCCGACUCAUUCCAUUCUUGUGAAGGUUUUAGAAUUUCUUUCCCUUCUUCAUUUUUAGCAGUAGGCAUGAAUGGACCAUCACAAUCAACUUCCUAUAUUUCAUAAUAUAAUGCUUGCAAAUAAAUUCUUAUCAUAAUUUUCCAACAUAGAUAAUCAUUCCCAUCAAAGAAUGGUGAUCUAGUAAGGGAUUAACCUUCCCCAAAUCUGGGAUCAUUUUGGAUUACUAUGGAUCUUUUACUCUAGAUGGUUAAGUCCUAACAAGAGAACUUCCUCUGAUACCAAAUGAAAUUCUAGCUAAGCAACCCAAGAGGGGGUGAAUUAGGUAUUAAAAAUUAUACUAACAAAAACACAAUACAAAUUAAACAAAUGCUUCAAGAAAUUUAAUAAUGGUAAAUUUAACUAUGCGUGAAAUUAAAAAGAUAAGGGAGAAGAUAACAAACACAUGAAUUUUUAUGUGGUUCGGCAAACCCGCCUAUGACUACGCCUCCAAGCAAUCCAAACUUGAGAAUUCUACUAUCCAAACCUUCCAAGGCUCCAAAAUUUUACAAUUGACUUCUAAGGUGUCAAUAAACCUUUACAAGUAAUUAUGUAUACACACACCUCUUUUCCCAAGUGUUUCCCACACUUAUACUCACUCAAUUUUGAUAUUUAAUUGAAGAUUACAAAGAUUACACUCUAUAAGAGUGUAUAAGCAAAUGAUAGCUCUAUAAUGAUUAAUGUAUGUAGAUAAGCAAAAUGAAAGCUCAAGAUAUAUGAAUAAGUUUUAGCUUAAUUGAGAUUGAAAAAAAUUGUUAGAUUUGAAUUUUAUAGUUUAAACAAUCAAACUAGCAAUUAUUGGCUUUUCUAGGGACUUGCUGGAUCGCCGUUAAAAUGAGGCGAUUAGCCACUAUGUUGAUAUGGUAAGUUACAGUUGCAAAUCAAAUUUGAAAACUUUGGUUCAAGCAGAUUACCACUUGAUUUAAGCGGUUAGCUGCUAUGUUUUUGGACUUGAAGUAGUUAGCCGCUAUUGGUUAAGCGAUUAGCCACUAUUGUUCUAGGAUUUAUAGAUUAGACCUAAUUUUUUUGAAAUUAUAUUACGACCCAAAACGUUUGAAAUAUUUAUAAAUAUGUCAAUUUCGAUGAUUUAAAACAUUAUUAGUUGAUUUCAAAGUUCUCAAAACUUUUCAAUUUAGUCCAUAAAUUUGGAAAAAGCAACUAAUUUUAUAAAAUCGUUAAAACUUUUAUAUUAUAGAAAAUGAUGAUUUAAUUUAAAAAUGUCAUGAAAAAUAUCUUGAGCUUUUAAAUGUUACAUCAUGCACACGUUCAAUUAUACUAUCUUUACAAGAAAUUUAACAAUAAAGAUUGCUUAAACUAGUACCCUUAGUAUUCAUCCUUGAUUGUCAUUGUCUAUUGAGUAUCUUGAUCUUGAUCUCACUUGAAUGAUUUUUGCCCUUCAAAAACUUGUGAGAUUGUGAGAAAUAAAUUUACCAUUGUACUCUAUGUAGUUUGUUAUCAUCAAAAUCAAGGAUUAUAUAACCAUUUAGGCCAACAAAAUAUUAUAAUAAAUAAUAAUUAUUAUGAUAAAAAAUUAAAGAUAUUUUGUAAUUUGUAACAACUCAUCGUGAUUUUAAAAUAAAAUAAAUAUAUCAAUGAUGAUAUAAUUUAUUUUAAUUUUAAUUUUUACAAUUUAAAUAAAUUAAUUAAUUAUCAUUCCAUAUUUUAAUUCCAACUCAUUCCAUUCCAAUUCAUUCAUAUUUUAAUCAGUAUAUCAACUACCCCCGAGCAAUGCCCGAAAGACAUUGAGGCAAGGGCCACAGAAAAAUAUGCACUUGUUAGCUUAGCGUUGGUGUCAAGUUUCUUUAGCAUUUUAAAUUCAUAAAAGAACUUAUAGUGUUUCUUCAUCCUUUGGCCUUUUCGGUGUUUACUUUCUGGAGUGAGUGUCAGCAGUGUGAAUUCCUCCCACUCCAGUGUUUACUUCACCAUUUUAAGGAGGGAUUGGGAAUCCCACUCCAUGGACCCCACUCAUUUUUGGAGUGGGGAGUGUGAGUGGGACUCCCAUGGGAAACCCACUCCCACCUCUCCAUUUUCUACUUUUAUUUAAUUAAAUUUAAUAUUUUAUAUUUAAUAAAAUAAAAUAAAAUAAAUAAUAUUAUUAUAUUAAUAGAGAAUUAAUAAUAUUACUAUAUGCUAUCUUUAUUUGAAGAUAUCAUAUUAUUAUAUUUAUUUAAAAAUAAUAGUAUUAUAUUUAUUUAAUAUUAAUAAUUAAUAAUAAUAAAUAGUUUAUUCUAAGAAAAUAUUAAUUUUGUACUAAAUAAUAUUAUAUUAUUAUUUAUAUAAUAAUAAAUUUAAUAUAAUAAAAUAAAAAAAUAUUUCAUUUUAUAUUUACCUUCCUUUUUUAACCCCCUUUUAUUAAAUUUACUAUAAUUAUAUUUAAUAAAAUAAAAUAAAUAAUAUUUUAUUUAUUUAAAUAAUAUUAUUAUAUUUAACUAAAUAAUAAUUUGGUUUGAUUCUAAGUUUAAAUUACUUAAAAAUAAUAAUAUUAUAUUAAUAGAGAAUUAAUAAUAUUACUAUAUACUAUCUUUAUUUGAAAAUAUAAUAUUAUUAUAUUUAUUUAAAAAUAAUAGUAUUAUAUUUAUUUAAUAUCAAUAAUUAGUAAUAAUAAAUAGUUAAUUAUAAGAAAAUAUUAAUUUUGUACUAUGUUCAUAGUAAAAAUGUUUCAUUUACAUUGCUCUUAUCAAUAAUUUUUAAUUUAUAUAAUUAAAAUUAAAAUUAAUAAAAAAUUAUGAUGUACAUAAUUAAGAAUAUUAAUAAUUAUUAUAAAUUUACAAAUAUAAUAAAAUAAAUGUUUAUUCAUUAAACAUAUUUUUUUAUUAACUUUGUAAUUAAAAACUAUAAUUCUUUAAAUAAAGGUAAAAUUAUAAUUUGAAACUAUUUACUUCCAAUCCAAGAUAAAGUAAACACAUAAAUUGGAUUAUAAUUUUCAUUCCGUGCUUAUAUUCCAGUGUAAGUAAACAACUUACACCCACUUUUACUCCAUACUCUCAAUCCUAAGAUUUCCACUCUUCAAGAUUCUCAGUCCAAUCCAAAAUGUAAACACUAUCUAUGGUAAUUGUUCACGCAACUAUUUUAAUCGAAAAUAUUUUAAUCGAAAAUAUUUUAAUCGAAACUAAUAGACCUUUCAACAAUUUUAAUCGAAAAUAAUAGACCUUUUAACAAUUUUUGCGGAUUCUGGCAAUUGUUCAGGCAACUAUUUUAAUAGAAAAUAUAUAUGGCUCCAUAAACAAUGAUUAUCUCUUGACAGCUGUUCUGGACUCGCUAUUUGUACUGAAAUAGAAGAUUAUCUCUUGAUGAUUAUUUAAUUGAAAAGAAUUUGUCGUUUAUAUUUGUUCACCUGGCCUUUGGAUGAGGAUCACAUGUUUUAUGACAAUCGUAAUGUUACUAAUGUAAGUCAAGCAAUUAUUUUUAAAUAAUGAUAUUAUAAUUAAAAAUCUAAAAACAUUUAUAAUACUUAAAGACUAAUUCAGAUUAUUAAUUUUUUUAUAUGACUUCAUUAUUAGCUGACAAAUAAUUAAAAGGCCAUAGAUCAAUAUUUUUAGGUCCAAUUUUUAAUUUAAUAUGACACAACUUGUACUUUCAUUCCUAUACUAAAGUAUAUCGAACCUACUAAUAAUUAAGAAAUAUAUAUAUUCAACACAUAUUUGUUAGAAAGAUUAUCUACUAAUUAAUCAUUGAUUACGAGAUUAAUAUAUUGAAAUUCAGAACUUUUUUUUUUCCUUCUGCAGUUUAAAAAGGAGUCGCCCUCUUGAUCCCCGUAUUCGUCAGCUUCUACUCUUUGCCUUCAAUUCUCAGUCAAGAAAACCUCUCCUGAUUUUCGUCUUUUGAUCUCAUACACACUUUGCUUCUGUUUAUCGUGGUCACUGCUCGUGCUAGCCGUUUUCUUAUUUAUCUUUGUUCCCUUUUUCCAUCAGCUCUUUGCAUUUUCAUUGGAUCAAGCAACCCUUUUCUUGAUUCAAUUUUCUGAUCUCAAAAACACUUUGAUUCGCUUCUGUUACACUGAUUUUCCCCUUGUUUUGUACAAAUAUCAUUUCUUUUUUCAACUUUGCCUUGUUUUGCUUCUACUUGAUUAUCAAUUGCACAGCCGUUGACCCUGUUCUAUUUCUAUUUCGUUCACUUCCCCAAAAAAAAAAAAAAAAAUGGACAUUUUGAAAAGCAUUGUUCCAGGAGUUGUAAACUGCUUGUCUCCUCACGCACAACGCGAAUUUUGUUAUUGGUAUAACUCCGCUGCCAACUUUGAGAAUCUCAAGGAAGAACUCGAUAGGCUCAAGGAUGAAAGAGAAAGCGUUCAGCGCAGAGUUUCUGAGGCUGAAAGAAAAAGUGAAAAGAUUGAAGAGAAGGUUGAGAAAUGGCUGGUUAAUGCGAACAAGAGCAUUGAGGAGGCAGCCAAAUUCAUUCUAGACGAAGAGAAAGCAAAUGAACGAUGUCUCAUGGGGCUGUUUCCUAAUUGGAUUACUCGCUAUCAGCAUGGAAAGAAAGCAGAAACAGAGAAGGAGGCCCUUUUUAAACUCCGAGAAGAAGCUGGGAGAUUUGAUGAUAGAAUUUCCUACCGUACCAUUCCGGAGGAGAUUUGGCUCAAGUCUCACAAAGGCUACGAGGCCUUCGAAUCAAGACGUUCUACUUUGGAGGCUAUAAAAAAGGCAUUGAUCGAUGUUGAUGUCAGCAUCAUUGGGGUGUACGACAUGGGCGGCAUUGGAAAGACGACACUGGUGAAGAAGGUCGCCAGGCAAGCUAUGGAAGACAAGCACUUUGAUAUGGUGGUCUUUUCAGAGGUUUCGCAAACUCCAGACAUAAAACAGAUUCAACAGGAAAUUGCCGAGAAGUUGGGCUUGGAGUUGCGCGAGGAAGCUGAAUCUAGAAGAGCUAGUAGACUAUAUGAAAGAUUGGAGAAUGAGAAGAAGAUCCUUGUGAUUCUGGAUAACAUCUGGAAACCUCUUGAUUUGGGGACUAUUGCAAUUCCUUUUGGAGAAGAUCAUAAAGGCUGCAAACUACUGCUGACAGCAAGAGAUCGUAGUCUCCUCUUAAAAAUGGGAUCUAAAGACAACUUUUUGAUAAACAAUUUAAAUGAAGAAGAAGCCUGGAGAUUGUUUAAGAUGAUGGCCGGAGAUGAUGUUGAAAAUCGUGAGUUGAAAUCUACAGCAAUAGACGUCGCCAGGGCAUGUGGAGGUUUGCCCAUUGCCUUGACUACAGUGGCAAAGGCACUGAGAAGCAAGAGUCUUCAUGAAUGGAAGAAUUCCUUGCGAGAACUCCGAACGCCUUCAAUGGUAAACUUCGAAGGAGUAUCUGCAGAGACUUAUUCAAGUAUUGAGCUGAGUUUCAACCAUUUAAAAGGUGAGCAACUCAAGAAAAUUUUUCUGCUCUGUAGUCUAAUGGAUAACCGUAUUCUUACUUCGGACUUGUUUAAGUACUCCAUGGGUUUGGGUAUAUUUAAAGGAGUCAAUAAGAUGGAAGAUGCACGAGACAAAUUAUAUGCAUUGGUCCAUGAACUUAGACACUCUUGUUUGUUGCUUGAGGGUGAGAGCAAUGAACAAUUUUCAAUGCAUGAUGUUGUUCGUGAUGUCGCAAUAUCAAUUGCAUGCCGCCACCAACAUGUGUUUUUGGUGAGAAAUAAGGAUGUGUGGGACUGGCCAGAUGAGGAUGCACUUCGAAAAUGCAAUGCGAUCUCUUUAAGAAAUAAUAGUAAUCGUGAAUUUCCUGAAGGAUUAGAAUGCCCAAACCUUGAAUUUUUAUUUAUCUCUCUCAAAGAUUCUUCUCUUGAAAUCAAUAUUCCUGAGAACUUUUUUGUAGGGAUGAAAAAGCUUAGAGUUCUAGAUUUUACUCGAAUGCAGUUUUCUUCUUUUCCAUCUUCAAUUGAUCUUCUACCAAAUCUUCAGACACUAUGUCUGGAUCAAAGUGCGUUGGGGAACAUAGCAAUCAUUGGAAAGUUGAAGAAUCUAGAAGUCCUUAGCUUUUUGAAGUCUGAUAUUAUGCAGUUGCCCGGAGAACUAGGUCAAUUGAAUAAGUUGAGAUUGUUAGAUUUAACCAAUUGUUUCCAUCUAAAAGUUAUUGCGCCUAAUCUCAUAUCAAGCUUAACUCGAUUAGAAGAGCUGUAUAUGGGUAAUUGCUUCAUUGAAUGGGAGGUUGAAAGAGCCAACAGCAAAAGAAGUAAUGCUAGCCUUGACGAAUUGAUGCAUUUACCUCGGCUAACCACUCUAGAAAUUGACGUUAAAAGUGACAAUAUUUUACCAGAAGGUUUUUUGGCCAGAAAGCUCGAAAGGUUCAAAAUAUCUAUUGGAAAUGAGUCAUUCAUGCCUCCCAAGAGUGUUAGAGGAUCAACAGUUAUCGCAAGAGUUUAAGAGGAUUGAAGCUCAAGCUUGAUUUUAUGGACAUUUGCUCCAUGAAAUUGCAGGGCAUCAAUAACGUUGAAUACUUAUGGUUGGACAAGCUGCAAGGCACCGAGAAUGUUCUUUUCAAUUUGGACACGGAGGGCUUUUCACAAUUGAAGCUUCUCUGGGUUCAAAAUAAUCCUGACUUCUUUUGCAUCGUCGAUUCAAGGGAGAUGGUCGCUUGUGAUGCCUUUCCUCUUUUGGAGUCACUUACCAUUCGCAAUUUGAUCAACAUGGAGAGGAUAUGUAUUGAUCGGCUCAAAGUAGAGUCUUUCAACAAACUCAAAACCAUAGAAGCAUAUAAUUGUGAUAAAUUGAGUAAUAUCUUUUGGCUCUCUACAACAAAAUGUCUUCCAAGACUUGAGAGAAUUGCAGCUAUUAAUUGCAGCAAGAUGAAAGAGAUUUUUGCAAUUGGGGAAGAAGUUGAUAAUGCAAUUGAGAAGAUAGAGUUUGCUCAAUUAAGAUCUUUGAGUCUGGGGAAUCUUCCAGAGGUUACAAGUUUUUGCCUCCAUGAGGUGAAGACUCCUUCAGCAUCACCGAACAGACAAGUGUCGCAAGAGGAAUCGACGACUAUGUAUUGCUCCAGCGAAAUCACUUUGGAUACUUCAACUCUGCUUUUCAACGAGAAGGUGCGUAGGCUAACAUUUUCUUCAUAUGUAACAGAUUUUAUUCAUAUAUAACGUUCUCUUUUGACGUCAUACGUGGAAAAUAAUUAAAUCAUUUAAAGAAUUGAAAGAAAAUGGAAAAAAGGAUAAAAAGAAUCUCACUCGCUCACUAAUUGAGCUCUUAACAAGUAGUAUGAAUUAGAAUGCAUACUCAGCUGUCAGUUGGAAAUUGAUUCAGACUUGCAUUAAUUUGCAAUCAAAGAAGAAAUUUUCAACAAGUGCUUCCCAUAUGGAAAUUGGAUCUAACGAGGAAUUCUUAUUUUUUUAGGUUGCGUUGCCUAACUUGGAGGCUUUGGAGAUAUCUGAAAUUAAUGUCGACAAGAUUUGGCACUACAAUCACCUUCCGAUCACGUUUCCUCGCUUUCAAAAUUUAACACGAUUGAUUGUGUGGCAUUGUCACAAAUUAAAAUACAUAUUUUUAGCGUCUAUGAUCAGAAGCCUUAAGCAGCUCCAACACCUAGAAGUACGCUUCUGUGAGGAUUUACAGGAGAUCAUUUCUGAGAACAGAGCAGAUGAAGUGAUCCCUAAUUUUGCCUUUUCACAGCUCACCACUCUGAGACUCGAAGAUCUACCAAAACUUAGAUAUUUGUACCCUGGAAUGCAUACUUCGGAAUGGCCCGCACUAGAAAUUCUUUUAGUGUAUCGUUGUGACAAAUUAAAUAUAUUGGCUGCAGAUUUAUCGCAGAAUAAUGAGAAUGAUCAACUUGGUAUUCCUGCACAACAGCCCCUAUUGCAGUUGGAAAAGGUAUGAAGCC
rnacentral:lncRNA from 1 species